rnacentral:lncRNA from 1 species
AUAGCAACCCUAAGGUCUGAAUGCAAAGGCGAACGUGUUCCCAAUCCAACGCGCAUUGAAGCAUUGUCAGCAUUCAUUCUGAAGUCGGCCAUGCUAGCUUCAAGAUCAACAGCAAGUUCACGAUUUGUAUUGCAUCAAGCGGUGAACCUUCGAAGACUAACAGAACCAAGGUUAUCGCCCUGCUCUGUUGGGAACCUGUUUCUGUGGGCAACCGCCGCUUAUAAUAUGGAGCAUGCAGCUGAAAUGGAGCUGCAUGGAUUGGUGGCACGUAUGAAGCAAGCUGUGGGGAAAAUCAAUAGUGAGUACUUAAAAACAUUACAUGGUGAUGAAGGGUUUCCAAAAGUGUGUGAGUAUAUAAAGAGAAUCGAAGAGGUCUCUGCCCACAAAAAUUUAGAAGCCUUCACAUUUUCCAGUUGGGUCAAAUUUGGUUUCAAUGAAGUUGAUUUUGGGUGGGGGAAUCCAAUUUGGAGCGGCAUUUUUGGAGAAGUCGGUUCUAAUUCUUUCCGAAAUUUGACAUUUUUUAAGGAAACAAGAAGUGCUAAUUAUGAUAAUGCAGUGGAGGCAUGGGUGACAUUAGAUGAAAAAAUAAUGUCUGUAUUGGAGCAUGAUCCUCAGUUUUUGGCCUUUGCUUCGCCGAAUCCGAGCAUAUUAUUGUUUGAUGUUUGUGGAUUCUGAAAGUUUUUUUGUUCGUGAUGAAUGACACUGGCUAGCUAGCGAGUGGCUACUACUAAGCAAUUGAUGGUGGUGAUAGAUUUUGAAGAUGGCAAGUAGCUGAGUUAUUCGAAAUGCAUGCAUGUACUGCGACAAAAUAAAGGUUGAUAUUGUAAAAAUAAAUGAAUAAAUAAAUAAAUAAAUAAAUAAAAGCGAUAAUAUAUAACCUCCGGAUCCCUGUUUUUUUUUUUUUUUUUUUUUUUAUUGAUUUUACAAGUUACGGCAUAAAUUUAUGUAUUUGUUUUCCAGCCAACAGAUGCACUAAAAAAAGAAAAGAAAAAAAAAACAUGAAUUUUGAUGGAUAAAUUCUCAAGUCUCAACUAUAUGAUGGGUACUUGCAUCAUUUUCAUAGGUUUUACUAAAAGAAACAAUUAGUUUGAACUGGCACGAAAGUAGCAGGCCGAUAAAAAGCAUAUAUAACUAAGUCAGCCCCCAAGAUUGUGGUCGGUGGUUUCAACCAUAUGAUGGGUACUUGGAUCAUAUUCAUAGGUAAUAGUAGUAUUAAUCAAUCAAAUUUUUAUUACUAUUCUAUGGGCAUCUGUCUUACCAAUCACAUUCCAAAUUACUGAAGAUGGAUAGUGUUUUCAACUGAUUUUGGGGUAGGAAAAUCCAAAAUCAAUCUUCAACAAUGAAUUUAUAUUUUUGGGGGAGAUGGGGUACCUCACUAGUUUAUUGUGUGCGGUGCGGUGUAUCUGAAAUGCGGGGAGGUGAGAAAGGGAGAGAGAGUGGUAACAAUGGUGGAAGAUCAGAAACAAGAGAGGUAUCCUUCAAAAUGAGCUUCACGCCUGCAAAACAAUGAAAUAGAGGUUAGAGGUGAAGCCAGGGGUACCCCGGCGUUCACACUCCGACGCUCAAGUUAGCAAACUCAAGCUUUUAUUGCAAAGAGAGCUAGCUAGCCCUCUGUAAAUUAGGGUUUAAGGUUGAAGAAAACCUUUUUUUUUUUGGAGUGUGAGUGUUUUUGGGCGAAUGAGAGCAUGAUGGAGAAUGAAACCUAGGCGCCUUUAUAUAUGGAGUACCUUAGCUGCCACGUGGCAUACCCUUUUUGGCUAACGUCCUUUUACCGCUUUUAUGAUUCUUGGGGCCGUUAUGUGCAUGUUCGCGGCGUAUCUCAUCUUUUGGAAACGUGGCGUGCGCUGGAGAGUGGUCCAGGGUACCUCUGCAGUAGCUGUCGGGUAGGCGGCUAGGGACCACUGUCCUUGGGACAGUGUCCUUCACUUUUGGCAGAGGUAGCAGACGGCUGUCCCUCCUUUUAGCACGUCGCUUUUGAUUCUUAAUUCUGACAAAAUCAAAUGAUAUCUUUUAGGAGGCGGAGACGUUUCUCAUGGCGGAUAUUUUCGGUGGAUUCUCUUGCAUCCGCUUUGCCGGGUACCUCGAAUUACAUGGGGUACCCCCUAUUACGCAGGGUACCCCUAUCUGUAUGGGAUACCUCUAUUUGUAUGGGGUACCUCUAUUUGUGUGGGAUACCUCUAAUUGUGCAGGGUACCUCUAUUUAUACGGGGUACCUCAAGUCAUGUCGGGCACCUCGGAUUAUGUAGGGUACCUCCGAUUGUGCUGAUAUCAUUCCAUUGGCUGACACGUGGCGCUCUAUUACCUUUCCCAUCUUUCCCUCAAACAGAUAGAAUAAAUUAAUCAAAGGAAAAUGAUAAUUAGCGGGCGGGACUAUAUUUACAUGAUGAAAUAUGCAUUGCACACCUUUCCACGCACUCAUUUGAUAAAUUAAAAAUAUAUACUAGUACUCCACGCACAAAUAGGCCCGUCUGAUAUUAAAAUUAAAAUUUAAUAAAUUACUUAUUUCAUAAUUUUAACGAAAAUAGUGUUGGUUAAAUUUUGUAAAAUUAAACUACUUAAUAAUUUUUAUUAUAAUCUUAAAAGCAGGUAGGGAGUUGCUUUUCAUAAGCAGUUUAUUAAAUAAGUUACCACACAUUUUUUAAAUUUCUACUAUAAUCUUCAUAUUUUAAAAAAUUAUGUCUUAUUUUUUCAUGCACCCUAAUAUAUUAGUUAUUAGAUAUCAUAUUACUACCACAGUUAAAGUACCUCUACAACUAUUGUAAUACUAUUUAACAAUAAAAACUAAACUAGAAGAUAAGAAAAAUAAAUAUUCUCAUAGGAAUUCUUAUUUUUCUAUCUUUAUAACAUAGCUAAUUUAUAAAUAUUGAUCUUUAAAUUGGGAAUACAAGUCCUUAAAAUUAGGAAUGAUACCAAAUGGGGUAGGGUAGGAAGGCCUUCACCAUACAAGUGGUCAAAAUCUAAAGCCCUGAAUCUAAAAAUUGAACCGAACUAGUGACCGAUUAUAAUAUUUUAGAAAAUCGAUUAGUUUAAUUAAAAAAUUAAAAUAAAAAAUGAAAGAACGAAUCGAACCGAAAUCGAAUCCAAUUCUGUUUGGUUCAAUUUAUACUUUUUGAUAAGUUAAUUCAGUUUAUGUCAAUUCCACAAAAGCUAAACCAAAUUGAAUCGUGCCCCACCCUUACUUCAUCAUCUCAUAACCUAAUUCCUAUUUAAACCCCAUUAGAGGUCCGUCCUACUAGCAGUGAACCCACUUGCAUGUCUAAGGACUAAGGUCACCCCAAAUUUUAAAUAAUUUUUAAAAUGUUAUUUUAGAAUUGGGUGAAAUGUAAAUACAUAGAGAAAUUACCAACAUCGACAUUGCAAUAUUUUGAGAACACGUGUAUAUGUAUGACAAGUAAUCUAAUCUAUUAAGGAUGCGUUUGGCACACUGCAUUGUAUUAUGCUGUAUUGCAUUAUUUUAAUGCUGAUGUAUUGUAUUAUGCUGUAUUGCAUUAGCACUGUAUUAUAAUAAUGUUGUACAAUGUUUGGUGCUACACUGUAUUGUAUUUUUUUUAAUUAAUUUAAAUUAAAUAUUAUAUUAUAUUAAUGUUUUAUAUUAUAUUAAUAUAUUUAAAUUGCAUUAAUAUUUUAUGUUAUCAAAAAAAAAAACAAACAAACAAACAAAGCUAAUGCGUCAACUAACGCAUUAGCCCCCCACCCCAAUCCCUUGCAAUUUUGUUCCAAACAUGGGUUUGGUAUUAUUUUAAUAUGAACAGUGUAAUAAUACACCAUAAUCACAUGCACCAAACACACCCUAAAGGGAUGAUGGUUUCCUCACAAGAAUAAAUGGCAGGAGAUUUUGGAAAGGUGAAAGAAUCGUAAAAUUUCCUUUUAACAUAUAAUUGAAUUAGAUGAUAUAAGAUAUCAAUUACUUUAUAUAUAUUUUCAUAUAUUUUAAGAUUUGAAUCAUAUUUAUGUUUUUUUUUUAUUGCAAUAUUUUUUUAAAAAAAAUUUGGAGUUCAAAUUUGUCCUACCAAUUAACCCUCAACCAAAAAUCCGAACUCAUAAAUACAUAUCGACCUCGCCAAACAAAAGUUUUUAUUCUGAUUGCUCACUAAAACCCCUCUCUUAAUUUGUACAUUACAAAAUGGAACUUGGUAUUGUCUCAAGAGAAGUUGUGAGGCCAUCUUCACCCCAUGUCCAUCUUUUAAAACCAUUCAAAAUUUCCUCUUUUAGAUCAACUCACUCCCACAACUUUUACUUCACUCGUCCUCUUUUACCGCAUGAGAAAUACGCAUCUAAUGGUUAUCCCAAUCUCAACUCGACUCAGAGAGUCAUUCUCAAAAACCCUAGUCCAUGUUCACCCUUUUGCAUGGAAGAUUGAGAGACAAUCUCAUCAUCAACGAUUAAGAUGAGGGAGUUCCAUAUAUAUAUUGAAGCCCCAGUGAACACUCAUUGGUUUGAGUUUCUUCAAAAUCCUCCAAUGGAACUAUUGAACCAAUGAGCUAUUUCAACUAUUAAAGUAAAAAAAAAAAAAUAUUAAAAUUAAAAUUUGAAAAAUUGAAUCGAACUGGAGCAGAGUCCAAUUUGUUUGGUUCGAUUUAUAUUCUUUGAUAAGUUAAUUAAGUUCAUGUCGAUUCCGCAAAAGCUAAACCGAACUGAAUCGUGCCCCACCCUUACUUCAUCAUCUCAUAAACUAGUUCCUAUUAAACCCCAUUAGAGGUCAGUCAUGCCAGCGGCCACUAUAAGAAAAGUAGUCGUUUUCGACUAUAGUUAAAUAUGGUUGCUAAUAGGGCAAUUUUCAACAGUAAAAAUUAAGAUAGCUACAAAAAAUAAAACAGUCACAUAGUUUUUCUAAUGAAAAGAACACUGUUGAAAAUAACUUCAAAGUCGGUUGAUAAUAAGUUUAUUUUAGAGAGAAAUUUUAGUGCCAUUGGCAUUUAUAACCACUAUAAGAGUAUAAGUAACACAUUGGGAAUGUAUAAUUAAUUCCUACUGUUUCAAAAACAUAGUAAAAAAUAAAAUAAUAAUUUCAAUUAUUAUUUUGAAUUAUUAUUAGAGGUCAGUCAUGUAUUAUUAUGAAUAAUUCAUAGUGGCCGCUGGCAUGGCUUAAUUAUGAAUUAUUAAAACUAAUACAGCUUCAUAGUUUUGGUGUCAAUAUCUAUUUUUAUCUUUUGUUUACCUUACUAAUCUGUCAUUUAAAUUUAAAAGCCAUGUUAAAGAUGUUUAAUCAAUCAAUUUAGGCUAGAGAGUGAUUAAACAAUCUAGUAAUUAAUCACAUAAUUGAUAUGAUAUAUAAUUGUUCAAUUAUAACAAAAUGUCAAUUUACAUUAAUAUGAUAAGAAGUUUCGUUUUGCAAUUAAUCAAAUCAUAUGCGCUAACAAUUUUCAAUAUUUAUCUAUAUAAAAUAAGUAAUGUAGGAUAAGUAAAUUAAUUGAUUUUUUUAAUUUGAAUAUCUUUUAUUAUCUCUAGUAAUUGUUUGGUUCGUUUAAUUGCUAUAUAUAAUGCCACCUAACUAAAGAUUUUGGUACAAAUGAUAUGUUUACGCUAACUCACGUUCUCCAUUCUCUUUAACAAAUUUCUCAAUCAGCUACUGAAUCCUAUCACUUAAUAGAAUAAAAAAAAAUAUUAAAUAAAUAAAUAAAAGCCACCGAUAUUAAGCGCAAUGGAUGAAUUCAUUACCUCUUCUUUUGUAUUAUCCAUCUCUCCAAAGCUUUCAACUCCCUUUUUGGGAUUGGGACAUUUUCUUAAUUCUUUUAAAUUAAUUUUUAUAAAAUUUGGGGAGAUGUUUUUAAAUAUUUAUUAUUUUUUUUUCAAUCACUUUUAAUUUAUUAAGUUUGACAUCAAUUAUUGUUGGCUUCAACCUUACAAGGCUGGUUUGAAGCUUUUUCUGUCAGAUUGUUCGGUGAGAAUUAUUUGAUUAAUUGUGGCUUGCAGGUAAGAAUUUUUAUUAUUAUUUUUGUUCAUGUUUUUAAUUUAUUAGAUUUUAAUUCACAAUUUAUUAUAUAACAAGCGAAAAAGAGACGUCAAUUAGGAUAGAUUAAUUUUCUUGUUUAGUAUAUCGGCUUUCUGCUUUAAUUUAAUUGUAUUUUUUUUUAUUGAUAUGCGGGAAUCAAGAGCUUAGAAAGAAAAAAAAACUAUGAUAUUCAGCUUUCACAAGGAUUCAGUUGUUCAAUCCACAUUGAUUCUAUCUUUUAUCAACACCAAAAUAUCAUUAUCCUAGUGUGGUGUAACUCUGGGUGUAUUAUAUUUUAUUUAAGUAUUUGUCAGUGAUUCAUUGAUUGAUCCAUGUUGAUUUUAUCUUUUAGCCACACUAAAUCAUUGUAGUGGUGUCCUAUUGCUUUUGGUAUAUCAUUGGUAUUUGUAUAAAGUGCACAUGUAUUUGUUGAAAUUAUUUGUAAAAGAAUAUUAAUUUGUCAUUGAUUCAUUGAUUACUAAGUCAUUCUAUUAGUUGCACAUGUAUUUGUUGAAAUUAUCUAUAAAAGAAUAUUUGUCAUUAAUUCAUUGAUUACUAAGUCAUUGUGGUAGCACUGUGUAGCUUUUGGUGUAUUAUUUUGUAUUUGUUUAAGCUGCACAUGCAUUUGUUGAAAUUAUUUGUAAAAUAAUAUUUGUCAUUGAUUCAUUGGUUAUUAAGUCUUAGUAGUAGCUGCACAUGUAUUUGUUGAAAUUAUUUAUAAAAGAAUUAAUAUUUGUCGUUGAUUCAUUGAUUAUUAAGUCAUUGUAGUAGAAUUGUGUAACUUUUGGUGUAUUAUUUGUAUUUGUUUAAGCUGCACAUGUAUUUAUUGAAAUUAUUUGUGAAAGAAUAUUUGUCAUUGAUUCAUUCAUUACUAAGUCAUUGUAGUUGCAUUGUGUAGCUUUUGGUGAAUUAUUUGUAUUUGUUUAAGCUGCACAUGCAUUUGUUGAAAUUAUUUGUAAAAUAAUAUUUGUCAUUGAUUCAUUGGUUAUUAAGUCUUAGUAGUAGCUGCACAUGUAUUUGUUGAAAUUAUUUAUAAAAGAAUUAAUAUUUGUCGUUGAUUCAUUGAUUAUUAAGUCAUUGUAGUAGAAUUGUGUAACUUUUGGUGUAUUAUUUGUAUUUGUUUAAGCUGCACAUGUAUUUAUUGAAAUUAUUUGUGAAAGAAUAUUUGUCAUUGAUUCAUUCAUUACUAAGUCAUUGUAGUUGCAUUGUGUAGCUUUUGGUGAAUUAUUUGUAUUUGUUUAAGCUGCACAUGCAUUUGUUGAAAUUAUUUGUAAAAUAAUAUUUAUCAUUGAUUAUUAAGUCAUUGUAGUAGCACAUGUAUUUGUUGAAAAUAUUUAUAAAAGAAUAUUUGACCAUUGAUUCAUUGACUUUUUUUUUCUUAGAAGCUAUUAAAAAAUCAGCUUUAACUAUAUAUUUGUCUAUUAGUUCAUUAUUUUUUUGAGACAAUUAAUAAAAUGAUCAUUUUAACUACGAAGUCGAAUAAAAUGAAUUUCAACAAUCAUCAUUUUAGAAAUACUAAAAUUCAAUUAGAAAUAUAAUUUAUUCCAACUAAUACGACAUAUUUUCGAUUGCAUAAUCAAUUAGAACUAAUAUUUUUUCUAUUGUAAUUUAUUUUUUUUCGAUUGUGUUUGCCCCUGAAAAAUAGUGUAUUUUAACGAUAAUUAAUUAGUUGAAAUUGAUAUUGCAAAUACAACCACUAGAGAAAAUCGAAAACGAUAAAGUGGUUAUAAAUAUCAGUCGUUAGUCGCAUGUUCAUAUUAAUUUUCAAUCUAUAUUUAUAUAUUUAUUAUGGUUAAUUUCGCUCGAAAUAAGCAUAUUUACGACUGCUGUUUGAAAAAAGUAUAUUUUUAACCUGGGUAUUAGCGACUGCCAGCGAUUGUCUGUGGCCAUUGUAAAAAUACAUUUUUCAACAGCAUGACACUUAUUUCAACAGCAGUCAUAAAAAAACAUGCUUUUCUUGUAAUGGGCGGAACCACAUGCAUGUCUAAGGACUAAGGCCACCCCAAAUUUUAAAUAACUUUUAAAAUGUCAUUUUGGAAUGGGGUGAGAUGUAAAUACGUUGAGAAAUUACCAAUAUCGACUAUACAAUAUUUUGAGAACACAUGUACACGUAUGACUAUUUAAUUUAAUCUAUUAAAUGGAUAUGAUUUCCUCACAAAAUUAAAUGGUGGAUGAUUUUGGAGAGAUGAAAGAAUCGUAAAAUUCCCUUUUAAUGUAUAAUUGAGUUACAUGAUAUAAGAUAUCAAUUAUUUUAUAUAUUUUUUCAUAUAUUUUAACAUUCAAUAUAUUUAUGUUAUUUUGGUUGCAAUAUUUUUAUUUUUAUUUUUGGAGUUUAAAUUGUUGGAUCUUUAAUCUAGCAUUAUUGGAUUAUUAAUCCAACGUUGAACUUAAUCUAGUAUAAGGGUCAGUCUAAUGAAAAGUGAUCUAUUAAGAUUUUCGGUAAUAUAGACUUUAAUGUAUCUGAUAUGGUGUGAGACUUUAAUGUGUAGAGACUUACGGGUAAUUUUUAUUCUUAUGAUGAGCUAAAAUAAAAAUAACUAAAGACAACAAGAAAAAUGAUCUAUAUAAGUGGUCAUGGUCUCCAGGUGUCACGUAUAAUUCCAUUCUUUCUGACAUCCCAUCAUCAGAGAGAGAGUAUAGAAAAAUUUAAAGAAUUCUAUAGGAGAACAUAUUCAUCUGAAAGAUAAACCACAUAACUCUAGAGAGCAAUUAUUCAUUAUGGAUUCAUGUACACUUCCACAUAUUUUGUUAUUGAUUCGUGAACCUUUAAUGUGUGGAGACUUACAGGUAAUUUUUAUUCUUAUGAUGAGCUAAAAUAAAAAUAACUAAAGACAACAAGAAAAAUGAUCUAUAUAAGUGGUCAUGGUCUCCAGGUGUCACGUAUAAUUCCAUUCUUUCUGACAUCCCAUCAUCAGAGAGAGAGUAUAGAAAAAUUUAAAGAAUUCUAUAGGAGAACAUAUUCAUCUGAAAGAUAAACCACAUAACUCUAGAGAGCAAUUAUUCAUUAUGGAUUCAUGUACACUUCCACAUAUUUUGUUAUUGAUUCGUGAACCUUUAAUGUGUGGAGACUUACAGGUAAUUUUUAUUCUUAUGAUGAGCUAAAAUAAAAAUAACUAAAGACAACAAGAAAAAUGAUCUAUAUAAGUGGUCCCAUUUAUUGUUAUUAUUGAAGCAAAGAAGACUCAAACACAGGUACUUUUCUAUUUAUAUGUGUACACUAAAACCUCUCUCAUAAUUUGUACGUUACCAACAUGGAAAUUGGCAUUGUCUCAAGAGAAGUUGUGAGGCCAUCUUCACUCCAUGUUCAUCUUUUAAAACCAUUCAAAAUUUCUCUUUUAGAUCAACUCACUCCCACAACUUUUGCUCCACUCGUCCUCUUUUACCCCACAUGAAAAGUACACAUCUAAAGGGUACCCAAAUCUCAACUCAGCUCAAGGAGUCACUCUCAAAAACCCUAGAACACUUUUACCCUUUGGCCGGAAGAGUGAGAGACAAUCUCAUAAUCAACGAUUAUGAUGAGGGAGUUCUAUACAUUGAAACCCGAGUGAACACUCACUUGUUUGAGUUUCUUCAAAACCGUCCAAUGGAACUACUGAACCAAUGUCUCCCAUACCCUCCAUUUAGUCACCAACCAAAUCCACAUCAAGUUCCCCAAGUAGCUGUGCAAUUGAACACAUUUGAUUGUGGUGGCAUAGCACUUGGCUUGUGCUUCUCACAUAAGAUCAUUGAUGGUGGCAGGCACAGCAAGUGCUUUCCUCAGAAGUUGGGCUGCAAAUACUCGUGGAGGUUACCAUAAAGCAGUGAAGUACGAAAACUUAUCUCAGGCAUCAAUGAUUUUCCCUCCUCAAAACCCUUCGCCGAAUCAUCAGUUAUCCGUAAUGGAAAAGAAUUGGUUCAGAGAAGCCAAGUACAAGACAAGAAGAUUCGUGUUUGACGCGAAGGCCAUAGCAACCCUAAGGUCUGAAUGCAAAGGCGAACGUGUCCCUAAUCCAACGCGCACUGAAGCAUUGUCAGCAUUCAUACUGAAGUCGACCAUGCUAGCUUUAAGACCGACAGCAAGUUCACGAUUUGUAUUGCAUCAAGCGGUGAACCUUCGAAGACUAACAGAACCAAGGUUAUCGACCUGUUCUGUUGGGAACCUGUUUCUGUGGGCAACCGCAGCUUAUGACAUGGAGCAUGCAGCGGAAAUGGGGCUGCAUGGAUUGGUGGCACGUAUGAGGCAAGGUGUGGGGAAAAUCAAUAGUGAGUACUUGAAAACAUUACAUGGUGAUGAAGGGUUUCCAAAAGUGUGUGAGUAUAUAAAGAGAAUGGAAGAGGUUUCUGCCCACGAAAAUUUAGAAGCCUUGAAAUUUUCCAGUUGGGUCAAAUUUGGUUUAAAUGAAGUUGAUUUUGGAUGGGGGAAUCCAAUUUGGAGCGGCAUUUUUGGAGAAGUUGGCUCUAAUUCUUUCCAAAAUUUGACAUUUUUUAAGGAAACAGGAAGUGUUAUUUAUGAUAAUGCAGUGGAGGCAUGGGUGACGUUAGAUGAAAAAAUAAUGUCUGUAUUGGAGCAUGAUCCUCAGUUUUUGGCCUUGGCUUCGCCUAAUCCGAGCAUUAUUGUUUGACGUUUGUCGAUUCUGAAUUUUUUAUGUUCCUGAUGAAUCAUGAUGGAUGAUACUGGCUAGCUAGUGGCAACUACUAAGCAAUUGAUGUCGAUGGUAGAUCUUGAAGAUGGAAUGAAGUGCAUGCAUGUGCUGCGAUAAAAUAAAGGUCGAUCUUGUGAAAAAAUUAAAAAAAGGAUGAUCCCUGUUUUUUUAUUGAUUUUAAAAGUUACGGUAUAAAUUUAUGUAUUUGUUUUUCAGUAAAUAGAUCCAUAAGAAAAUUAAAAAAAAAAAAAAAAAGCUCGUGAAAUGUGAUGGUUUAAUUUUCAAAUAAAAAAAAAAAUUGGUUUGACCAGGCGCGAAAAUAGUAGGCCAACACAAAAGCAUAUAUAAAUAAUUCAACCCCAAGCUUGUGGUUGGUGGUUUUCAAGUAUAUGACAGGUACUUGGAUAAUGUUCAUAGGUACUAGUAGUUAAAAAUAAAAUAAAAUAAAAUAAAAUAAAAGGGUUGAACUGGCCUAAGCAUAUAUAAAUAAUUCAGCACCAAAGGUUGUGGUUGAGUGGCUUUCAAAUAUUGGGGAGAUGACGGAUAAAAAAAAUAAAUUUAGGCAUUGUUUAUGACUUAUGUGUGUGUAUAAGUAAUGAAUGGACAUUUGUUUUACCAAUCACUUUCAAAAUUACUAAAUACGGAUAGAAUAAAUUAAUAAAAGGAAAACCAUAAUCGGUGGACGGGACUAUUUUUAUACCAUGAAAUGUGCAUUGACAUCUUCCUAUACAAUCAUUUGAUAAGUUAAAAAAAAAAAUUUGUAAUCGACGCACACUUUAGCAUAUUAAAAUAUGCAUGCUUCAAUUAGAUCUCAUUAAAUCCCUAUUGUUACACAUUUAUUAUUUUAGAUUCAUGCACACAUAUGAAAAUAGUCAUGCCCACAUGUUUCCUCAUUGCAUUUAAAAAUUAGUGACUCUUCUACUACGAAAUGAGGACUUAUAUAGAUGAUGCUUAGAGCUCAAACCCUCACUAAAAUUCCCAGUUAAGUUAAAACAAAAUUUUAAGUGUGAGCAUAAGGGAAAUUGGGGGUUAGCAAGUUUUAACAUAUAACGUGUUCUUGUACCAUACAUUAAUGUUGUAGCAUAUGCUUUUGACAGUAAUUUUAGAAGUGAGAUAGAUAGAAUUGAGUUGUUUCUUAUUUUCAAUAGUAAGUAGCAGCAACGUCGUAAAAUUUUAUUCGAUUUAUAGUAAUCUCUCUUCCCACACAGUAUAAUGUUGUCUAUUUAAAAACUUUGAUCAUCCGUACGAUUUUAUUUUCGGAUCCAUCCAUCUGAAAUAUCAUAGAAGAAAGUACUCUACACGUAUACUAUUUAAUUAACUAGCAAUCAUUUGAUUCUAACUAGAGAUUGUUAGAUUCUAUCACCUCACUGUUGCAUGUUACAGCAUCAAAGCCCAACCCAACGUCAUCCCUGUCCCAUAUCCCACACCCUUUCGUCCCACACCCUUUCUUUAAAAGCUAUGCAAAUUCAUGCAAAAAUUAUAUCACACAAAAUUAUUAAUCAAAAGAGAAGCAAGAAAAACUUCCUCCAUCUUAGCCGCCGGUGCCAAGCAAAAAGAGAGCGCCUCUUGCAACUCCAAAACCUUCUCUCUUUUCCUUAGUAAUUUUAAAUUGAUUUUACCUAACUCUCAUCUCCUUUUAGCUUAAAAACCACACCCCAGUACUUCAUUUUAUUUGUCUUCACAAAUCUGCUCUUUUGAUCAAGAAACCUAACCUAACCUAACCAAACCCUCUUCUUAUGUUUUUAUAGAGAUCAGUUAGUUUACUUGUUUAUUUUUAUUUUUAUUUUUUUGGCUUUCAGGAAGGUAUUAGCUAAGUUUUUAAGCCACCAAUUUCCUUAACUGCAAAAUCUUUUCGGUUCAUUGGCUUUAUGCUUUGCUUUUUGAUCUUUCAUCUAAAGCAUCUCUACUUUAUUAUUUUCUUGGCAGUGUGGCGGUGGAGAUGAUGGGGGCUUUGUUCCUUAACUCCCUCUCAGUUGCACCAAAUAAAUUUGUCAAAGCCUUUGAGAACAAUUGUGACCUGUGCUUGCUGAGGAAGAAAAGAAGCAUAAUGCAUUGCCAAGGUGGUGGCAAAACGACACGGUCCAGCGGCGUUUCUCCGGCUUUGAAAGAGAGAUCAACGGUAACGGAUACAGCUGCUGGAAGCUUAGUUUUAUCUCCGAAUGGGAAAGGCCAUGCUGAGAUUGUUGUUCAAGAUUUGGUGCCUUUUGGUGGACAAGCCACUUCUUUGGUAGAGUUGCAAGAUGGAAUUGGCAUUGUCAAAUUUCUCAAAGCCAAAAAUUUUUUCGUUACUGGGGCAACUGGGUUUCUAGCAAAGGGUAUCAUUUUUUUUUUUUUCCGGAAACCUUGAUAGUACGAGAAAGUUUUAUUAUAAUUUACAUUUAUUUCUUUUUUUAAAAAAAAUUUUGCAGUGCUUAUAGAGAAGAUUUUACGAACGGUACCUGAUGUGGGCAAGAUCUUUGUGCUGAUCAAGGCAAAAAAUGAAGAGGCUGCAAUGGAGAGAUUGAAAAAUGAAGUAUUAUCUACCCUCUGAAUUAGCAUUUUGUAAUUAAUUAGGUUUUGCUAUGUGAUUAAUUAAUUUGUGCUGCAAAUUUAACUUAUGGUAGUGUUUAUAGAUUAUUAAUGCAGAGCUUUUCAAGUGUCUGAAGCAAACUUAUGGAAAAUCCUACCAAGCUUUCAUGUUAAGCAAGCUGGUUCCUGCGGUAGGAAACGUUUGUGAAAAUAAUCUUGGAUUAGAAGAAGAUUUAGCUGAUGUGAUUGCGAAAGAAGUUGACGUAAUUGUAAAUUCCGCGGCUAAUACAACUUUUGAUGAAAGGUGAUGGCCUUCAAUAUUAAUUUAUAACUAUCAUUAAGGCCAAUUUCAAGUAGUUAUAAAACUUUAUAGUGAUAGCAUGUCUGAUGAGUUUUUGAAAAUGCAUGCAGAUACGAUAUUGCUAUUGAUAUAAACACAAGGGGACCUUGCCGGCUAAUGGAGUUUGCAAAGCAAUGCAAUAAACUUAAGCUCUUUGUGCAAGUAUCAACAGGCAAGUACCAAAAUUAAAGCCAGUUUUGGAAAUUGGAAGCUUUUGAAAAUUGAAAAACUUUGGCUUGUUUAAUUUCUUCUUGAUAAAUUUUCUUGUCUUGUUAAGGUUGCUUAAAAAUUAAAAGUAAAAUUACAUAAUAAAAGCUAGAUUUGUCUUCUUUCGUGAACAGCAUACGUAAAUGGACAAAGACGAGGCAAAGUUAUGGAAAAGCCAUUUUGCAUGGGAGAUAGCAUAGCAAAAGAAAAUUUUGUCUCCAACUCUCGAAGGCUUAUACCAACUUUGGAUGUUGAAAAUGAAAUGAAGUUGGCUUUGGAAUCAAAAGAAUUCUCCACAGAUGGUGAAGUGGCUCAGAAAAUGAAAGAAUUGGGUUUAGAAAGGUGAAGUGAUCUACUUUUAUUUUAUUUUUCCUCUGUUUUGUCUUGUAAAACGGACUUUUUGUUUAAGCUUGCUCAAAUACCACGUGUAACGGGUGGAUAAAUCACUUGAUUAGGGCAAGAAAAUAUGGAUGGCAAGACACUUAUGUGUUCACGAAGGCUAUGGGAGAAAUGGUGAUUGAUAACAUGAGGGGAGACAUACCGGUUGUGAUAAUUCGACCAAGUGUUAUUGAGAGCACUUGCAAAGAACCAUUUUCCGGUUGGAUGGAAGGAAACAGGUGCAUUUAAUUUUAUCAACCAUUUUAAUUAAUUUAGAUUAAUUGCAUUUGGUCUGCCCAAAAAAAUGAAUAAAUAAAAGUAAUUAAUCCUCUCUCUGACUUUUAAAGGAUGAUGGAUCCAAUAAUUUUAUACUAUGGGAAAGGGCAGCUGACAGGAUUUUUGGUAGACCCAAAUGGGAUUCUUGACGUAGUAAGUAAAAUUUUAAUUAACCAUUGAUUAAUUAAUCUCUUGCUACGGUUUGGCUGUGUAGCAAUUAUUUUGCAAAUACAAGAAAACUUUGUGCUUUCAUGACAAAAUUAGCUGCUGCAGGUCCCGGCUGACAUGGUUGUUAACGCAACAUUGGCAGCAAUAGCACAGCACGGAAUGAUUCAAAAACCUGAUAUAAAUGUCUACCAAAUUGCUUCAUCUGUUGUGAAUCCACUAGUGUUUCAAGAUCUUGCAAGGCUGCUUCAUGAACACUACAGUGCUUCGCCGUGUGUGGACACGAAGGGCAGGCCAAUCCGUGUGCCAUCAAUGAAGCUCUUCAGCUCCAUGGAAGAUUUUUCAGCUCACCUCUGGAGAGAUGCUAUUCAGCGAAGUGGGCUGACAUCCACGGCUAAUUUGAACGGGAAGCUGCCUCAGAAACUUGAAACUAUUUGCAGAAAGUCAGUAGAGCAAGCGAAGCACUUGGCUGAUAUAUAUGAGCCAUACACCUUUUAUGGAGGAAGGUAAUUAGGCUCUCUCUAUUAGCAUGCACAAUGCAAUAUGUAUCGACCCCUUUUGACACUACUAGCUCCAGAUUCCUCCUUAAUUAGACUCGUCGUAAACUUUAAAACUACAUAUUAUUAUACGUCUAAAUCUAAAUUUAUAAACUAAGUUACGUAAAUUUGAAGCCAAUCUACUCACCGCAGCCUACAUCAGCCACAUUUUUCUUACUAACCAAGAAGUCAAGAAACCCAAAGAAAACAAAAAAUCAAUCUCUAUCUGAUGUUAAAUUGUAUUUAUGUUAUGAACCAAUAUUAAUUUAAAUGCAUGAUCAUCAAUAUUUUGGCAGAUUUGAUAACAGCAAUACAGAGAGAUUGAUGGAGAAAAUGUCCGAAGAAGAGAAGAGAAAGUUUGGAUUUGACGUGGGGAGCAUUGACUGGAAAGAAUACAUCACAAAUGUUCAUAUACCAGGCUUAAGGAGGCAUGUCAUGAAGGGAAGAGGAAUACACGUGUAGCUAAUAAAAUUAUAUGUGCUUCUUUGUUAAUUUUAAUUAUAUCCCGUGUUAGGGCUUUCAAGUAAUUAUAAUAAGUGAAUACUUUUUCUUUUUCUUUUUUUCUGUCUUGACUUUGUAAUAACUGAAUGCUUAAUCCUGCGUUUUCUUUUUUCUGUUCCAAAAUUAUAUAUAAAGGUAGGCAAGAAUUUGGGUGAAUUCAUGGUUAAUUAGAUGGACUAUGUUGCGUGGAAUUUAAGUUCCUUUCCUACGAUAAUUUCGGUGAUUGAUGGUUAUAUUUUUCGAUAAAUUUUCAGUCAUUUGUUUAGACCAUAUAUUUACAAUAGGAUCUUAUGUUCAGUUAAAUUUCUGAUCGUUCGUUUAAACCAUAUGUUUAUGAUUAACACAGACAAAUAGUAAAUAAUUAACAAAUAUUAAAACUAUUUAGUACUUUGGACGACAAUUAUUAUUUCAUGAAGUAAAAAGAAAAUCGAAAUGAGUCUAGCUUUGUGGCUAAUCUUCUAAUAAGACAAUUUUCUUUUUUUGGGAUAAUUUUAUUUAUGACUCUACAUAUCUAUGAAAUUGAUAUACAUGUAUAAUGAGAACUUGAUAUCUUUAAAAUUUUCUUAGUUUUUAUGGAAAUUAAAUGAACAGGUUUAGGUUGUUAAAUGAAAAGCACCUAUUCCAAAUAAUAUGCAAAAUCUAAAAGAAAUUUGUGACAGGGAAGAAAGAUUUCGUGAUCAAAGAGUGAACAAAAUUUUUAUUUUUCUUUUCCCCUAUUUAUAACGAUUUAUCAUUUAUCACUGCUAGCAGAUCAAUAACAUUACUGGUAUGUCGACAAGAGAUCGUUUCGGUUACCAAAGUGCUAAAACCAGAGGAAAACACGAGAAAACGCUUCUCAGUCACCAGAUGAACACCGCAAGCAGUUGCACUGAAAACCGAACCCUUGCGUUAAGAUAGCUUGACGAGCAUCACGAGCCAUACUUGCAUCGAUGUAGCAUAUCCGAAGUUCUUCCCCUGUGAAAUAAACAUAAAAUUAAGAUUAUGGCAUUGUUAUUAUUAUGUUGAAUAUUUUUGCAUGGUGGGAUUUGAGGAAUGAAAACGUUAAUCUUGAAUGCAUGCAUCUUCAUAGCUCUGCCUGCUAAUUUCCCUCGUUUUCUUUAACAAUGCUGUGAAAUUUUUAAUGUGAAAGCAACCUAUUCUUUUUCUUCAUUCUCAUUGGCUACUCAACAGAUGAAAAUUCAUUUCCCUAACAUGCAUGCUAUAGAAGUGACCUACAAGAGAUUUUAAUAUUGGGUAAGAAACCGGAAAAACAAAGAAACAUGAAAGCUGUGCGAUUGCUGGACAAACCUUCCUCAACAUCACGAAGGGCCAUCAAUCUUGCAUCUGCAUUGUCUAUCCACAUAAUAUGUGCAUUCGGAUCUGCAAUCCAAAUUCAGCUCAUUCAGUUCCUUUCUUAUUUUCUCUCUUCUUUUGGCACAAAAAUUCUGUUUGGCUUAUCCUAGCAUGUCAUCUAUUUCUAUGAACAUUUUAACAAUCACUAGAUCUGCACUUGAACCAGUUUUGGGCGAUCAUUGAAUUGUUAUUUCGCCAAUCCCCAUAGAUUCUUCCUUCCCCAAUAAUCUUAUAUUCUAUCUCCCUUUAAUUCUUUUUCUUCUCUUCCAAUUGUCCUAAUUUUUCUUCUAUUUUGUAGUCUACAUCAAUUGAUAUCUGAUCAUGCACUAUGUAAAUAAGGUUAAAUUGCACCUAGAACCUCAGAAGAGGAAAAAUAAAGUAAAACAGUUAAAAAGAAGAAGAGGAAAAACUAACCACAAUCGUGGUUAUAGAAGGAUGGAAGCAUAUAAAUUGCAUUCCCAACUGCAAUUUCAGAUUCUAUGGAGGCUGCAGCUGAUGAAAGAAGAUCUUCAUACAAUCCUCCAGCCAAUUCAAUACGAAACGCAUUGAUACGAAUUUGAGCCAGUACAUUAGUGUACCAUUGCUUGUUUAGAACUUGUAAUGUCAAAGAUCACUGUUCUCCCAAAAAACACUGGCAUAGAGCUAGAAAAAAGUAUAAGAUAACAAAAAAUAAUGAUAAUUGAUGUGGAGGAUACAUUUCAUCUGUUCAUCAUCUAUACCUGCCUUUUUAAAGGCACUCCUUAGCAUAACAAAACCCUCUUCCAUCUGAAAAUUCUCAUAAAAGUAAGAUGGCAUGCCGCAAAUUUAAAAUUUCACCAAAAGAAGAACAUAUAUGCACAAAAAUAAUGGCAAGGGAUGCUAAACCCCUAAUCAUCAUGGUCAUUAAUAGAUCAGCUCACUGAAUAUUUAUUAUCUAAUUAUUGCUUCUAUAACUAUGAAUAAUGCAUUUCCUUUGGUAGACAAGCAACAAUUAUUGUUUCUGUGAUCAAAUCACAUGCAGAAAUAAUAGGUUCUCAAGCUCCAAUUACUUGGUGCAACAAAGUAAUGAAUUGAUUUGAAUAGAAUUCAUGAUCUAACAGCUCUACCAACAAUUCUUUCUUAUUUCAAAAAUUUCUACAUCGGUCAUGAUCAAUAUUAAUAUAAGAUUCUUACCGCCAAAAUCAAUUCAGGGGAUAAACUAGCAGGUUGAAGUAUGUCAAUACAGUCAGCAGAUUCAGCUCCUGAUAUAAUCAUACAAGCCAACCGCUUCACCAGAAGAGGGUAUUUCAAUCCUUGACUCCUUUAUAGAAAAUGUAUUUAAAAUGAAAAAUUAAAGAAAUACAAUAUGAAAAUGAGAACAGACACUGAAAAGUGUUAAAAAUUACAACAAAUUUAGGAAAAUUUAGGAAAUCAUGUUGACAUGAAAACAUAAACUGCUGUUGGACUUCAGGAGACCACAUGUGUUGGUAAAUCAAUAGUCCCACAGAAAACUAAAAAUAGAAACACCACUAUCAUGUUCAAAAUAUUUCUAAUAGCAUUACUGCUCUUGCUGGCAAUAAACCCAUAAUAACUAUGAAAGGUAAUUCAAAUGGCUUAAAGGAAAAUCCUGCGUGUUUGCCCCUAACAAAAAAAACUUGAUGAGCUGCCAUCUAUUUAAAAUUUGCACCAUGUUAACAUGAUGCAUGAUACUAUAUACUCAAAAAUGCCAAUUAUUUUUAAGAAUUUAUCAUACUGUGUUAUUUUAUUCGUUUCAUUCCAUGUAGUGAUACCAACAGUUACUCAGGGAAAGCGAAUGAAGAAAAUACAAAUUCUGCUGUAACAAGUCUUAAUUAAUACCUUUAGAUGCACUGAACAUUGCUAAAAGAAUCUCAAAGUAGGACAAAAAGGAUAUGUACAAAUCUAAUAUGACACAAAUAUGAAAUGUAACUGAAUGCAAAAAAAGAAGAUAAAUCCCAUAAAAAAAUGAUGUAGACAAAAUGUAAUUGGGAAAAUCUAUCAACCUUCAAGCAAGUGAAAUUAAAAGAAUUUCAGAAACUCACAUACCGGCAAUAGUCAUUGAAAACAGACCAAUCCGCUCUCCUCUCAACAUCAUAAAAUGCCUGAGAAUAUGAGAAUAAAACAGAGAUUCUUUAAAAGGCAAAAAGGACUUAAAGUUCAAACCAAUUCAACUCACUGAAAGUAAGAGCUCUUAUAGCCAGCUUGUAUUCUUAAGCAAAUAAACUAUUGAAAUACUAAGGGGGACUUCAGCUACUACAACCUGCUGUAAAAUGGAAUCACUAACUAUCAAGUAUUAGUGCUUCGUCGUUGGUAAACAUUAGCUUUCACAGUUAAACAUAAGCAGAGGCGGAUGUAGUGUAGGACUAGUGGGGGCUCAAGCCCCCACUGAAAAAAAAAACUAUUUUUGUUUGAAAGAAAAAUUAAUAAAUUUUUAAAUAAUCCCUGUCAUAUUUUUAAAUAGUCCAAGUUUUUUCAGUUUUUACAACCACAGUAGAGAGAACAUUUUCAACAACGAAAUUUGUGAAGAAUGAACUUCAGAAUCGGAUGGGAGAUGAAUGGACAAAUAAUAAUUUGAUUGUUUAUGUAGAAAGAUGUAUUUAAUAGUAUUGAUAAUGAAUUUAUUGCACAACGUUUUCAGAAUAUGAAAUCGCGUAGAGAAUAAUUGUAACUGUGUUAUCAAAAAUUUUAUAUAUUCAAGUUUCAGUUUUUAUAUUUUAUUAUCAUUUAAUUUAGCCCCCGGUAAAUUAUUUUUCUAGAUCCGCCAUUGAACAAUAAGCACAACAAUUAUAAACAUACCCCAAUGAGCAACAAAAACUAAUAUGCACACUAGUAGUGUUGUCAUGAACAUAACUUGGAUUAUAUGACACUAUGUAUUCUGAGAAGUUCAUGCAAAAUGUUCAAGCUCUUCUCCUACUACCUUAGAUACUCUGUAAAGACAUACACUACCCUUGCAUAAAUUACAACACAGUAAAGCUUAGAUAAGGGUUUCACGCUAAUGAAUAAUGCCUUGACUCUACCAAAGCAUAAAGGAUUCACAAAUUGUAAUCUCAGCUAGCAACAGAUGGCAUUAAUAGCUAAAAGGGAAGAACUCUGUUCAUCCUUAUAAACAAUCUGUCAAAAAUCCCUCCACCAUUAUUUAUUUCUCAAAGCUUCACAACAUAAAUGUUAACAUUCUAUGGCACAAACUCUCCUUAGGCAAAACAUUACAGGGUUUAAUAGCAUAUGGGUCCCCGAUUUUUUAUGAAAUAGCAAUUAAGAACACAGAUUACAUUUUUUCCCAUGUAGUCCCUUGCCUUCAUACAAUGAUAAAAAUCCUAUAAUACAAUCAAGGCAUGUUUGGUUAUAGUAUUAAAGGGGUAUUAAAAUAUUGUUCACAUUAUCUUAAUAUCAAUAUCAUGUUUGGCAAAUUUUACAAGGGAUUAAGGGGUAUACUAAUACAGCAAACUGCCGCAUUAGGUAAACCUGACCGGGAGUCGAGAAAAGCUAGCAAACUGCCGCAUUAGCUUUUGUGCUUUUGCAUUUGCUGCUUCUUUUUUUUUUAUUACUUUUGCUUUUGCUUUUUUUUCAAUACUAAUAAAUAAUAUAACUUUUUAAUAUAAUAUAAUAUUUUCUUUUCUUUUAUUUUUAUAAUUUAUUGCACAACGUUUUCAGAAUAUGAAAUCGCGUAGAGAAUAAUUGUAACUGUGUUAUCAAAAAUUUUAUAUAUUCAAGUUUCAGUUUUUAUAUUUUAUUGUCAUUUAAUUUAGCCCCCGGUAAAUUAUUUUUCUAGAUCCGCCAUUGAACAAUAAGCACAACAAUUAUAAACAUACCCCAAUGAGCAACAAAAACUAAUAUGCACACUAGUAGUGUUGUCAUGAACAUAACUUGGAUUAUAUGACACUAUGUAUUCUGAGAAGUUCAUGCAAAAUGUUCAAGCUCUUCUCCUACUACCUUAGAUACUCUGUAAAGACAUACACUACCCUUGCAUAAAUUACAACACAGUAAAGCUUAGAUAAGGGUUUCACGCUAAUGAAUAAUGCCUUGACUCUACCAAAGCAUAAAGGAUUCACAAAUUGUAAUCUCAGCUAGCAACAGAUGGCAUUAAUAGCUAAAAGGGAAGAACUCUGUUCAUCCUUAUAAACAAUCUGUCAAAAAUCCCUCCACCAUUAUUUAUUUCUCAAAGCUUCACAACAUAAAUGUUAACAUUCUAUGGCACAAACUCUCCUUAGGCAAAACAUUACAGGGUUUAAUAGCAUAUGGGUCCCCGAUUUUUUAUGAAAUAGCAAUUAAGAACACAGAUUACAUUUUUUCCCAUGUAGUCCCUUGCCUUCAUACAAUGAUAAAAAUCCUAUAAUACAAUCAAGGCAUGUUUGGUUAUAGUAUUAAAGGGGUAUUAAAAUAUUGUUCACAUUAUCUUAAUAUCAAUAUCAUGUUUGGCAAAUUUUACAAGGGAUUAAGGGGUAUACUAAUACAGCAAACUGCCGCAUUAGGUAAACCUGACCGGGAGUCGAGAAAAGCUAGCAAACUGCCGCAUUAGCUUUUGUGCUUUUGCAUUUGCUGCUUCUUUUUUUUUUAUUACUUUUGCUUUUGCUUUUUUUUCAAUACUAAUAAAUAAUAUAACUUUUUAAUAUAAUAUAAUAUUUUCUUUUCUUUUAUUUUUAUAUCAUAAUUGUUAAUAUAAAUUAAUAAUUUAUUAUUCAUAUUUUAAUUUUUAUUAUAUUAAAAAUAUUACUAAAUAAUGUAUUAUUUAAUUAUAUAAUAAUUAAUAUAUCAAAUUGAUUAAUAAGUACUUAAAUAAUAUAUAAAAAUAAGAAUAUAACUUGAUAUUACAUUAUUUAAUUAUAUUAUAGUAAUUAAUAUAUAAAAAUUUAAUAUAACUAAUAAAAAUAUUUAUAUAUGAAUAAAUUUAAAUAAUAUUAAUUUAAAAUAAAUGUUAUGUUGUCGAUUAUAAGGCUAUAAGCUUCAAUCUUUAUGGAAAUUUUUUUAAUAUUUAUACUAAAAAAUAAUGUUAAAUUUCUAAAAUUUAAGACUUCUAUAUUUUGUAUUUUUUUAGGUACUAAUAAAUAUUAUUUUCUAAAUAUAUAAUUUAAGUUAAUCACAAAAAAAUUAAUACAGUACAGUGUAGCACCAAACAUUGUACAACAUUAUUAUAAUACAGUGCUAAUGCAAUACACCAUAAUACAAUACACAAAUAUUAAAAUAAUACAAUACAGCAUAAUACACUAUAGUGUGCCAAACGCACCCUCAGUGAUUUAACAUUAUACUCAUCAAAAUUUUGAAAAAGAAUUAAGUCCCCUUAAUAAACUCAUUUCAAGGUGUGACUGAAAAGCCAAUGAUGUUAAUCAGCCAGCAAAGACCCACAAGAAAAUUUUUCAAGUAAUGUCCUUACCUGUGACUUUGUCAAAACUUAGGGACCCAAACCUAAAACUUAAAAUCCAGUUAGUCAUAGAAGCAUAACUGCAAACAGGUGAUAGGUACAUCGUAAACCUCAAAAUCCAUGAAGAAUUUUUUUUAUUUUUUUUCCCCUGAAAGAAAGCCCAUUUUACCUUAGCGUUAUCUUUGCACACUUCACUGCAAAAGCGAGCAUUAUGAUGUUGAAAAUGCUGCGAACUCGAAGUAAUCUUUCUGAGACAAAAGUAACACACGCUGUUUAGUGUGGAAAGAGUCGGGUGAGUUAUGAUGGGCUUGGCGGUGUGGAUGAGAUCGCCGGCCCCGAUUCUCCGAGUGGCGAAGACGCCGCGACCGGCGGACUCGGUGAGCGCGACUUGGAUUGGCGGCGGCGAGGGUUGACUGGGUUUCCCAUUGUGCGUUGCGGCGGAGCAAAGCUGCCUCUUUUCUAAAUGAAGACUUUCGAGGCGGGAAAUCAGGCAACGGCUAUAACGGCGUAAGCACAUCUUCCAAAAGUAACAGACUUGUGGGAGAAAUGGAAUAAAUAAGAUCACAAAAUUAUGACCAAUAAAAUCAUACUGAGCGAGUCUGGGGGUUAGCAGUUGUACAUACUCAUUCAUGGAUUCAUGCUCCUCUUGAGGAAAAAAGUUACGUAAACAUGGCCAAAUGUAUCAAAAAAAUGCAAAGCAAAGGCUUAAAAAGUACCAAGGACUAACCAUUUUUCUAGUCUUUGGUAAUACCAAAAUCUUUGGUGCCAAAACAAAUAACAACUAGAAAGUAAUUACAGUAUAGAUUAUAUAUACACACAUAUAAAAAGAGCAAUCACCUAUCAAGUUAAUAAAAGGUAAAUGCCGUAACAAUUAGCGUCGUCAUCAAUUUGAUUCAAAUUCAUCGCCUUAUUAACACAUUUAAUAAUUUUCAUCAAUGUAAUGGUGAUCUCCAAUCAAGAUUUUCAUCAACCGGGUAACUAUCUUUCUGCACUUCUUUAGGAGGAAUGAAGCAAUCAAGUGACAAUCCGGCCACGUUAAAUGCAAGAUCAUCAAUGGUCCAAAUCUCCUCCAUCCUCGUGAUUGAAAGGCCUGCUUUCAGAUUAUCUCCAAAGCGUGUGAUGAUUACACUUGAUUGGCCCGAAUGAGCAAUCAUCACACCCUCGAUUGCCCUAUAAUCUUCAAUUUUAGUAGCCAUUGUGGUUUCCCAGUAAGUAGGCAGAGAUCCAGGUGAUUGAAUUCUUGUUAAGUACGAGUCCUCUAAGUACACUAGCAGCCCACUUCUUUGGCUGAAGUAACCAAAGAUUACAUGCUUGAUCAUCUCUGCCGUGCUGUCACUUCGAUCAGCUAAGUCCGUUUGAUUAGCAGCCAAUUUCAAGACAAAACAAUCAAUGUCGGAAAUUCGUUUCUCUCCCAUGUACUGUGCUGUAGAGAAUACAGAUGCUACUGCAAUAGGAUCCAGUCCCUACACACAUAAAUUAUUGUAUCUUCAGCACAACAUAGGGCCAUCUCAUAUCAGUAUUUGAAGUGAUGGGGGGGCCAGAAUUCGAACUAAUUGAUUCCAAGUUUGACAAAACAUAUAUGAAACAAGAUCUGGUGUCUUCGGAGAUUGGAUCUAGUUUCCAAUUAAAUUUGUGUGUGAGAAGAACAGAGGCAGCAAGUUGACAUCAGGAUGUAUAUAACUCUCAAGUGAAAUCCUUCUCAAUAUCCCACAUAAAAAAGAUAAAUAAACACUACUGAAAUUAUUUUGGGAUGCUAAAUUUAGAAUUUUUAUUGCACGACAACAUCCCAAAAAUGUUCGGUAUAAUCCCACAUCUACAAUCCGCAAAUGUUUCUAUCUAAAUCCUAGGUGGGCUAAAAAUAAAUUUAAGUGGCAAUAUAAUCUCAUAGCACUCUCCUGUCCAAGUCCAUUUUUAAGGGCGAGUUCUACAAGUAGGUAGGUAAACAAUCGGGCGUGUGGACUGUUCCAAUCCUGAAUCUCACAUGAACUAAAGUAGAAAUCUGAAUGGGUAUAUAAUCUCAUUGACAAUUCUUCAUACAAGCCUUCAUAAAUGAAAAAAUAAAAUAAAAAUAAAAAUCCAGAUCACAUUACUAUAUCUCACUCACAUGCCAAGAUCUGAGUUCGCCUGCAUGAUUCAUGUUACUCUAGAAAGUAGCUAAACGUGCUAUUGGUAAUUAUUUAUCCCAAGUGACAAGAAUUAAAAAAUGCAGAAGUACAAUUGUUCUAUCAAAAAACAAAAACCUGACAAAGAUACUUCAAAAAAAUAAUAAUUAACAUUUUAGAAAUAAACUAUCAAAGACUUGCCUGAAGAGCACGACGGAGAGGGCGGACGCUGCCUUUGGCAGCAUGUGAGCCGAGCCAUGGUGUGUGGCGCCAAGCAAAAUUACCAUCACUACCAGCUACGACUUUGUGGCCACCAACAACAAGCUCAAUGAGCCACUUGUUAGGAACCAUUUGCCACAUUACAAAGCAACCCUUUUCUGAAACCCCUCCGAGGGAGGCGCUGGCUCCGGCACCGGCAACGGGAACUGAGCCAGCUGAGCCGCCAAAAUCAUCCCCCAUGCCCAUUGUCACUUUCCCAGUGGCAAAAAUGUUCUUCACUCUCCCUUCUAAUUUCCUGCAACCCGUUGCUGCUGUGAAGUGUUGUAUGAUAUAUUGUGCUGAUGAACAUACCUGCGGUUACAACAAAUUAUUAAAUCUCUAAAAUUUAAGUGAUAAUGAAUUAUUGGAGCUCAUUUACUGUAACAUUACAAUUAAUAAUAUGUCGAAACUAAUAAUACUCAAAAUCUGAUCGAAUAGAAAGAAAUUUACCCACAAUGUGAAAUUAUUAAAUGCACAUAAUCAUUUAAUUUACCUCCACCCAAGAGUUGUUCUCAAUAAGUUGAGUGUUUGACAACUAAACAAAAUUUAUCAUCGAGAAUAAUUCUGGUGGAACUGUAAGUUAUAUUAUUGUGUAACUCAAUAAAAUCCAUUAAUUAAUUUUUUUUAUGAGUUACAUGAUUAUCUUUUUUAUUUGUAGGAAAGUAGCUUUUCAUUCAUUCAACGCUUUAAAUAAAUUCAGAAUUUCUGCUUGACAUUGAAUCCAGCCAAACAGUAAAUGUACUUCUUCCUAAAACAAAUUUAUCUAAGGAAUGGUCAUCAGCAUACAAAAUCCCGGGGUGUAUUGAACUUUAACAAUGAAUAAGUGAUACGAAGCUAUAAAGUUGGUUAAGUCAUUUAAUAAUGAAUAAGAGAUGCAAUUUUAACUAUUAUUUUUGGGGGGAUUUUAGGUAAAUACGAAGCUAUAAAGUUGGUAUAGUCAUUUAAUUUGAGUGAAACGAGAAUGAUGUAUAUAGUAAAUGACUUAAUCUACUUUCUAAAAAAACCUGAUCAAUAAAUACAACAAACUGACCCACAAAAGUUCUGGGCUUCGGUCUUUCCUUUUUUCAGUGGGAUACUGAUGGGGAUUUCAGAGCAUGUGCACAAAGUGGAAAAAAGCACUAGUUGAAUCAAGAAUAAUAAAGAUAAUAACAAUAUCUUUUUAGGUAUGAAAACACCCGCAUUUUUUUUUAUUAAUCUCUUUACCAAUAAUAAUAAGUAAAAAUAAAUAAUAAGCUCAAUGUAAAAUAAGAUCAAAAGAAUCCAUAACGUCGCACACGUUAAUGACCUCAAAAUGAUAAAAUCUGUGAUCCAUUUACACAACUAAUAAACAAUCAGUUUUUUUGCAGGAUGAUAUACGUACUUUGCAUAUCAAAUCGAAAAAUGCAAAUGUAUGUAUGUAUGUAUAGAUAUAUACGUACCUGGUUAAGGGGUUGCUUCGGAAGAAGGGGAACUGGGAAAAGAGGGCAACCAAGAACGCUUAAGAGGGUCUUGAGGUCAGAUUUCUUGUUGAUGAAAAAAACAAGAGACAAGUGAUUCUUGAGCCAGUGCUUCCACGAAAGUCCUUUCUUGGAAGAGUACUUCGUGUUGUUACUGCCGUUGCUGCUGUUGCUGUGUUGUUCUUCUUCAUUAAUGGGCUCUUCCGAUAAUGGAGCAAGCCGACUCAUUAUCAAAGAGCAGAACGAAAAAUACUACAGAGGCCGCAGGAUCAGCAGCAACAAAACGAGAGGAACGUUUACUUGCUCUCGCUCUACUUCUUAAAAUAGGGGAGUUUCUUUCUUUUUCUGUCUUUGGUUCGGUGCACUUCUUGUACACGCAGUUUUUGGGGCGCGUGAUUGGGCAAUGAUACCCUAGAGAAGUUCUUUUUAAUUUUAUUUUUUUUUAUUUUUUUACCACGAGGUAUCCUGGGGAGGGUCUCAACUGUGGGAGGCACUUUUAAGUCCGUAUUACAAUCCAGACUAGAAAGUCUCUGCUCGAACCGAGAAGCACAGGUUCUCCCAACAAAGGCGAUUUCCCUGCGACUCGAACUGGGAAGCAAAUCCAGUCAAAUCACUUAAGAGGACUCUAUUACCAAUGGAGUUAACACUUUAUUGGUACAUUAUUUAUAUUUAAAUAAGAAAAAAGGACCUAAGGUUUCCAUCUUACCAGGAAAAGUCAAAUGUAUAAUUCAUCUAUGGUUGUUUGUAAAGUAACUUAAAUGUUAAAUAUUUCUGUUUCAACACUAUGAAGUGAAUAAAGACUUUUACAGCAUUGUUAAGAGUAAGUCUACUGUUAAGGGUACGUUUGGAAUUGAGAUUUUAUAAUUUUUAAGUUACAGUUAUUAUAGAGAAAAAAUUUUAAUUAUAAAAUAAAAUUUUGUAAUAUAUAGUAAAUAUAAAUUUUAAAUAAUAAUUUUGAUAAAAUUAUUAAAGAUAUAAUAGAUUUUUUAUUAUACAAGUGAACAAUCAUAUCAACAUAUCUUCCAAAUUACAGCAGCUAAUGUUUAUCAAACACUUUAGUGUUAUAACUAAAAAAUAUAAUUGUCCAAUCUCAAUUCUAAACGCACCUUAAUUCACCUCUCUUUUAAUAAUCUUUUUUAUUAUUUUAAAUUUUCAAUCGACAAAAUUUUUAUUUAAUUCUAACGAGUAUGUUAGAAAUUAACAUAUAAGAUUAAUGAUGCAUGUGUGUAGUAGUAUUGAGUUCGAUGGACCACAAGAUGAUAUGAGACUGACAUAUCACAUCCAAACUCUUACUAAUUUUUCUAAUGGAAUAGAAGGCAUUAAGGAGAUAGGUUACCUAACACACGAACAUUAAAUUUAGGUUUAUGAUGUCUAAUAAUAAUAGUGAGAACUCAAGAAGAUUGCAAUUUAUUGAAAAAUAAUUACUUACUCAAAAGUCUAAAAAUUAAUUGAUUAAUUUUACAUAAAGAACUCAUCCGUGAGAUGGUCAAUGAGCAAAAAUAAAAUGUAGAGGAACUCAUAAAAUGUUCUCCCUUGUUUUCUUUUUAACUUAUUUUGGUGAAAGAAAAAGAUUUAGUUGGUUAACAAACAAGUCCAAUGAGAGAUCUUCCAGCAAAGCUAAAGAAAAUUACCAUAAUCAUUUAUUAGAUUAGAAAGGUGGGUGUGGUCCUUUCUACAUUCUAAACUAAUCAUCACAAUUUAGCAAACAAAAAUUAUGAUGUAAUGAAAAGUGAUCUACGCACCUAAUCUUUUUAAAUUUUAUAUUACAAAUUAACUUAAGAAUUUAUUAUAUCAAUUUUAGCUAUUCACAUGUUUUACUAGACGGGUCAUAUUUCUUUUCAAAUAUUUUUUUUAAAAAAAUCUUAUUUAAAAAGAUAAGCCUAACUUCAUGAUUUAUCAUCUUGACUAAUGAAUGGAUCUCUGAAAUAUGAUAAAAGGCGAAAAAGAGAGGUGGAAAAAUUAACAUGAAAAUGGCGCGUGAGGGGCAAUCAUAUCAACAUAUCUUCCAAAUUACAGCAGCUAAUGUUUAUCAAACACUUUAGUGUUAUAACUAAAAAAUAUAAUUGUCCAAUCUCAAUUCUAAACGCACCUUAAUUCACCUCUCUUUUAAUAAUCUUUUUUAUUAUUUUAAAUUUUCAAUCGACAAAAUUUUUAUUUAAUUCUAACGAGUAUGUUAGAAAUUAACAUAUAAGAUUAAUGAUGCAUGUGUGUAGUAGUAUUGAGUUCGAUGGACCACAAGAUGAUAUGAGACUGACAUAUCACAUCCAAACUCUUACUAAUUUUUCUAAUGGAAUAGAAGGCAUUAAGGAGAUAGGUUACCUAACACACGAACAUUAAAUUUAGGUUUAUGAUGUCUAAUAAUAAUAGUGAGAACUCAAGAAGAUUGCAAUUUAUUGAAAAAUAAUUACUUACUCAAAAGUCUAAAAAUUAAUUGAUUAAUUUUACAUAAAGAACUCAUCCGUGAGAUGGUCAAUGAGCAAAAAUAAAAUGUAGAGGAACUCAUAAAAUGUUCUCCCUUGUUUUCUUUUUAACUUAUUUUGGUGAAAGAAAAAGAUUUAGUUGGUUAACAAACAAGUCCAAUGAGAGAUCUUCCAGCAAAGCUAAAGAAAAUUACCAUAAUCAUUUAUUAGAUUAGAAAGGUGGGUGUGGUCCUUUCUACAUUCUAAACUAAUCAUCACAAUUUAGCAAACAAAAAUUAUGAUGUAAUGAAAAGUGAUCUACGCACCUAAUCUUUUUAAAUUUUAUAUUACAAAUUAACUUAAGAAUUUAUUAUAUCAAUUUUAGCUAUUCACAUGUUUUACUAGACGGGUCAUAUUUCUUUUCAAAUAUUUUUUUUAAAAAAAUCUUAUUUAAAAAGAUAAGCCUAACUUCAUGAUUUAUCAUCUUGACUAAUGAAUGGAUCUCUGAAAUAUGAUAAAAGGCGAAAAAGAGAGGUGGAAAAAUUAACAUGAAAAUGGCGCGUGAGGGGCAAACAAAGAAGAAAUUGUGGGUUUUACAAAGAGAGGGAGCUUUUAAGGAAGGCAAUGCUGGUGACGUGUCCGCAUCGUUUUCCUAUUCGCAAUUAUGAUUUUACUGGUAAGUCUGGUACGAAUUUACAAACUUUUGUUUGUUGCUUUCAAUUGCUUUAGCCACUUCUUUUGAAAAUGCAGCUAUGAAUUCUAUAAAUCAUAAAUGGUAUUUGUGUAAAACAAAAAGGCCAAAAAAACAACAACAAAAUUAUUUAGGGAAAUUUACACAAAUAGCCAUUAAAAUUUUACAUUUUUCACUUAUAACCCUACUAACUUAUUUCUAUCAAUAUUAGCCAAAACUAAAAUUUCAAGACCAAAGUGCCCUCUCCAUCUCUCCCCCAACUCCACCUCUUUCACGUGAGAUCUCCAAGAGGCAAAACGGCGGCAGCUUCAACCAUCACCGGCGACGGCUUCACACACCAUCAACAUAAGUAAGCCAUUUUAUUUAUAUUUGAUUAAUUAAGAAUGAAAUUUGAGAAUAACAAUGGUGGUGGUAGUGCUUGUAAUGGUGGUUGUGGAUUUUGGGAGUGUGUUGUUUUGUAACGGAGAUUUUUUGUGCGAAGGGUGCGUGAUUGUGCAGUGGGAUUGGGCUGCAACGCCAUGGGUGCAGCACCCAUCGCGCGAGCUGCAGCAAGCAUCGCGAUGGUUGCUGCAGCUCGUGCAAUGCUUGCUGCACCCAUUCCCAUUGCGCGAGUUUGUCCGUCGCACAAAAGUGCCUAUCGCAAAAAAUUUUGUGCGACAGUGUGCCCGUCGUACAAAAACUCACAACACACGUUCUGAAUUUUUGUGCAACGGGUGCCCGUCGCAAACAUUUUUGUGCGACAGUGUGCCCGUCGCACAAAAACUCACAACACAUGUUCUAAGUUUUUGUGCGACGGGUGCCCGUCGCAAAAAUAUUUGUGCGACAGUGUGCCCAUCGCACAAAAAAUUUUGUGCGACGGGUGCCGGUCGCACAAAUUUUUGUGCGACGGCCACCCGUUGCACCNNNNNNNNNNNNNNNNNNNNNNNNNNNNNNNNNNNNNNNNNNNNNNNNNNNNNNNUUUGUGCGACAGUGUGCCCAUCGCACAAAAAUUCAGAUUUUUUUUCAAGAGUAUUUGAUCUUAAUUUUUGUACAACCGGUGCCCCUUGCACCAAAGUUUGUGCGACGGGUGGCCGUCGGCUUUAAAUUCAAGCAUGUUGCUGAAAGAAAAGACUAUUUUUUUGUGCGAUAAGUGGCCGUCGCAAAAAUAUUUGUGCGACGGGCACUCAUCGCACAAAAAUUCAGAUUGUGUGUGAUAAAAAAAUGCAGCAAUAGAUUGUCGUAUAAAAAUAUAGAUUACACCCAAGGCCGUUUUUACUUUGUAGAUACCUUAUUUAUUUUAAAUUAUUAAUAUUAUUAUUCUAUAAAUAACACAAUAAUGAAUAAAAUUUCAAUUGUCUCAGGUAGAUGGCGAAAACUAAGUUGGCAAAGCGCAAUCCGCCUGAACCUGGGAAGGAGUCGGGCGUGAUGAAGUUAUAUUUUGAUGAUCAUUUCCCGGGUCGUAUUUCAGAGACGUCAAAACAGAGACAAUAUCCAAAUGCCAUGUCUCAACGUGUCACGCAUACAGAUACGUUUUUUUGGGUAAUGAUCUUACAGAACUUGUAAUUAACCUCUCAAUUUCUUAUCUUGUAAUAGCAUGUUGAUAUUGAUACUCUCCUGUUAUUUUUCUUUGAAUAUAUCUUCUAGGUCUUUUUGAAGCAAUUAUGGAACGAUGGUGACUGUGACCUUAAUUCAUUACAAUAUAGCUACAACUUUAAUAGUUAUAUUGAUGGACGAGAAGAAAUCAUGUCGAAACGUUUCACAGACGUCGAUAUGGUUAGAAUAGCUACGCAAUUCAAGAUGGUUUAUAUUUUUUUUAAUAUCUUAAACAUAACAAUUAACUUGCAUUAAUUAAUGUAUGUAGGUUUUCAUUCCCGUGAAUCUGGGCGGCGAUCAUUGGAUAGUAGCUUGAGUCGACCUUCGCAAGAAAAAUGUGUGGAUUUAUGACUCGUUGGUGGCAAUUCGUGAUGAUAAAACGUACAAGGAUAAGUUCAAGCCACUUGAAGUCGUCUUCCCUCGAUGGUUAGAAGAUGUCGGAUUUUACAACGUCCGACAUGACUUGCGGAAUGCCAACCCUUGGAAUGUCAAAAUAUGUAAGGGUGUGCCGCAACAAGAGCCUGGUAGUGGCGAUUGUGUCGUUUUUAUGUUGAUGAUCACGAUGUAUUUAAUGUUUGGGCUAAGACUUAAUUUUACUAGUGGCCACGGGCAAUACUUUAGGAAGAAAAUUGCUGUAGACAUAUUUAAUGGUGAUAUCGGCCUUUAGGAUAUUGUGGCGGUGAUAUAUAAUGAUGAAAUUGGAUUUUAGACGAUUGUAUUUAUAAUUAUUAUUGGUGUGUACAAAACUUUUUUUUUUACAUAUAAUUGAAAUAAAAAAUUUGCAAUAUAAUAGAAAUUAAAUAGGUUGUUAUAUAUAAUGGUGCAAUAAAUAAAAAUCAGAUCUCAAAAUACAUAACAAUUUAAAACGAUACAAUUAGCUUCGUGUCGACGCAAUGAGAGUUUUGCACUUUUUUCGGUUAUGACCCAUUUCGUUGCACCGGCCACAUCUUAUAGUUCUCCUGUCAACAUCCUCACCAACAGAGGGUAUUCUGAGCUCUGGACGAUGGCCGGGCAGUGGUGCUUCUAUUGGUGGGUUAACUUUCAUUGCUGGAAUUUCCUCAGGAACCUCCCAAUCUGCCAUGNNNNNNNNNNNNNNNNNNNNNNNNNNNNNNNNNNNNNNNNNNNNNNNNNNNNNNNNNNNNNNNNNNNNNNNNNNNNNNNNNNNNNNNNNNNNNNNNNNNNNNNNNNNNNNNNNNNNNNNNNNNNNNNNNNNNNNNNNNNNNNNNNNNNNNNNNNNNNNNNNNNNNNNNNNNNNNNNNNNNNNNNNNNNNNNNNNNNNNNNNNNNNNNNNNNNNNNNNNNNNNNNNNNNNNNNNNNNNNNNNNNNNNNNNNNNNNACUCAGCCGUAAUUUUCCUAUCAUAAAACCAUUGCUGCAAUGUUUUCCUAAAGUGAUCAACAAGAUGAGUUAUAGGAAAUUUCCUCGGUUCCCUCAGUAAUGAAUUCACGCUCUCUGCAAUGUUGGUGGUUAGAAUACUGUACCUUCUACCUUCGAACUCAGACCUUGCCCAAUUACAUGUGCCAACAUUAUUCUCUAAGUAGUCAGCUGCACCUGCGUGGAGUUGCCACAACCCCUCUAGUUGUUUUUUAAAUUCUUCGUGUCCAUAUGUUUUCGCUGCGUUUAUGAAGGCAGGCUCAAAUUCAUCCCAAAGAGCUUUCGACAUCUUGAAUUUUGACUUAACGUUACCUUUGACAUGGUAAAAACAAACGCCAUGGACAGCUGAGCGAAAUACUUUUAAAACGGCUCUAUUGAUCGCGGUGCAUCGGUCUGAGAUAAAUACCAACUCCGGCAUAGAAAUUAAAUAGGUUGUUAUAUAUAAUGUUGCAAUAAAUAAAAAUCAGAUCUCAAAAUACAUAACAAUUUAAAACGAUACAAUUAGCUUCGUGUCGACGCAAUGGGAUUUUUGCACUUUUUUCGGUUAUGACCCACUUCGUUGCACCGGCCACAUCUUAUAGUUCUCCUGUCAACAUCCUCACCAACAGAGGGUAUUCUGAGCUCUGGACGAUGGCCGGGCAGUGGUGCUUCUAUUGGUGGGUUAACUUUCAUUGCUGGAAUUUCCUCAGGAACCUCCCAAUCUGCCAUGUCGCCAACAGGCUCUACUGGUUGUGCAUAAGCCGUCACUAAUGAUUCCUGAGUGUAAAAUUCGGAACAAAGACUUAUGUAAUCCACGCGCACGGUUAUGCAAGCAGCAAUUGCAUGUGCACAAACAAGCUGAUCAAGUUGGAACACUCUACAGGAGCAAGUCUUCUCACGAAUGUCAACUAUCCCUUCUUUAAUACCACCACCAAAAACAUGAAAUCGAUACUGAGCCAUAGGACGAACGGUCAUUCUUUCAGCCAAAGUUCUCCUAUCAGAGACUAUUUCGUCUGCCCACGUUGUUAGACGAGUACUCAUCAACUCAGCCGUAAUUUUCCUAUCAUAAAACCAUUGCUGCAAUGUUUUCCUAAAGUGAUCAACAAGAUGAGUUAUAGGAAAUUUCCUCGGUUCCCUCAGUAAUGAAUUCACGCUCUCUGCAAUGUUGGUGGUUAGAAUACUGUACCUUCUACCUUCGAACUCAGACNNNNNNNNNNNNNNNNNNNNNNNNNNNNNNNNNNNNNNNNNNNNNNNNNNNNNNNNNNNNNNNNNNNNNNNNNNNNNNNNNNNNNNNNNNNNNNNNNNNNNNNNNNNNNNNNNNNNNNNNNNNNNNNNNNNNNNNNNNNNNNNNNNNNNNNNNNNNNNNNNNNNNNNNNNNNNNNNNNNNNNNNNNNNNNNNNNNNNNNNNNNNNNNNNNNNNNNNNNNNNNNNNNNNNNNNNNNNNNNNNNNNNNNNNNNNNNNNNNNNNNNNNNNNNNNNNNNNNNNNNNNNNNNNNNNNNNNNNNNNNNNNNNNNNNNNNNNNNNNNNNNNNNNNNNNNNNNNNNNNNNNNNNNNNNNNNNNNNNNNNNNNNNNNNNNNNNNNNNNNNNNNNNNNNNNNNNNNNNNNNNNNNNNNNNNNNNNNNNNNNNNNNNNNNNNNNNNNNNNNNNNNNNNNNNNNNNNNNNNNNNNNNNNNNNNNNNNNNNNNNNNNNNNNNNNNNNNNNNNNNNNNNNNNNNNNNNNNNNNNNNNNNNNNNNNNNNNNNNNNNNNNNNNNNNNNNNNNNNNNNNNNNNNNNNNNNNNNNNNNNNNNNNNNNNNNNNNNNNNNNNNNNNNNNNNNNNNNNNNNNNNNNNNNNNNNNNNNNNNNNNNNNNNNNNNNNNNNNNNNNNNNNNNNNNNNNNNNNNNNNNNNNNNNNNNNNNNNNNNNNNNNNNNNNNNNNNNNNNNNNNNNNNNNNNNNNNNNNNNNNNNNNNNNNNNNNNNNNNNNNNNNNNNNNNNNNNNNNNNNNNNNNNNNNNNNNNNNNNNNNNNNNNNNNNNNNNNNNNNNNNNNNNNNNNNNNNNNNNNNNNNNNNNNNNNNNNNNNNNNNNNNNNNNNNNNNNNNNNNNNNNNNNNNNNNNNNNNNNNNNNNNNNNNNNNNNNNNNNNNNNNNNNNNNNNNNNNNNNNNNNNNNNNNNNNNNNNNNNNNNNNNNNNNNNNNNNNNNNNNNNNNNNNNNNNNNNNNNNNNNNNNNNNNNNNNNNNNNNNNNNNNNNNNNNNNNNNNNNNNNNNNNNNNNNNNNNNNNNNNNNNNNNNNNNNNNNNNNNNNNNNNNNNNNNNNNNNNNNNNNNNNNNNNNNNNNNNNNNNNNNNNNNNNNNNNNNNNNNNNNNNNNNNNNNNNNNNNNNNNNNNNNNNNNNNNNNNNNNNNNNNNNNNNNNNNNNNNNNNNNNNNNNNNNNNNNNNNNNNNNNNNNNNNNNNNNNNNNNNNNNNNNNNNNNNNNNNNNNNNNNNNNNNNNNNNNNNNNNNNNNNNNNNNNNNNNNNNNNNNNNNNNNNNNNNNNNNNNNNNNNNNNNNNNNNNNNNNNNNNNNNNNNNNNNNNNNNNNNNNNNNNNNNNNNNNNNNNNNNNNNNNNNNNNNNNNNNNNNNNNNNNNNNNNNNNNNNNNNNNNNNNNNNNNNNNNNNNNNNNNNNNNNNNNNNNNNNNNNNNNNNNNNNNNNNNNNNNNNNNNNNNNNNNNNNNNNNNNNNNNNNNNNNNNNNNNNNNNNNNNNNNNNNNNNNNNNNNNNNNNNNNNNNNNNNNNNNNNNNNNNNNNNNNNNNNNNNNNNNNNNNNNNNNNNNNNNNNNNNNNNNNNNNNNNNNNNNNNNNNNNNNNNNNNNNNNNNNNNNNNNNNNNNNNNNNNNNNNNNNNNNNNNNNNNNNNNNNNNNNNNNNNNNNNNNNNNNNNNNNNNNNNNNNNNNNNNNNNNNNNNNNNNNNNNNNNNNNNNNNNNNNNNNNNNNNNNNNNNNNNNNNNNNNNNNNNNNNNNNNNNNNNNNNNNNNNNNNNNNNNNNNNNNNNNNNNNNNNNNNNNNNNNNNNNNNNNNNNNNNNNNNNNNNNNNNNNNNNNNNNNNNNNNNNNNNNNNNNNNNNNNNNNNNNNNNNNNNNNNNNNNNNNNNNNNNNNNNNNNNNNNNNNNNNNNNNNNNNNNNNNNNNNNNNNNNNNNNNNNNNNNNNNNNNNNNNNNNNNNNNNNNNNNNNNNNNNNNNNNNNNNNNNNNNNNNNNNNNNNNNNNNNNNNNNNNNNNNNNNNNNNNNNNNNNNNNNNNNNNNNNNNNNNNNNNNNNNNNNNNNNNNNNNNNNNNNNNNNNNNNNNNNNNNNNNNNNNNNNNNNNNNNNNNNNNNNNNNNNNNNNNNNNNNNNNNNNNNNNNNNNNNNNNNNNNNNNNNNNNNNNNNNNNNNNNNNNNNNNNNNNNNNNNNNNNNNNNNNNNNNNNNNNNNNNNNNNNNNNNNNNNNNNNNNNNNNNNNNNNNNNNNNNNNNNNNNNNNNNNNNNNNNNNNNNNNNNNNNNNNNNNNNNNNNNNNNNNNNNNNNNNNNNNNNNNNNNNNNNNNNNNNNNNNNNNNNNNNNNNNNNNNNNNNNNNNNNNNNNNNNNNNNNNNNNNNNNNNNNNNNNNNNNNNNNNNNNNNNNNNNNNNNNNNNNNNNNNNNNNNNNNNNNNNNNNNNNNNNNNNNNNNNNNNNNNNNNNNNNNNNNNNNNNNNNNNNNNNNNNNNNNNNNNNNNNNNNNNNNNNNNNNNNNNNNNNNNNNNNNNNNNNNNNNNNNNNNNNNNNNNNNNNNNNNNNNNNNNNNNNNNNNNNNNNNNNNNNNNNNNNNNNNNNNNNNNNNNNNNNNNNNNNNNNNNNNNNNNNNNNNNNNNNNNNNNNNNNNNNNNNNNNNNNNNNNNNNNNNNNNNNNNNNNNNNNNNNNNNNNNNNNNAUAGGAAUGCAUCCGUAAUUUACCACAUCAGAGGCCAUAUGUAACACAACCUUGACUAUUUCAUCGUUAAAUAUGUCCAUAGGCAGUGAACAUGUACGAUACAUUGUAUUACUAGACCUCAAAGUUGUCUUCAUAGUGAUAUUGUAUUCAUUACGAUUUAUCUGUAACACAUCAUAAACUCUUGCCAGAAACUGAUCAAAUGUACAGUCUUUUCGAAUUAGAAAGGCUGUAUUAUUGCCAUUCACGUACUCCAUACUCCCAUCCGCCAACGUCUCCCACCAACCGUCAUAACACAGUUGAAGCACAACUGAAUCCAUUAAAUCUACAAAAUAUACAAAAAAUAUAACAAAUGUGGUUACACAUUGUGGGUUUGAUUUGUUUCGUUGCAAGCGUUGAAAUGAUAUAUUAUACACAAAAAAUGAAUUUAUUUAGCUGUAAUUAUGACCUCCAAAAAAUAACCUAAAUUUUGUGUAAUAUGAUUUUUUUGUACGACAGCAUCUGUUGCACAAAAUUUGGUGCGACGGGAACCUGUCGCACAAAAUUUCAGAUAGUGUAAUCAGAUUUUUUUGUGCGACAGAAAGGCAGUCGCACAAAAUUUGGUGCGACGGGAACCUGUCGCACAAAAUUUCAGAUUCUGUAAACCUGUUGCACAAAAUUUCAGAUUGUGUAAUAAGAUUUUUUGUGCGACAGAAAGGCAGUCGCACAAAAUUUGGUGCGACGGAAACCUGUUGCACAAAAUUUCAGAUUGUGUAAUAAGAUUUUUUGUGCGACAGAAAGGCAGUCGCACAAAAUUUGGUGCGACGGAAACCUGUUGCACAAAAUUUCAGAUUGUGUAAUAAGAUUUUUUGUGCGACAGAAAGGCAGUCGCACAAAAUUUGGUGCGACGGAAACCUGUUGCACAAAAUUUCAGAUUGUGUAAUAAGAUUUUUUGUGCGACAGAAAGGCAGUCGCACAAAAUUUGGUGCGACGGGAACCUGUCGCACAAAACUUUGUGCGACGGGACCCUGUCGCACAAAAAAUUUGAAUUUUCACAAAUUGGUCAACAGCCAUUGCAACGUAUUGCCUCCAACACAGUCCGACAAUAGACCACCAACCACCACAAACAUCAUCACAACAACACACAAUCACAACACAACACAAGAACAAUAUAAAGCAUGUGUUUGAAAUUGCUAACCUAGGGUUUUUGAACUUCAACUGUUAUCUUGUAGAUUUUGAUUGCUAUUAUACGUGAUUUUGGUGGAAUUAGUGUUGCUGAACGGGAUUCCGGUGAGAUUGCUGCCGAUGAUGGUCUCCGAUUUGGCUCUCUAUGGUGCUUCCGUUUGGUGAGAAGUGUAGGUGAGUUCAAGCUUUGGUGAGCUUUGGGUGAGAUUGCAAGGGUAUUAUGGUCCAAAAGUUUGUUGUUUGGCUAAUAUUGAUAGAAAUAAGUUAGUGGGGUUAAAAGUGAAAAAUACAAAAUUUUAAUGGCUAAUUUGUAAAAUUUCCCCCAUUAAAUCUAGAUGAGUAAUUACAUGAAUCAAUUGUGAUUAAUUGCACUUGAGGAGCCAUGAAUUUCAACAAUAGAUGUAAUUUGCGCUGUUAUUUUUCAAUAUCAUAUUAUAAUUUAUUGAUGUUUAUAAUUUAAAAUUAGUUAGAACCUUUACUUACUUAGAUAAUUACUAGCACUUAUAAAUUAAAAUCGAAAUUCAAGAAUUUGUUGGGACUUCCCCUAGUUAGCUCAAAAUGGACCAAACAUGGCUUCUAAAUGAUUGAAUGAAAAUUUUCUCCCUGAAUAUACAAACGGGACUUGAACCUCUUCAUAAAAGGUCUCGUAAUUUAAUCUUAUAUUUAUCUUUUUAUUUUUUUUAAUAUGAUAUAAACUACCAAGUAUAAAGAAAAUAAAGAAAUUAUCAACCAUAUAUCCUUAAAUGACACAAGUAUCAAACGUGCUACAACAUUUUUCGAGUGUAUCACUUGUAUACCCUAAGUUAACAAAACACUUCUGUCGUCCACCGAUCUGUUAACUACCGUUUGCGAGCAUUGACAUCAUAAGGGUAAUUUAGUCUUUUUUUUAAAAACGACAUGUCAUCCCAUUUAUCGGAUAAUUGUUAAUAAUUACUAAAAAAAACUACUUUACAACCGAAUCUACUCCUCCAAAUUUAACCUAAAUUAUUGAAGAUCUACUCCUCCAAGCAUCAUUAUUUUUUUAUGGUAUAAUAUGUAUAAUUAUAAAUAAUAUGUUGUUAAUAAUUUUUUAUGGUAUAAGAUGGAUAUUUUUUAUGGAUAAUUGUUAAUAAUAUAUACCAUUAAUAAUUCAUUUUUAAAAAAUUUAUUGUUAAUAACAAAAUAAAAAAAAAUUAUGUAUUGAAAAUUUACAUUAAUUUUCAAGGCAAAUUUAUUUUUUUACCUCAUUUUGAGUUUAAAGGGUAAAAUAGUUAUUUUGUUCAAAUUCUGUUAAGUUCUUAACAGUAGUAAACGGAAAGGUAGACGAUUAUAGUACAUUUGAUACCGGUGCAAUUAAGGGUAUACCGGUGAUAAUUUCCCAAGAAAAUAAACUUGUGGUAUAUUGACAUAUGAACGACCAUCUCGUCCUUCCAGAUCUAAGAUUCUCCAUUUUUCAGCAAGCAUAGACAUAAAAGGUCAAUUUUUGGUUAGACAAAAAUUGUCAGCAUUUACAGACUUGGGAAAGAAAAGAAGUAGUUCUUUAUAUGAAAAUUUCCAAGUAAAUUAAAUUAUGUUUUUCGAUAACGGUUUUCACAAAUAAAAACAUCUUAUUUUUAUCAGAACGUUAAAAUAAAUAUUGUAUGUCAAACGAAAAUAAUCUAUUAAUCUUCUUACACUAAAUUGUACAAAAAAAUUAUGCUAAUUUUUGUUUUAAAAAAAGAUUUUGCCGAUUAGGUGUAGUCAAAGAGUAGUAAUAUUCGAACAAUUAAAUUUUAUCUGAUUAUCUCCAUUUUUGAAUAAACUUCAUUUAUUCCCAAAAUCACCCUUUAUUGAAAAUUAAAUUUUAAACUUUUUUUUUCUCUCUCCAAGCAUCAUCAUACUUAUCUUCAUGACCUUAAAGCUUUUUUUUUUCCCGCUUUUACAUCGAAAACUAAUAAUCUCAAACAUUUUAAUCAGAAAAUACCCAUUAGAGUGGCUUUAAGAAUGUGAUUGACCUUAAGAAUCUGGCCUAUUGGUUUGUUAAAUCUCGUUUUCUAUAAAAUAAAAAAAAAUUAUUUCCUUUUCGGGUUGUUAAAGUUUGAUUUUUAAGAGUCUUCAUUGAUAAUGUUACACUGAAAUAUACUUUAAUCGGAAUUUAUGAAGUGAGUCCAAUCAAGAAUUUUGAGCACAUCUCUUCCAUCACCGGCCUCAUUUAAUUAAUGAACCAAGACUUUGUUUUGAUGUAAAGUAUACUUUCAAUUCAUAAUUGUCAUCUAAAUACUCUUCGAUUUCUAUAGCAAAAUAAAUUUGCUAGAUCAACAAAGUCAACUACAAGGGCUCAAGUUGCUGCUAAAUUUUAAUUAAAGAGAAAUUUCAAAACCAUUUACAAGGUAAUCGGUUAAAAUUCACAAUUUAGAGAAAAAAAAAAGAUAAAAAAUAAUAUUUUAAUUAUAAUUUUUAUUCUAUAAUAAGGUUAGUUUCAUAAAUGACUAUGAUUAAUUGAGAAAUGAGUGUUGGUAAGAUAAAUUAAGGCGAUCAAGUAUCAUUAUUCUUAGUCAAAUCCAAUAACAAGCUCACUAAAGUUUCAUUGGCCCACCUCAAAUGCUUUUAACACCGGUCAAGUGACUUUUAUCACGUUCACAUUCUGUGACAAAAAUAUCAAAAAUAUGGAAAGGACUAUCAAAUCCCACAUACAUUCAAUCCAUUCUUCUUCUUUUUUUUUUUUCUUUCAAAAUGCUUGUUAGCAACUAUUGUUUGUGCCAUGAGUGGUGAUCUUAAUAUGAAUAUGCAUAUGAUAAAACUUUCUAAUUUAAAGCUCUCUCGUGGUGUGAUAUACUUUUUACUCCUAAUACUCGACACAAGUGAAAUGUGAUGCGAGUCGUGAGAGGUAUGUUUGACUUGCAUUUAAUCUAAUUAUAGCACAAUUAGGGUAUGGUUUAAGUAUACUCUCACAAAUGUCGUAAGGAGAUUUUAACCUUUAGGUGAGAACCACCCCUUCAAAGAAUAAUUUUGAAACUUGCUAAUUUUAAUUGAACCGAAUUUUCUUUGGAAUUAGUAAGUACACUGAAAUUUACCACACAUUGAUUAUGAAACUAUGUAUAGAAACAUUUUCAAAAACUUCUUACGAACAUUUCACAUGCAGGGCUCUAAGCUUCACAUCUAAAUGGGUACAUUUUCCCAUGACAAUGCCAUAUGAAUUUUUUUUUUAAUACUGUUAUACAGGACUGUAUGUAUUACAAUUAAUAUUUACAAACAGAUUCUACAAUUGGGACCUUUUUCGUGGCAUGUACUCCUCUAAAGCGCUGUCUAAAUUCUUUAAACACUCUCAAAUAUUCGAGAGUUGUCCACUCUACUCACGAAAUCCUCUAAAGCGUUGUCUAAAUUCUUUAAACCCUCUCAAAUAUUUGAGGGUUGUCCACUUACUCACAUUUCAUGAGGAAUAGACUGGCUCCACUCAAUUAUUUGAUAAUUGAAGAAAGAUUGUAAAUAAGCCUCAUAAAUAUUUUUAUGGAGGCUCGAACCCUUACACUCAUUAUUCUAAGUGUAAGAAUUCUCCAACUGAACCAAAGGCUCAUUGGUCAAUGCCAUAUGAAGUUGAAUAACUUAGGAUGGUCCCGAAAGCAACCCCAUUUAAAAGGAAAGGAACAGAAACAUAGUCUAAUCUAAUGUCAAAGUUUAAUAAAAUGGACCCAUACCGAAGCCCAUAAAAACUGACCAAAAGAGUGUCAACAUUCCUGUGCUCAGAAUAAGCUUUCUCUUUCUCUUGUGCAUGCGUCGCGUUCUAUUUUCCUUUAAAACACAUUGAAUCUUUUGUGGGAAUGCACAUGCAAGCAAAUCACAUUUUUGUUUAAUAGGGAGAGGCUUGUAAUGUAAUGGACCACUUCAAUCCCAGGUCCAAAUUGCGAUAGCCCAGCAACAUUUACACCCAAGGCCACAAUUGUCGAGUGGCAUCAAGAAACAUUUUCAAUAAAGAUGUGGUUUCUGUUUCUUUCAUAUAACAUGAAAUUCUCGAAUGUUAUUUCUUAUUAUACAUCCGUGUCGUACUCAAACAUUAAAAAAAAAAUGAUUAUAAAUAUUCAUGUGGCUCUAUACCUUUACCAAUGCUGUUUGGCCUUAUUGCAUGAAUCUCGACCCCCACUAAAUUUCUUUUUAUCUUUUUCUUUAUGUCACGAUGUGAUCCACCUCGCACGGUCACACUACACGUACGCAAUCUUAUCCUCAUCCCAUGGAGAAAAAAAGAAAAAGAAAAAAAAAAACAAUCAUUCACUCAACCUGUCUAUUUAUUUCUCGUCAUUGAUUGAAUUUGAUUGGUUAGUAGUAAUAUUAUAUUAUAUUAUAUAAAACCAAAUGAUGCUAUGUCAGUGUCACGCAUAUAUUAUUAAUUCUUAGUAGUAAUCUUUGUUGUUUUCCACGGUGACUAGCUCAGUAUGAGUCGUCGUUUCUUGUACACUUUGUCAUGAUUGAAAUUUACAACAUUUGAUAAACCCAAACGGAAAAAAAGAAAAAGAUUUCUAGAAGAAAAUACAAACUUCAUUCACAUCCCACAAAAUACAAAAUUAAUAUAUAACCCCACAUUUAAUAUUUAUUUUUUUUUGAAAAAUAUAUGAUGGUUUAGAAAUGUAUUGAAGUCACUGUUUUUUCUACUAGCAAUAUCUGUGUUUUUAAAUUUUGAGAACAGUCGCGUACGACUUUGACUACGUUACUAUGUAACCAAAAUAAAUCCAACCUCCUGAUUAUAUAGUUAGAUAAGUAUGGACAUCUCGUUCAUAAAUCUAGCUGUGAAUAAUUAGAGGUGACAAAAUGAGUUAUGAUGCGAAUACACGAUAAGGAUACAACACGAAUUUUUGUUUUAUAUUAACAAAUAUUAACAUGAUUAAUAAAUAGAUUGACAUAAAUAACCAUGUCAUUUUUGUAUUGGAUCAUUUCAAUAUACUUACGUGUUUAGAACACAAAUAUUAAUUAAUAUGUGGUAAUAUUAUCGAAAGAUAUUAUUUGUAACAUAUUAUAAAUAUAUUCGUAUCAUAAACUUAUUUAUUGUCUAUUUUUGAGAAUCUGUCGAUAUAUUUAUUAUUAUUUAAUUUAAUUUAUAUUAAAUAUGUUAAACAAGUCGUUGACACCGACACCACUAAUAAACAUGAAGUCUCUAUAUUUUAAUAAUUAACACAAUUAAUAUAUGAAUUAAUGGAUAAGGCAUUGUACAAAUUGACGCCCCCCCUAUGGUGCAUAGCAUAUUGACUCGCCUUUUUUUAACAUUGUGUUGUUUGCGAUAUUUUGGUGCAAAAUUUUCCAAUUGGUGUUCACUUCGGAACCCAACUUGUCUACAACUGGAUAUAUAUUAACAUAUGCAAUGCAAGUGUAGCCAACGGUAAACAGGUAAACUGAGACCCCACGUGACGAAAGCAUCGACUUCAAUGAAUGGAUCAAUGAAGUAUGAACCUCUCACUUUCGAGCUUCCUGUCCGCCUCUUACAUUAUUUUCAUGCAAUUUGCACAUCAAUUAUCAUCAGUCAUAUCAGUCUCUUGAUUACCUCAGAAUAAUCAGCUUUCAGUCUGGAGAUAGACAUAAGCCGAUAGCGCUCCAAAAGUGCAAAGUCAAUGACGCUUUUGUGGCCCCAACUUGGCGCUCGUUAUUUGGCUUUUGUAUAAAUGAAUGGAUAAACAGCAGCCCAAAACACAAUUCGCUUCAAACACUGAUCAAAGCAGUACAAUGGCUGAGUUUGGAGAGUUGGUUCCCGGCUUGCCUGAAGAAAUUUCACUCGAGUGCUUGACUCGGUUGCACUACUCGACCCAUCGAGUUGCCACUCGAGUUUCUCGGCGCUGGCGACAGCUUAUUCAAAGCAGAGAUUUUUAUUAUCAGAGAAAGCAAUCGGGGAAGACCCACAAGGUCGCUUGCUUAGUUCAAUCGUUUCCCGUUCAUUCGGGAUCCGGCGAGCUGAAGCCGAUGGGUCUAAGCUACGGGGUAACGGUUUUUGACCCCGUGAGUCUAACCUGGGACCGACUCGGCCCGGUUCCCGAGUACCCAGCUGGGCUUCCUUUGUUUUGUCAAGUGGCGAGCUCGCAAGGGAAGCUUGUGGUGAUGGGUGGGUGGGACCCGGCGAGUUACAGCCCGGUGAGUCACGUGUUCGUUUACGAUUUCACGACUCGGAGGUGGACUCGGGGGAAGAACAUGCCUGAUAAUAGGUCCUUUUUUGCAGCUGGUGAAUUGAAUGGCCGAGUUAUUAUUGCUGGCGGCCAUGAUGAGAACAAAACCGCUUUGAGCUCGGCUUGGGCUUAUGAUUUAAUCAACGACGAGUGGACUGAGUUGGCCCGGAUGACGCAGGAGCGAGACGAGUGUGAGGCCGUCGUUAUUGGGUCCGAGUUUUGGGUGGUGAGUGGGUACAAAACGGAGAGGCAGGGGAUAUUUGAUGAAAGUGCUGAGUCGUAUCAUCUCGGGACGGGUGAGUGGACGCGAGCUGAGAACGCCUGGAAGCUGAGUCAGUGUCCGAGAUCGAAUGUUGGAGUGGGAAGAGAAGGGAAGUUGUUUUGUUGGGCCGAGACGGAGGCGGCGGUCCAGUUUGGGACUUGUAGGGUUGAGUUGGGUGGGUGCACUUUGGUUACUGGAUCGGGUUACCAAGGUGGGCCGCAGGAAUUUUAUGCGGUGGAAGGGCGAAAUGGUAAAUUCAGGAAGUUUGAUGUUCCUGCCGAGUACAAGGGUUUAGUUCAAUCUGGUUGCUGCGUGGAGAUAUAAUCUAGCAUUGAGUUUGAGUGCUUGAUUUUGUGUAAAAUACACUUUUUAAAGUUCUUAGGAUAAAGAGACUUGCUGAUUUUGUAAUUCGAAACAGUAUAUAUAUUCAAAUAUAGUUUUGAGUAUCGGCUCAAUACAGACUAAUACUCCCAUGCACUCAUUAACUAGUAACCUAGAGAUGGUAAUGGAGAGGUAAAAGGAGGGAUUUACAUUCCCGUACUCAUCUACCUAAAUAUUUUCUUAUUCCUAAAUAUUUUCCGAUUCCAAUUAGAAUUGUUGAGAGAAAGAAAUGAAGAUUUCUGAAUAACUGACAUGUUUUUUUUUUUUUAAAUUUAAUAAAAUUAAAUUAAUCUAAAAAAUAUAUAAAAUAAAAUAAAAAUGAUCAUGAAUAGAUCUUAUUUAAUUCUACUCCAUCAAAUUUUUAGAAUGUAUAAUAUUCAAAUAAUAUUUUUCAAACCAAAAUUUAAAUAAUGUAAUUUUUUUUAUACAACAUUAAAUGAGCGAUGCCCAUGCUUUUUGGGCACUAACUAAUUAACUAUGGCUUGACGAAUGCCCCGAGCCGAGUUUUAAUAGCCAACAAAGCAACUUGGCAAGUAUUUUGAAAAAAUAAGUGAAAACUGUAAAAAAAUAAACUUUAGAUUGUACUAUAUUAUGUUAAGGUCUUUAUAUUAACUAGUAUUUAUAUAAUUUGUAUAACUGUUGUACUGUUUGUUAUUUGCAGCACUAUUUAAAUUUUAUUUUUCAUUAGUAAUUUUUUAAAAAUAAAAAUAAUUUUUUUAUAAGAAAUAAAAUUAAAAUCAGAGAAAUAGAGAGAAAAUGAGAACUAUACCUCAUCCCUAUCACCGAAUAAAAAUUUAAGUAAAAAAACAUCUCUACCUCUUUCCCAAAUAAAAAAUCAGACAUAAAGUAAUCCUCAUACUCUCUCCGACUGGAAAAAUCCCCCAAAGGCUCCUCUCUUUGUAAGGAAUUAUGCCAUCCCUAAUAGCAACAUUCUGUCAUAUUUAAUUCAUAAUUAUUGGGUAGAGAAGCAUUUACUAUAUCUUAACACAUUUAAGUAUGUACCAUGUCCAACAUUAUGCAGAAGCACGAACUAUAAACGAACCCUAGAUCAAAUACUUUCAAAAUCUUGGCUACAAUUGAUAUGUCCUGCAAAUAAAUUUUGCAAUAAUGCUCAUGUAAAAUAUAGUACUUGACUGGCUAAAAUCCCGAAUGGGCCAUUUAUAAGCCAGAGAAACUUUCAUGUAGCAGUCAUUUAAAACUCCGCCAACACUUAUAAGGAUUUCCAGGAUCAAACAGUAAUUCCAUAACAAAGUCAUAAACAGGAAAAGGUCUUAGUUUAUUAUCAUCACUAAAGCAACAUAAACUAAUCAUAUCCCAACCCUCAAGCAUAGAGAUGUCAUAUCAGCUCAUCUUGAGUAGUCCAGGCUACGACUCCUGCUUCUGCUCGGACUAUAGCUCCUAGACCCAUAAGGAGACCUUGAGUAAGAUCGCUCUCUGUACCUUCUGUAUCUAGGUGAAAUUGACCUGCAUUACCACAAGACAUCAUAAACAUUAACAGGUUCUUUCCAUCGCUUUAAUCCUACAUAACAGCUGAUAUGAAUUAGAAAUGCUACAUUAAAACAAUAUCAUAGGGGGACACGAAGUAACAACCUUGAGUCUCGCCCUCGCCUGGGAGGAGGAGAAUAAUAAUCUGGACUACGAGAAUAACCACGUGCAUAGUGUGGUGAUCGAGAAUAACGAGGUGGAGAUUGCCUCCGAUCGUAUGAUCGACUCCUAAGAGCAAUAAAUUCAAACAAUGCAUCUCAGCAAUUAAAAAAAAAAAAAAAAACACUGAUGUAUUCUGAGUUCUUGGCCUAGAAGUAACAACAUUCACAAAAAUAGUUCACAACUAAAAAUGAAGCAUUCACCUCUUGAACAAAAAAAAUAUAUAAGCAAGAAUUGCAGCUAAUCCAGCCAAAAACCACACUUACCUAAAACGUUCUCUUGCCCUCAUUUCUGAAGGUUUCUUCCUGUUUUCCUCGGCAAAUACAACAGUCAGUUCUCGGCCUAAAAGUAAAUAACCAUCCAUGUGGUAUUUGGCAUCUGCAGCAUCAGCUGGGUCUAUAUACUGGACAAACCCAAAACCACGUGGCUCCCUGAAGCAUUAAUAUUUAAGUUUCACAAAAAUGACAUGAAAUGCAUAAACAUCCUGUAAAGAAUGUAUUACUGAGUGCAACAAAUCAUUACAAGAUCCUUACUCCUAUUUCACAAUGGAAGUUUAGGAGAAUCACAAACCCAUACUUCAUAUAAUUCAAGUGAAAACAUAUGCGGCCGCUAACCUUGUGGGAGCCAAAAUUUUAACUGUUGAUAUUCUUCAAGACUUGAACUUCUUCACAAUGUAUUCAAACCCAACUCCCUUCUCAUCUUGAUGUACACUAAACCCAUCUUGAACAGUACUCUUAUUACUUGAAGGUGUCUUCAAAAGAGUACUCUUACUACUUCAUUGUUCUCUUCAACACAGUUCUCUAAUUACUUCAUUGGUGUCUUCAAAACUUUCAAUAAAAACAACCAAAUUCCCACAAACCAAUUAUAGUUCGUAAAGAAAAAACCCCACACAAAACACUCAGACUGGAUGUAGAAAGACAAGUCUGCAUUUCUAUUCAAUUGACUCAGUUAUAGGCAGAAAACUAGCACAUGCAUGAAAGCAGAGAUAAUUACCCAGUAUAAUAGUCUCGAGGCAAGUAGAUGUCCUUUAAACGACCAAAUUGCCCAAAGGGUCCACGAAGAUCUUCUGGUCUGCAAAUACUCUUAUAAGUUUUGGUGGAAAAAGCUAUACCAAAAAGAAGUAACAGGUAGAACAUCAAUUUCUAAAGAGUUUAAAUGAUUAAUAGUGAAAAGUUAAGCAAUAAUCUGGCCUUAUGUGCAAAGACACAUACAAACAUGUUAAGAAAAUAAAAAUUUAAAGAAAAAAAACCUCAACAACCUGCACAAUAAACUCAGCAAAUAGCACAUUACAAGCCCAACUACCAAUAUCAUCAGCUAGUUUUUGGUUUUGAAAGCACCAAAGUGACCCAAAAAAAAAAUUGUAUACAAAACAUAACAAAAAUGCCACGCCCAUCCCUGAAAAGCACACCAAUACUAGAAGCAUCUAAUGUUACUUAUGCUGCUGAAAAAUUUACAUUUCAGAAAAGCAACCAAGCACUAACCAUAUUAGAUAAUUAACUGAAUCAAUAAGGACAUACAGACCUACAAUCAUGGCGAAGGUUGCGAACCAGAAGACUAGUCGGGAGAUCUCUUCCACGACCGCCAUAGUGACCUCGAGGGCUGGGGCUGCGAUAUCGCCGGCCAUAGUCUCUUGGCGGCGAGGGACUGUAACUGUAGCUUCGACCCCUCAUUGGCACUCUAUGUCACAACCUACAAUCAGCCCAACAAAUUAACAUAACAAAUUCCUAAUUGCAGCAACCUCUGUGCUGGUGCAAGUAAGGCAACACCCACAAUUCAGAUGACAAGCAAUUAGAAUAAUUCCUUCACUCACAUCGACCAAAUGAUCCCACAAAUUAUUCAGUAAAAGUAAUUUCACAUACAACACACACACACACAUAUAUAUAUGUAUAUGUAUACAUAUAUAUGUGUGCGUGUGUUAUCAAGUUCACAAGCAAUAACAAUCACAUCAUAUAUAUAUGUAUAUGUAUACAUAUAUAAUGAUCCCACAAAUUAUUCAGUAAAAGUAAUUUCACAUACAACACACACACACACAUAUAUAUAUGUAUAUGUAUACAUAUAUAUGUGUGCGUGUGUUAUCAAGUUCACAAGCAAUAACAAUCACAUGGCACCACCAAAGGUAAAUGUAUAUAUUUCUUAUCUUCUUUCUUCCUUCCAAGGUCAUUAUAACUCCACAUUAAAGUUGAAACCCAAUGUUAUAACUUCUAGCAAAAAACCCAAAACUUUCACAAUCUCUACUAAAUAGCCCUAUUAUGCAAAUAUUAUUUCUAAUUUAUAUCACAAACUUAUCCUUAGGCUUUGGAUGAUCCCCAAUGCAUAAUCACAAGGAACUCCUAGAAAACUUCAUACUAUGCUGGAAAAUUAACCAUUAGGUGCAAAAGCAAUAAUCUACAAUCUAUAUUAUAAAGGGGAGAAAAAAAGGGCAUAAUGAUCAUCAAAACUUCCCAUUGCAUAAAAAUUAAAAAAAAAAAAUCAAAGCCCGUUAGUAUAAGUAUAUUACUGCAAAUCCAGAGAAAAAAGCAUCAAACUAAACCAAAUAAUAUGUAAUAAAUGAAAACAAAAUAUAGUAUCAGAUAUAAGUUUUCAAUUAAAAUUAACGAGUGUACAAAAUUUUAAUAAGUACAAAUAAAUCACAGAAUCGUCCAAACAGAUCGUCUUAUAGACAAGCAUAUAAAUUAAUCUCUAAAAAUUUUGAAUUUUCCACCGAUAAGAUCUCAAAACUAAAUAAUCAACGAAAUAUUAAAAUUAAGCAUUAAAAAAAACAAAAACAGAAAAGGCGAUAGAUAGCAAACCUCGGAAGGACGAAUCAGCGAAUCUGCUCCGAAAAUUUUUUGUGCUUCGCUUUUCUAAUUUCCUCGGUUAUUUAUUCGUCUCUCGAGCCUUCUAUACCUUCCAAUAUUCGAGAAGCUUCACUCCUUACACGCUUUUUCAAAAGAGUUCUUUUAUUUCACCGUGGAUGUGAAGUUUCGGAACUGAACUAACGGUCACGAUUUGCUUUUAUGGGCCCACGAACUUUAGUUUUUGACAAGGAAAGACUAUCGAAUUACCAACCCACUCCUCUUAUUCUAUGAGGCCCAUCAUCCAAGCCUGCAAUAUACAUUGGCCCACCAAUUUUAGUUGCUGAUGAGGAAAGACCAUAGAAUUACUGGCCCACUUCCUUUAUUCCAUGGAGGCCCAUCAUCCAAGCCUGCAAUAUACAUCGGGAUUUUAUCAUAGAGUUCCCUGAAAAUUUAUGUUUUAUUAAAAUAAAUGCAUAAGUUAAACAAAGUUUAAAACAAGUACAUUUGGCUCCCUUAAUUUAUACUAUUUUACGGGUCCUUGCUAAAAAAUUUAUGUCAAUGGAUACUAAUAAGAUCGUCUAAAUAUAUUUACGGAGAACUCUUAUAGUGAUUGCUUAAAAAAAACUAUAAAACUAAUAAAGAAAAAGCAAGGGAUCCAUACCCCCCCCUCCCAAAAAAAAAAGGUCAACAUUAAGGAUUGAUGUGGAAGAAAAAAAAAAAAGAACAUAAAGAAUAUCAUAAAAGUUAUGUCAACGGAUGGUAAUAAGAUUGUCUGCAUAUUUUUACAAAAAAACUUUUUCAGUGGUUCCUUAAAAGAUAAUUAACAAAGAAAAAGGGACCCACACGAAAAAACCAAAAUCAAGGAUCCAAAAAAAAGAGAGAGAGAUAAAUAAUAAUAUCAUAAAAAUGAUGUCCACACAAACUUUUUGAACAAAUUGACUAUCAUUUGAGUUUAUAUUAAUUGAGUGUAACAUACAGACUUCAACGUAAUUAAUGAAAAAUAAAUCACCAACUAAGGCUUGAAUUUCACAUCAACUAGUAUAAAUGGAAUAGUGUAUUCCUACGAGUCUUACUUACUAGGUCAAUUUUAAUUCUUUUUCCAGAUAGGUGAAAUUGAUGGAGCAUUCCUAAAAUAUAAAGUGAGGAGAUGCUUAUUAUUUACCACUCAACCAAUGGGUAGGGUUGGUAAUUUCGCCUUUUAUGUAUGACGUGUCGUAUAUUAUUUCAUCACAUUGUUGACACGUUGUCAAAGUCUAUAGAAUGUGAAUGACAAGCCGUUUAAAUAUUCAAAACAAAGAUGACAUGGCAUAAUAGUUUUCUUUCGGAAUAAAAAUUGUAUGAAAUGCGGUUAAAAAUUUAUAAUAUAGCUAAAUUCUUGUACGAGUAACAAUAUAGUUACAAACUCUUAUACAAUUUUUUUUUUCAAACUGAUGUUGAGUGAUUUAAUUGGUUGGAUUAUAUAUCUUUUGAUCCACAUGAUUUGUUUUUAUUAUUUUGUAUUUUUAUUCAACCAAUGAGUUAAUGCCAAAUCAAUUUGUACAAAAUAAGUUUAUUUAAGAGUUUGUAACUGUAUCAUCACUAUUCUUGUACAAACGACAUGAUUUGUUUAACACGUUGUUUAUAUUUCCAAAACAUAGGUGACAUGUUACAAAGUUUUUAUUCCAAAUAAAAUUUAUAUGACAUAAGUAUACCUUUGUCAUAAAGAUGACAUAUGUGUAACUUUUUCUUGAUGAUAUGUAGUAUGUUAAUUGAUUGAAUUAUUGAAAUAAAAUUAGUUUAAGUUUGACUAUUAUAAGUAUUAAUAAAUAACUAGCAUAUAAUAUUAAAUUAAUUAUAUAAAUAUUUUAAGGUAUUAUAUGUAUAAUAUUAUUUAAUUACAAGCAGUUAUACGAAUACUGUUGGUAGUUUAUAUGACAUUAAUAGAUUGGUUAAAAAGUGAAAGUUUCUAUUAAAAUAAUUAUGGGAACCUAUAAUACUUUUAUGUAAUCGAUCAAUUUACAUAAAAAGCUUGGUAAAUUAAUAGCAUUAAGGCCAUGAAAGUCUAUUAAUCUAUAUAUAUGCAUGUGUGAGUAUAUGUAUUAUGUUGUCUUACAUUAGUACUAAUUAGAGAUUUAUUUUUCUAUGUCAAAGAUUUUAAGAAGCAGCAAGCAACACUGAUAACAUAUUAUAUAAAAGCCACAUAAUAUAUGUGAAUUUAGUUUCAAUUUAGAUAAUUGUUAAAUUAUAUAGUUGGUGGGUCUUGUAGAAAAAUGAGGUUUUUUUUUUAAAAUACAUUAUCUUAUAAAUUUAUCAAAUUAAUAGAUUACAUUGGCCAAAGUUGGGCUUAUAAAAAAAUUAUCAAUUUAUCAAAAAUUCUACAAUACGUGGUCCAACUAAGUUUGGACAAAAGUGUUUGAUCAACCCAUAUUAAAAAAACUUACUAACAACCCGAUAUUGGAUCCAGCGACCUGUAUUACAACGGAAACAAGUUAGACCGAAAGCCCUAGCACUGCAAGGUACCCUCCGCUUUUUUCUUCUUAAACCUCUUAAACCCUUUUGCUUCUUCAUCUCACUAACUACGAAGUACGCUGCGAUCAAUCUGGAGACAAACAGAAACUAUUUAACUAGGGAUUCUCGGCUUCGUCAGUGAGUUAUUCUGGAAAAAUAUCAACAAAAUGGCAGCUUCUUCUAGGAAAUCACAGAAGAAAAGCUCCAAAGACGGUCCGAAAUUUAACAAAGCAUCAAAGAAUCAGUUUAAAAACUCAAAGAAGCAGAUAAACGACGCCGUCGAGGCUCAAGACCUCGCUUUGCCGCCUGACGACGAUGUCCCUGUCUUUCCCCGAGGUUCAAAUAUUUAAUCAAUUAAUUUUUUUUGGAAUUUAACUGCUGUUAUGGUUCAUAGGCAUAUCUUUUGGGGAAAAAAUGUGAACUUUUAUUUUAUUUCUUUAAUCAGAAUGAGCUAAUUGAGCAACUCUGUUGAAGUAAAGGGCAUUUCGGGUGCUAUUGUAGAGAGUACUUUCUAGAGAAGCACCUAUCUAAAAAUGCGUAUCCAGGAAGCUCUUUUAAGUGCUUAUGGGUAUAAAGCCCUCCUAUAAAAGCUCCUAUGAGUUUUGUAUUUUCGGAAGGCGACUCUACGUGCUUUUUUGAUACUAAGAAGCUCUUCUGUAUAGUAAAAAACUACAAAAGAUGCACCAUUACUAGUAUUGGAUGAACUUCAGUUUAAUCUGUUUGUGAUAAUAAUAAAUAUGUGUAUUUGCAGGCGGGGGACAUUCUUUGACUCAGAGAGAGCGGGAUGAAAUCCAUGCAGAAGUUGACGCCGAAUUUGAGGCAGCGGAGAGAGGCUUACAUAAGAAGAAUAAGAAGAAGAAGAAGACGGAGAGAAAGGCCAAUGAAACCGUUGAUGAUUUGGGUUCACUUUUUGGCGAUGGUAUUUCUGGAAAACUUCCUAGAUAUGCUAAUAAGAUUACUUUGAAGGUACGGAGCUGAAAACUAAGUUGUUUUUCAGACAAAAUCUAUUUGCCUUUUUUAUGAUUUUAUGAUAUGAUUUGCUUUAGUGGUAUUAAAAUUUCAUUUAGUGGAGAGACCUUUUUUUUUUUAAUGUAAAGUUACAGAUGAUUCCUAAUCUCUUAGUUUAUUGAUUAUUUAUGUAUCGAAAGGUGGUUGAAACAUUUUUUAUAUAAAGGGAAAGAGUAGAGUGACUUGUGUACUUAUUUGAAUGACUGUAUUAAAUAGGUUUGAGUUUCAGUGACAUCUUUGGAGUCCUUCCUGCAGUUACACUUUAAAAUGUUUUCCCCCACUUUUGAAAUUGUUAGAUAUGAGAGGUUAAAAUUUCCCCCCCUUGCUUAUGUUCAGUCUUAUAUUCAUCCUGUUUGUCAAGGGUAUGACCCUUUCCUAUAGUUCCUUCUGCAAUAAAUUUAUAGUUUGUUGAAAUUAAAGUUCCUUAACUGAAUAUGCUAACUAGUACACUUAAUAUUCUGAAACAAGCUUUUAAGAAAUGGAUGUGCAAAUUGUACUGUUAGGGUUGAGGCCAGCGCCUUUGUAUUCUUGCAAUGCCAACUGGAGUGGAAGUACUAAUUGGGGCCUCUAAAGAAAAGAAAUCAUUUUCUCUUCUUGCUUCAUUGUUCAAAGCUAUUUUAUGACAAAUUUAGUGCUGAUUGUUUUAUGAUGUCUUGGAACUGAAAUGCUUCCUAUUGUUUUGCUGAGUGCACACAGUUCUGGUCCUCGUCCGUGCAUUGCUUAUAUAUUUAUGGACUUGGAUGACUAUCUCUUAUGAUACGAAGGGCAUGCCUUAUUUCUAUCUGUGAAUCAUAAUCAUUUUGGAAUGAAUCUGGAGUUGAAUUUCUUAUGCUUUUUUCUUCUGGUGCUGUCAAACUUUCAGCCUUGCUCUGAGUAUUCUGUUAAUUUUCGUUAAGAAAGAAUUGAUAUACAAUAAUGUUAAUAUGUGGAUGAUCUUUUUUGUCCUUUGAGUCUUCACGUGUAGAUUGUGUUUUUAUUUAUUCUCCCACCUGAUUGAUCUUGUUUAAUUACAUUAGCAGAUAUCUUCAUUUUCAUACAUUUGAUGAUGUAUCUAAACUUCUAUUGCUUCUAUGUAUCCCCAGAAUAUUUCUGCGGGAAUGAAGCUUUGGGGAGUUGUUGCUGAAGUGAAUGAGAAAGACCUUGUAAUUUGUCUUCCAGGGGGCCUACGAGGAUUAGCUCGUGCCGCUGAUGCGCUUGAUCCUAUUUUAGAUAAUGAAAUUGAGGUAAUGUUUUAUUAUUAUUUUCAUUUUUUUAAAAAGUGUUCCCAAUGUUCUAUUUUCAUUAUAUUUUAUGUGAUUUACAGUUUAACAUUUUUGUUUCUUUACCAGGCCAAUGAAGACAAUCUCCUUCCGACGAUAUUCCACGUUGGACAGCUGGUAUCUUGCAUAGUUUUGCAGUUGGAUGAUGACAAGAAAGAGAUUGGGAAACGAAAAAUCUGGCUUUCUUUGCGUCUUUCUUUGUUGUACAAAGGUCUUAGCUUGGAAACUGUUCAGGAGGGGAUGGUAUGUCAGCUUGACCAUGAAAAAACUAUAUUUCCUAACAGUUUUAAAUGUUUAUUCUGAUGUUUGUAUUAUUAUUUAUCAUUGAAUUUUUUGAGAUUUUCACUUAAUAUGUGAUUGGAGGAGAACAACUAGAAUAAAACCUGAUUAUCUACUUGUAAUUUAGAAGAUAUUUUUUAUUGUUUGAUUUUGUGAUGGAUCAUUUUCCUCUAGACUGCAUCACUGGAAAAAACCCAAUAAGAGACACUGAGUGCUUGUCUGGUCCAUUUCAGGAUAUUCAUUAUUGAACAUUGUUUUCAAGUUUGUAUAUUGGCUUUUCAGUAGAUGCCAAAAGGCUGGUGUGGGUUCAUCCCUGAACCAGUUGAGAUUAACUCCUAAAUUAUCUUCCACUAGAGACUAGACAAGUUCUCUAACCUUCUUGACUCAGGUAGUUUUCAGUCAGUAGUGCAGCUUGCUUUGCUUCUUUAAAAGAUCUUUUGAAUAUGCACUACUGAAUUGGACCCUGGACAACAUAGAUGUCUUUUUAUGUGAUUUAUUAAAUUUCUGCUACAUAUUUCAGUCCAUGACUAAUGUGUAUGAUAUCAAUUACAAAUCUAAAACUGUCUUGAUACUUGUGCUGAUGUAAGUAUACAGUGGUUUUAUCGAGGAGAUAGAGUAAUCAAGCGUGCUGGUGCAAAUAUCAAUCACAUUGGAAAUUCAUUGUAGAUUUGAAUACCUUGAAAUUUUAUCUUACUGUGUCUGUUUACAGGUCCUCACUGCAUAUGUCAAGAGCAUUGAAGAUCAUGGCUACAUUCUUCAUUUUGGAUUGCCUUCUUUUACAGGGUUUUUGCCAAGAAACAACUUAGCUGGUAUGAUGACCAACUUGUGCCCUAUUUAGAUGGUUCAAAGGCUUUCAUAUUUUUAUAUACUCCCUUGUAAUUAAGAAACAAACUGAUGGUUAAAAGUCCCUGUUAGAAAAUUUAAUUGUAGCUUGCAAGUUUGUAUAAUGACUUUGUAUUCUUGUAAGUUAUCAAUUACACCAUUCUGCAGUUUGCCAUGUCCAGAAAGUAUUUUAGUUCUUUUUCAUGAUUGGAACUUCACCUUUAGAUAUUCUUAUUUGGUAUAUUUAACAGUUUUAAAAAAGAAAAGGCAAAACAAGAAGUAAAAGUCUCAUUUAGGUUCAGUCAUCUGGUUGUACAAUUGUGUUCAUUGAAAGAAGAAUUUAGAUCAUUCUAUGGUUUGCCUGAUCAGAUAGUAUUUACUUUUUCUUUUUCUUUCUUAUGUGAAUCUUGAACUUCAUUCUGAGUAAGUCUCAUUUAGGUUGGUCAUCUGCCAUAUGUUAUGUGUGUCUCUGCUGUUGUCAUGUGCCUGUAUGUCAUAUUCUUGGUUUACUAGUCACUUUUGCAAAUUCCUUGUUCAUUUGUUUCGUUACAUUUGGUUGUCUUUACAGAAAACAGUGGGAUUGAUGUGAAGCCAGGGCUACUUUUACAAGGGGUGGUUAGAAGCAUUGAUAGAACUCGUAAAGUGGUUUACCUGAGUUCUGAUCCAGAUACAGUGUCGAAAUGUGUUGUAUGUUUCUUCUUAUUUUAUUGGUUUUAUUAUCUCAUUGCCUUAAUUGUCUCCCACCGUUUUCCUCGAUUAUUAACAUUUUUUUUUUGGUUUUGCUCUUAUACAGACAAAGGAUCUUAAAGGUAUUUCAAUUGAUCUUCUAGUUCCAGGCAUGAUGGUCACUGCUCGCGUACAGUCAAUACUUGAAAAUGGAGUUAUGCUAUCGUUUCUUACAUACUUCACUGGAACUGUAAGUAUUUUCUGUGUUCUAAUCAUAUGACUUUGCCAUGUGUGUGAUUCCCUUUUUUUUUUUAAUCUUUUUCCUUUCUGCUUAUGCUUUCCUUAUUACUCCUUGCAGGUUGAUAUAUUUCAUUUACAAAAUACAUUCCCAACAACAAAUUGGAAGAAUGACUACAAUCAACAUAAGAAGGUCUUUGUUUGAGCUUGCAUCUUAAUUGAAAUUGAAAAUUUUCUGUUUUGCUGUUUCGAUUUUUAUGUUAAAAGUUUAUUUAUUUAUUUAUUUUUUAUUUGUCCUUUCUAGCUGUUGUUAAGCGGAUAAUUGCUCUACCAAACCUAAAUAUGCAUAUUUGGAAAUCUAUGGAACCAUAUAUGCAAAUUCUAAUGCAACAUAACAUGGUUUGACUUUGAUGAAGGAUACUGAAAUCUGUAAAAGCUUCUGUUUAGAAGCUAUGCUUUGGUGUUUUAUUGUAGAUCCAAGAUGGACAUUGCAAUCAAAAGGAUGCCUAGAAUUUAACUGGCAUUAUACGCUUGAAUUUGGCUUAUGAAAUAUUUCAAUUAUUUUUGCAAAAGUUUUAAUUCAAAGACAUAGGAUAUGAACAAUUAAAAUAUAUUUGGAUCGUUUUGCGGUGAGGUGCUGUUAUAUACUAAGGGCAUCACUGUAUUUUUCUUUAUUCAUGUGUACCUUCAGGUCUGGCAAAUUUUCAUAGAGCACAUUCUGAAAAAGUAAUUUAUGAGGGUCUUACUUGUGAUUUAGGUGUUGUACUCGUGUUUUCUUUAUGAUUAUACUGUGCAAUUGCAGAGGAUGAUAGGUUCUUUGCAGCAUUACCCUCUAGGUUGUGGUGAUUGUAGAUCUUUAUCUGCUCUCUAUUUAGUUUGUGCUGGAUAUGUUUCAAAAAACGUAAUUCGUGGCCAAUGUUCCGUGAGCUGCAUUUUUCUCCAAUUUUUGAUUUUUUUAAGACCUCAUUUCUUUUAUGUGUGUACCUCUUAUUUUGGUUCAGGUCAACGCUCGUAUAUUGUUCGUUGAUCCCACAAGCAGAGCAGUUGGUUUGACCUUGAAUCCUUAUCUUCUUCACAACAGAGCUCCUCCUUCUGUAAGUUGAUGCAUUAUUAUACAUAUUAUGCUUACAUUUUGGAUACUCAAGUCUCUGACUUGGAAUUAAUGCAGUGUAGCUUAGGUUUUGCUUUUCAGUAUCCUGUCUUAAUGGGCAGUUUCAACCCAUACUGGUGAUAUUGUCCUGUGCUAAAUUUCUUUUUUUACUUCAAAAUUGGGUUAUAGGAGCCAAUCCUGUCUGGGGCCUCUAGGCUCAAAAGAGUUUGGAUGAGUAGAAGGGGGUUUUUGGCAGGGGCUUUUUUUUUUGCAUUUUUUUUCCCUAUGAAUAUGUUCAUUUGCUUUUUUUGAUGGUGUUUGAUCGGAUAUCCAUAGGAUGGGCAUUUGAUAUCUUUGGUUAUCCGUUAGAUAUCAUAAUUGUUAAAUAGUAUACAUUAUUUCUAGAGAUUUCAAUAAGUAAUUAUUAUGAUAGAUACGUAUUUUGGUGAUGGCUUGCCUACCUGUAUAUUGAAUAAUCCUCGGCACACGGUUGGGUUUGUUUUGUUUUUUCCAAGUGCCCAUGUCUCUCUGCCUCUCUUAUCAUCCACCUCUUCCCUCCUGUAUCUCACACUCUAUUGGCAGUUUCCUUUGUUACCUUUGUUAUAUAGUUAUGUGAAUAAUAUCUUUGACAUGGACUAACUAUUUGUAUUUGCAUGCAGCAUGUUAAAGUUGGAGAUAUCUAUGACCAGUCAAAAGUGGUCAGGGUUGAUAGAGGGUUGGGCCUUCUGCUUGACAUCCCAUCAACCCCUGUGUCAACACCGGCAUACGUCACUGUAUGUUCACUUCAUGCUUUGCUUAUAGUUAAGGAUCAGUUCAGUAGCUAUGGUUUCUGCUUGCUUGUUUGUAACUUUUUUGUGUAUAAGGAUUUCAGAUAUCUGAUGUUGCUGAAGAGGAAGUAAGGAAGCUGGAAAAGAAGUACAAAGAAGGUAGCUAUGUUCGUGUCCGAAUUCUUGGAUUUAGGCACUUGGAGGGGCUUGCAACCGGGAUUCUGAAGGUGCAUUUUCACUUUACUGAUACAUGCUUAAAAAUGAAAUGCAUCUGUAAUAAGAAAUACAUUUUACUAUAUUCUGCUGGAGAGUUUUUAUCCUUCAAAAUGAUUUGGAAGGCUACCAUUCCCCUUAAAAUUCAAGUCUUCUUGUGGGCCUUGGCACAAGGAAAAUUAAAUUCUGGAGAAGUGAUGUAAAUAAAGUUUCCUAAUUUUUGUCUCUCUCCAUCUUGGUGUGUGACAUGCAAGAGAAGUGCAGAAACUUCAGAUAAUCUUUUCCUUCACUGUUUUACGGCCUCAAACUAUGGUAUAGGUUGUGCAGAGAAGCUAAUUUUUUGCACAUGAUUCUGGGUUACUGUGAUUCUCUUCUUAUGGAGAAUUUCUUUGCUUUUGGUAGAGGAACAAAGGCUAAAACUCUUUGGAAAUGUGCAGCGGCAGCACUGUUUUGGGUAAUAUGGGAUUAAAAAAAAUGUUCAUAUUAACAUUUGGUGGGUAGUUUUGGAAUUACAAUGGUGUCAGUAGAUUUAUUAAAAUUUUUAUUUUAUUUAUUUAUUUAUUUAUUUUAAUGUGGAAAAGUGUAGAUAAUGCUGAAGAACUGUUGGAUAGAGUUAAUCUUCUUGCUUUUCUUUGGGCUUCAAUUUCUAAGGAGUUUCAAGAUUCAUCCUAUUUCUUCACACAUCUAAAUUGGGAUGGGGUUUUGAGAUAGGGAGUUAUAACUAAUUCUAACCUUGUAUAGAGGUUAUUGGGUAUACUUUUGUAUAGCACAAAUAGUGCUAGUCUUUGUUUUCUGGUUGGACUGUUUUUUACAUCUUUAUUAAUAGAUUUUUGAGUUUCUUAUCAGGGGAAAAAAAUUCGCACCAUAAAUCUCAGCUUGAGGCCUCUAAGGGCAAUGAUUGUUGCUGAUCAUGGUAUAUACAUGAUCUCAUCUCCAACAAAGAGCAAUAUGCAAUUAAUUUUGAGCGGCAUCUCUAUUGUUAAUAUUGCUAGGAGUAUUUAAUGUCACUUCUUCAAUCUCUAUGAUGCUUGUAUGAGUUGAUUCAUUCUCAGAAAUGCUUUUGAUUCUGCCACUAGUUCUCAUUGUUGUUUAGUGCUCUUACUGUUUUUCAAUCAAGUAGGCCAGUGCUUUUGAAGGACUAGUGUUCACCCACUCUGAUGUCAAGCCAGGGAUGGUGGUGAAGGGUAAAGUUAUAGCUGUUGAUAGCUUUGGUGCUAUUGUGCAAUUUCCUGGUGGUGUGAAGGCACUCUGUCCGCUCCCACAUAUGUCCGAAUUUGAAAUUGUGAAGCCUGGAAAAAAAUUUAAGGUUAUUUUUCGCAAUAUGCACCUUUUGAAGUGGUUCAUCAUGCAGUUGGUUUUUUGGUUGCCAAUUCUUCUGAAUUAGGAGACAUACGUUUACUUUUCUUGCUUGUGUCAUGGUGCAGGUUGGAGCUGAACUGGUGUUCCGAGUGCUUGGUGUUAAAUCUAAGAGAAUUACUGUUACACAUAAGAAAACUCUUGUAUGUUCUCUCUUGGUUGCAAUUUCAUUUGGUUGCUUAUUUUUGCUUGGAUGAGUGCAUGAGAGCUUCAUAUGAAGCUGCUUCUGUGACUAGUUUAAAAGUUCUUGGUUAUCCAAGAAGACUUUUGUUUGGUUAUCCGCAAGUAAACAACAUUUGCUGUAAUGACUAACAUUAGUUAUUGGUUGAAGUUGAAAAUCUCCAACAUGUUCUUGGAAAACUCAGUCCAUUGUGUAUGUCUUUGGAUGGCUGAAAUCAAUUGUUGGUUGAAGUUCAAAAUCUCAAACUUAUUUUGAAGAGUUUUGGUCCAUUGAUGUACUUUUUUAACUUUUUGAGAGACGAUCCCACUCUACCCCACUCCGUUUACAAACACAAAUUGAAACUUAAUCCUUCCCCAAGGUUGAUGUGAGGAGGCUUAAUUAUUCCAACCUAUCUAAAAUUACCUAGGCUUUAAUAUGUUUGUUGAUAAGGAAUCUGCAUGUUUAUCAUUCAAGAAUUGAGGUUGGAGAAUUUGGAAGAUGGAUGCUUCAAGUAGAAUUUCUUGUGCAAUUUCAGUAUGGUUGGAAAGGAAAAAUCCUCCCCAAAAUACAAAUUUUUGCAUGGGUCCUUGAGAGGGUAAUCACGGAGAGAGAUCAUACAAAGAAAAUUUCCUAAUAUGUCUCCCUUCGUGGUGUAUCAUAUGUAGAUGAGAGGAUGGGACUAUUAACCAUCUCUUCUUUCCUUGCAACUCUGCUUCUCUCUUUGAAUACAUUUUUGAUGCUUUAUUCAAGGAAAAUUUUUUAUUUUUGGGAAGGCAAUGGCUUUAUGGAUGUGAUUCUUGCUUUGUUGUGGGUGAUUUGGCAAAAAAGAAAUAGCCAUAUCUUUGAAGGGAAAAGAGAGGAACACCAAUUCUUUAUGGAAUAAGUUCCCUUUAUUCUAUUCUUUGGGCCUUCCAAAAAACAUUUUUGAGACAAUUCUUUCAUUUUGAUUAAUUUCAAUUGAGAAGCGAUAGUGGUUUUUCAUUUUUAUUUUUAAUUUUCUUUUACUGAAAACUAGGUAUAUUAUAUUAAAGAAAAAAAAAUUGCAAAGUGGUUUUGGUUUGAUCUGUGUUUAGGGGAUAUAGAGAUUUUUUUCUAGACAGAUAUACUGUUUUAAGAUCUUAAAGUUAUUAGCUGUCAUUUUGAAUAGCUCUUAACUGGACUAUUUUUUGAUGUCCCUGUUGAUUUAUGGUGCACUGCUGCCCUUUAUAAUUAAUAAAAAUUUUCUGUUUGCUAGCAGAAAAGAGUAGUAAAAUCUUGUAAUUCCGAAAUCUACUUUGUGCUGUUCUUACGAUGUCUAUUUGAUGCUACUGCAACAUCAUUGAUAAAUGCUUUUGCAGGUGAAAUCAAAGCUUGCAAUUUUGAGUUCAUAUGCUGAAGCAACCGACGGAUUAAUAACACAUGGAUGGAUAACGAAGAUUGAAAAACACGGUUGCUUUGUCCGGUUCUACAAUGGAGUCCAAGGAUUUGCUCCGAGGCUAGUCUAAAACCAAUAUGCUUAUUUAUGACAUAUAAUGUUUACUGAUUGUAUGAGUUUUGUGAAAGGGGAUAGAAUAGGGAUUAACUUUAUCAAGUUAGGGUAAGAAAAGACUCUAAAAUCUGAUAGUUAUGAUAUAUGCAAAUACUAAGAAUUUGUGACGAGUAACUGUCUAGACGGCUGGCUUCUCAAUAAUCUGCUACGAAUGAGAAGUUGAGUGGUUAUUGCCUUAGUUCUUAGCAGGUAUGAUAAAGAGUUGAACUAAUGCAUUUGGACUGCUGCAAGAUCCUCUAUUGAUUUUGAGGUCAUAGCCUUAUGAGAAAUAACCCAGAAAAUAAUUAGUGUAACAAUACGUUUAGAAUGAGUUGAAUUCAGGAAAAGACUUAUGAUAAGAUAAUGCAUUUCUGGAAACAUAAUUUUUUCUGCCUCCUAUUAUUGGAUACUUACCAUUUUACUGGAACUAUAUACUCAUUCUACAUAUCUGUAUGCAUGAUGUGGUUGUAGGGUCUGACAGUAGCCCUUAAUUGGAUUCCAUUGAAUGAUUUCUAGGUAUGCCCGAAAAGUAAAUAAGUGUCAUUGUAUAAGAAGUUUUAGAUCCUAAUCACAUGACAAUAUGCAAAUUAUUGAUAAUUGAGAGAUCAGAAUUGCUGUAGAUACUGUUCUAUAUAGCAUUGAUUGAUUUUGGGUGGAUACCUGGCCCACUACUUAAGUGUAUUUGCUCCAUUAUUUAUUAAUAUAAAUACUCCCAGUUUCUUUUAUAAACAUGCAUAUAUGUACACAUACAUAUAUGUAUAAAUUGCUUAGGAUGUUUUCCACUUUCUCAUAUUUAUUACCAGGUGCUUGAACUUCAACAGGAAUUUUAUCUUCCAUUUUGCGCACUUCUAUUUUUUUUUAUUUUUUGGAUUUUAUCAUGAAUUAUGAUUGAUUAUUGUUGUCCAUUUGUACCAGAUCUGAACUUGGAUUAGAUCCAGGAUGUGAACCAAGUUCCAUGUAUCAUGUUGGGCAAGUCGUGAAAUGCAGAAUAAUGAGUUCCAUUCCUGCUUCACGGCGGAUCAACCUCAGUUUCAUGAUGAAGCCUACAAGGUUUGCUUCACUCUAAUCUAACUGAUUUGUAAACUUGAUGUAUGUGCAUCUUCUUCUGCUGGCUUUAAUGUAAAAACUUGCUAUUUUUGGGCCAGCAUGCAAUCACCAAUGACAUAGUAAUACUAAUAAUCUUCCAGCUAUAGCUAUUUUAAGUCAUUUUGCAGGACUGGCACAUGGCUAUUAGAAUGCAUUUGCCUUUAACCAUGUCAUAGGAACUGCUGUAAUUACAUAAUUUGAAACAAAAUAAUAAAAGCAUCAUGUCCAGCAGCUGUAUAUCUGUUGCUUUGAUUGAAAUGGUUGUCGAGAGGUUUUUAUCUUCAAAUUUUUGAACUGCAGCUUCUCCGUGUCUUGUAAAAUUCUCUUUCAUAUAAAGCUAUUUUCUUAUUUAUCGAAAUUUGAGUAACAGGGUUUCCGAAGAUGAUUUGGUCAAGUUGGGUAGCCUUGUUUCUGGAGUUGUUGAUGUGGUAACCCCAAAUGCAGUAGUUGUCUAUGUUAUCGCAAAAGGUUACUCAAAGGGUACAAUUCCUACUGAACAUUUGGCAGAUCACCUUGGUAAUACAUUUACUUUGCCAUCAUAUUGAAUUUUCGUUUUUCUUAUUAAAAAUUUUUUCUGUUAAAUGCUGCCUUUUUUAUGAUUUUUCUUUCAGUUAAUACUGCUUUUUCUUUGUAUUCCCUGACUUUAGUUUCUGUUUUGCAGAGCAUGCUACCGUGAUGAAGUCAGUCAUAAAGCCUGGAUAUGAGUUUGAUCAGCUGUUGGUCCUAGGUAAUAUAAUGCUAUUUCUUUCCUAUGCCUCUUCAUUAUUUUUACCCUAAGCAUCCUAAUAGUUCAGUAAAUUACAUUUUAUGAGAAACAAAAGUUUUUGAAAAAGUGCCCAAAUUGUUUUUAAAGGAGUGAAGAUACUUCUUAAAAAUCUAUGUUGCCAUACAUCAAGCUAUAAAAUCCCUUCUCAAAAUGCAUAUCUUGUUUCUCUUAAGAAUUUUACUAUCCAUCAAGCUCGAAUAAAGGCCUGGCACUCCCUUUUUUGCGUUAUGAACUUCUGCCAGUGCUCUUUCAGGUGCAUAUCUUGUUUCUCUUAUGAAUUUUGCUGUGUGAGGUUGCUGGUGGAAUCUGGUGAACACAGGUUUUAUGGUUUCAAAAGAAAGAGAAAGAAAAAAGUAUUGAGUACUGUGUUCUAUUUUUCUAAGAAUUCAAAAUCUGUUUACCAGCGAUAAGUAAAUAGAGAAUAAAAAAUAAUUCUCUAACCUUUUUUUGUUAUAGACAAUGAGAGCAGCAACUUGUUACUGUCUGCAAAAUAUUCUCUAAUCAACUCGGCUCAACAGCUUCCUUCUGAUGCCAGUCAUAUCCACCCUAAUUCAGUUGUCCAUGUAAGUGGUUAAGGCUUCCUACUUAUUAUGUGUUUUCUGAUCUUGUUUUGGAGAAAUCAUCCACUGUUACAAUGCCCUCUUGUUUUAGUGUUCCACCUUAUAUUUGCAAAUUUAUAAGUUUGUGUGAAUCAGGGGUAUGUUUGCAACAUAAUUGAAACUGGCUGCUUUGUUCGGUUUCUUGGGCGCUUGACGGGCUUUGCUCCUAGAAGCAAGGUAAUUUUCUCUCAUUUGGUUCUAUUAUGCUAGCUCUAAAUGUUAUUUUGAUUGAACUGUUUUAAUUUAGUCAAAUUUUCUAUCUGUUUUUUUCCCUUUCUUUUUAAGGCAGUGGAUGGCCAAAGAGCUGAUCUUUCAAAAACUUAUUACGUUGGGCAAUCUGUUCGCAGCAAUAUACUCGAUGUUGGUGAACUCUUUGCUCGUAGAUCUUUGUAUUUUACAACCUUUUGAGUGGUUCGGUAAUGAACUUCUAUCUUUUGUUUUCGUUUUCUCUUUCCAGGUCAAUAGUGAAACGGGUAGAAUAACACUGAGUUUAAAGCAGUCCUGCUGUUCUUCGACAGAUGCAUCCUUUAUGCAAGAGUACUUUCUGUUGGAAGAGAAGGUGAAAUCAUGGAAUAAUACUAAUUUGGUUUUGGAGAUCAGUUGGUGUUUAUAUGUGUUAUUUACCUACUCAUAGUUGUCCAAGUUGCUUUUGGAAAUUAAUGUUUGGUGUAUGUUAUGUUGUCAAAUUUAAGGGCCACAGUUCUUUUUUCCCUUUUGUCACAGUGUAGUAAACAUUUUGACAUUAUAAUUUUGUAUGUUUAAAGUUAUUUCAUUUAAACAUGGUUUUAGUUGUUUGGGCUGCUUUGUCAAUGCACUAAAAAGUUUUGUUUUGUGAUGAUUUAUUUAUGCAUGUCUUUUAAGUGCUUUUUUUUUUCAUUCCUUUUGGUACCCAAAAGUUGUUUGAUCUGUCUUGUUUUUUCAUGGACUUCUACCAAACUGGGGACUUCUGUUGGAUCCUAAAACCUUCUUAGUCAGGAAAUCUGCGAGAUAUGAUGUCAUUGGACGUUUGACUCUUGUUUGUGACCGAUGGUCUUAACUACUAACUUUUCCUUUGGGGUGAAGUUUUUGUUCAUCUCUUCAGCAGUGGCCUAUGGGCAUAGGUUUGUAAGACCAAAAGAGCGACCGAAAGGGGUUGGAUGCAUGCUGUAAGAAUAAACAAGUUAAUCCUAAAAAUAGGAAUUGUGGCUUUAUUCUGCUCAAAUAACCUUUAUAGUUUCUUAAGUUCUGCUCAAAUAACCAUGUUAUAGAUUUCAACUGGGUUUAUGUUAUCCACUGCUAGACUAAGUGAAUCAAUUCUUUGCUGCAAAUGUUUCUCACAUCCAAUGAGAAAAUGCUCAUUUUUAUCCUAUUGUACCAUUUUUUUUUUGAAUUUUUUGGUUCGGGCUUUAUUUUAAUUCAUUUUUUCCCAUCUACUUAUUGGCUGAAGUACAUAGCACAUUCAUUAUUUCUUUAAUUGGGAGUGAUUGUCUGGAUUCUUGUUUCUCUUUAGUUUUCUUAUAUCGCUGAUCUAGAUAUCACCUUUCAGUAAUGGUUUGUCUUCUGAUAGAUUAGUAUCAUAAUCAUGGCAAUGUUUAUUGAAUACAGAUUGCUAUGCUGCAAUCCUCGAAACAUAAUGGAUCAGAGUUAAAAUGGGUUGAAGGAUUUAUCAUUGGCAGUGUCAUUGAGGGAAAGGUUCAUGAGUCAAAUGAUUUUGGAGUUGUUGUCAGCUUUGAGGAACACAGUGAUGUUUAUGGAUUUAUUACUCAUCAUCAGUGUAAGUUUUUUUUCAUGUCUACUGAAUUUUCAUUAUCUUCAAUUCUAUAACUAUGAGUGGAAUAUGUCUUGCAGUAGCUGGAGCUACCGUGGAAAGUGGAUCUGUCAUUCAGGCUGCCAUUCUUGAUGUUGCCAAGGCAGAACGCCUUGUUGAUUUAUCGUUAAAAACGGUGUUCAUUGACAGAUUUAGGGAAGCAAAUUCUAACAGGCAGGCUCAGAAGAAGGUUUAACCCUAUUUCCAGCAUUCUCAAUUCAUAUUUCUAAUUAUGUGUAUCUGCUAAAAUUGUGGUAAAUAAUAGGAAAAAUGAGAAUAAUUUAUUGCGAAUGUUUCGUAUGUCAUAUUUAUUCAUCAUAGAGUAAGAAUUUUUUGUCAUUAAUUGUGCUUGUACUCUUGGCCUAAUUUGUACUAUCGAUGAUUUCAGAAACGCAAAAGAGAAGCUUCCAAGGACUUGGAAGUGCAUCAGACAGUAAAUGCAAUUGUGGAGAUUGUGAAAGAGAAUUACUUGGCAAGUGUUUACUUACUUUCUGUAGUGUGGUGAGACUAUCAUUUUUUGUGUAUUCUCACAAUUGUUUUCUUUGAAACCAGGUUCUUUCGUUGCCAGAGUAUAACUAUUCUAUAGGAUAUGCAUCUGUGUCAGAUUAUAACACACAAAAGUUCCCUCAGAAACAAUUUCUGAAUGGACAAAGGUAACUAAUUUGAUGAUUUUUCUCCCUUCCCCAGCUGCAUCCCCACCCCGUACACAAACACAUUUUAAAUAAUUUCCCCUCCAAGGUUGGAGUGAUGGGGAUUAGCUCACUUGGUCUUUUGCUUGCACCCCAUACACAGAAAUGAUUUGUUUCGUUUGAAGUUUAUAGAUGUAUCAUUGCUUUGCUCCUGGCCUAAUUGUGGAUCUUUUACUAGUGGGCUUGAACAUGAAACUUCUAUUUUGUGCAGUGUCAUUGCUACAGUUAUGGCUCUUCCAAGCUCUUCAACUGCUGGGAGAUUACUUUUACUUCUUAAAGCUAUUAGUGAGACUGAGACAUCCAGUUCCAAAAGGGCAAAAAAGAAGUCUAGCUAUGAUGUUGGAUCUUUAGUUCAGGCAGAGGUGGAUAGUCUAAAAAAUAUUGUGACUUGUCUUAUCUUAUUUCUUUCAUAUAUAAUUAUAUAUAGUCUGUCUUUGAGUUUGGUACUCAUUUUAUCAAAAUGAGGGUUCCUUACUGGAAAGUUUCUAUAUAUAUAUAUAUACAGCAAUUUCAAAAUAAGGGAUCCCUUAUUAGAAGGGGACUCUCUCUCUCUCUCUUUCUCUCUCUCUAUAUAUAUAUGUAUAUAUAUAUAUAUAAAUAUAAUCCAUGAAGCACACUUAUUUGAGUAUUAUAUGUCUUUUGUUCCUUCAGAUCACUGAAAUUAAGCCCUUGGAGCUAAGAUUGAAAUUUGGAAUUGGUUUUCAUGGGCGGAUUCACAUAACAGAGGUGAUUUUCUAGUUGUGCAUGUUUGAAUAUUGUUGUCUAAACAAUUAAUUAUUACCCUCUUGUCAUGUGUGUUUCGGUUAUCUAGUUAUAUGAUAAAAUUAAUGUUCUAUUUUCCUAUUUUUACUUUUACUUGUUAAAUGAGCAGGUGAACGAUGAUAAGAGUAAUGUGGUGGAAAACCUAUUCAGCAACUUCAAAAUUGGGCAGACAGUGACAGCAAGGAUCAUAGCCAAGUCCAAUAAACCAGACAUGAAAAAAAGCUUCCUGUGGGAGCUGUCCAUCAAACCCUCAAUGCUUACGGGUAAAUGGUUCACUGCAUAAUACUCCGAUACUCGGAUUUGCCAUUGUCAAAGUCUUGGUAUCUUGUUCCAUAAACUAUCUCUCAAAUGCUUGGAUUGACUUUGCAUUUCUCAUUAUUUUCCUUUUUUUUUUAAUCAUGUACUUUUACCGUAAGUUUUUAGCACUGUCGUGGUCAUUUUUCUUUUAAUAAGAAACUGUAAAGUGUAUUAAAGAAGAAGAAUCUUUACAAGGAGUGGACCAGCUGUCCACUAAGAAAGCAUAAUAAUGAAAACUUUUUAGCACUGCUGCAGUCAUUUAAAACACACUCUUAGGCUAGCAUUGACUUCAUUUCUCAUCAAAUGUUUUCAUUCUUUGAUUUGAUUCUCAAGUCAUCUUUAUGGAUAAGUUCUCAAAAAAAAAUGUUCCACUCAUUGAUUAGGUUUUUCCAUUACCCAUUUGUUCAUGGAUUGCUCUACAUAGCUUUGCUUAUUGCAAUUUUAUUCAGUUUCUGAAAUAGGGAGCAAGCUUUUGUUUGAAGAAUGUGAUGUUUCAAUUGGACAACGUGUCACCGGUUAUGUAUAUAAAGUGGACAAUGAAUGGGCAUUGUUAACAAUAUCUCGACAUUUGAAGGCUCAGCUUUUCAUUCUUGAUAGUGCAUAUGAGCCUAGUGAACUUCAAGAAUUCCAAAGGCGCUUUCAUAUCGGAAAAGCUGUUACUGGUCAUGUUUUAAGUAUUAAUAAGGAGAAGAAACUGUUGCGCUUAGUGCUACGGCCUUUUCAGGAUGGAAUAAGCGAUAAGACAGUUGAUAUUUCAAAUGAUAAUAUGCAAACCUUUAUACAUGAAGGAGAUAUUGUGGGUGGUAGAAUUUCCAAAAUACUUUCAGGUGUUGGUGGAUUGGUCGUGCAAAUUGGUCCUCAUUUGUAUGGUAGGGUUCAUUUCACUGAACUCAAAAACAUAUGUGUGUCUGACCCAUUGUCUGGAUAUGAUGAAGGCCAGUUUGACCCAUUGUCUGGAUAUGAUGAAGGCCAGUUUGUCAAAUGCAAGGUCCUUGAAAUCAGUCGCACGGUCAGGGGCACUUUUCAUGUUGAGCUGUCUCUACGCUCAUCUUUAGAUGGCAUGAGCAGUACGAAUUCUUCAGAUCUCUCUACUGAUGUGUAAGUCUACCUUUUCUGAUUUGGAUACACAGAGAUAUUUUAUUUGCUUAUAAACGCAUGCUUAUUAUUUGGAACAUUUAAGUUCAUAUAACACCGAGGCCCUUCUGAAGUUUCCAUGAAUACUAUUUCUUUCUCUAUAAAUAGUUCAUCUGGAUGGAAAUUAAUGAAUAGUAACUUGGUAUAAAUUUUCUUUGAAAGUGGAUUUCUUUUUGUUAGUGUUAUGAUGCUAUAUCAAAUUUUGAUUUGUUUAUGGAUCUAUGCAUGCUACACCUCAUUAGUAUAAGAAAAUUAUUGCAGACUACAUUUUAUUGGUUCUCUCAGUAUUAAGCUGUAUAUAAUACUUAAAGAUUUAUUUGGUCUGUUCUCUGUCUUUUAAUAUCAUUUCUUCCUUGAAUUUGAUAAUAACUUAGUGGACGGUUUGAAAACCUAAAAAUUGUUAACUUCUAAUCUCGGGCACUUCCAUGGAAUUUUGUUAAUCUGAUUCUAGUGGAUACGUGGCAAAGUACAGAAGAUUCAUGCCCUUGUUUUCUCGUGAUUAUUUAUUUCUCCAGUUGGUGAACAUUAGGUUUUCUUUAGCCAAUUACGGACAUAGACUCUACCUUAGAAGAUUUCAUUGUUCCAGUUUUCUAGUUCAGGUGGAGGCAAUGAAUAGGAUGCUUUCCAUCUAGCUUGAAAAAUAUGACAUGAUCAUUUAUUAGCAAUUGAUUUUCAAAAAGAAAUGCUCUUUGACGCAUGAUGCCUACUUUAGUUCUUAUAGAAUCUUUUUCACUUCCAUGGUUGUUUAGUAAGCUACUUUGUGGAAUAUCUUCUCUUACGAAAGUUGAUGACUGAAUUGCCAAAUUAUCUUACUUUUUAGUCUUGAGUAAAUAUCUUUGAUCCCGUGAUGAGCCUAUAAGAUUCCACUUUUUCCAUGUAUUAAAUGCCACCAAGUUUUCUGUAGUCACUUGUAAUUUAAAUGAAUAUUGUGGCCUUAUUAAUGUGUUAGCUAGAAUUUGUCUCAGGAUUAAGUAAUUUGCUAUUUUGUGGUGGUUUACAAAAUCUUGUCUUUUGUUUAAUCAGGAGUUAUAUAUGGUUUGCAUUUGCAGGGAUACUCCUGGCAAGCAUUUGGAAAAGAUUGAGGAUCUUUCUCCUAAUAUGAUUGUACAGGUACAACAAUCCUCUUUUUCAUGUAAUUAAUCGACUUCUUUUAUUGGUUGUUUUUAAUCUGGUCGUCACCUAAUUACAAAUGAUAGAUUACAGUGGCUUAAUAUCAUCUCUUCCAAGAGCAUUGGUUGCAUCAAGAAUAAGUUACAGUCCAGUUUUGUUUGCAUUGUUGAUACACUAAUUAAACUGUUGCUAUUGAUAGAACUUUUCGUUAAAAUAUUAUGCAUUUUAUAGUCUUCCCUCUUUUUCAGAAGUGAUUAUUAGUUGAAAAUUACGCAUGAUGUAUCUUAAAGGUUAUAGCUUGAACCAUGUUCACAUCUAAUGCAUUGCAGCAGUCACGUAUUUCUGUGACGUCAAUCGAUGUUGCUUUUAUUUAUACUGAAAAGGAACAUCUUCACAAGAUGAUGAAUACCUGUUUUCAUAUUUAUUCUUUUCCUUGUUAUGAUAAAAAGACUCAACCUAAGGAUUAGGAAUAUUUAGUGUAAAUCAUGUUCUCAAGUUUUUUGUAGUCACUCUCAUUCCAAGGGAUAUGGAUGUUUCAACAUGUAUUCAUUUAUUGAUCCAUUUAGCUUGCUCUCACUCAUCCUAUUUUCAUAUAUUCUUUCCAACAAAUAUAAAUGUUUCGACAUUUAUUCAUCCUUUUUCUUUUGGUGGCCGUGAAUUAUUUUCUUUAUACCUGCAGUGCUAAUAAAUAUUCAUUGGCUCUGACAGGGUUAUGUUAAGAAUGUGACAUCUAAAGGAUGUUUUAUUAUGCUCUCACGGAAGCUUGAUGCAAAAGUUCUCCUUUCAAAUCUGUCAGAUGGAUAUGUGGAAAGUCCAGAAAAAGAGUUUCCUAUUGGGAAACUUGUAGCUGGCAGGUAGUUUCCUUAUGGUCAAUGAAGUGAUUAGUCUUUGAUAUUCAGUGCCCUGUAUUGAGAAAUUUAAUUGCAGGGUGCUAUCCGUGGAGCCUUUGUCAAAGCGCGUUGAGGUUACCUUGAAGACAUCCGAUUCUAGGACUGCUUCCCAAUCUGAAAUCAAUAAUUUGAGUAAUCUACAUGUUGGAGACAUUGUUAUUGGGCAGAUCAAGCGGGUGGAAUCAUAUGGUUUGUUCAUCACAAUUGAGAACACGAACUUGGUAAGGAAUAAGUUAUAAAUGACUGGUUGUAAUUUGAAUAUUGUACUAUUCUUUGAUGCCCUUUUGGGGACUGCAUCACCGAGUAUACUGAUUCUGAAACAGCCAAAAAAUAGAAAUGGAAAAUAAAAGGGCUUAAUCUAUGGAUUCUAGUCCUGAUAUUUACUCGAGUUAUGAAUUGUGCUGCCCAUCCAUCGUUCCGGGUUUUAAUUAAUGACCAUUAUUUUGUUCAGAUGGAUGGUGCGAAUGUCCUGUUAGUUUCUUUCUUACCUGGAAGUGUUUAUUUUGAUAUUAUUCAGUUUAAACAAUCUGCAUUCGUUAGAUCAUUUGUCAAUUAUUUUCAUGUAUGAUUUGUCAUUUUUGAGGGUUAAUGUGCUUAUUUUUAUUGAUUGCUUAGGUUGGAUUAUGCCACGUUUCAGAGCUUUCAGAAGACCAUGUUGACAACAUUGGGACUAUAUACAGAGCCGGGGAGAAAGUUAAGGUGAAGAUUUUGAAGGUAAAUAACAGUAAUGUGGUUAUGUUAUGUCGACUGUCAGUUUAUAGGCCUUACAUCAGUUAAAACUAGUGCAUAAAAUCGACUGCUUACUUUUCUAGUGUUUUUUUCAUCUAUGAUGUCAUGCGACUGAAGGUUGAUAUCUGGAUUAAACUUUUAGGCAGAUCACUAAUUGAUUUUAAUAGUUAGUCUGUAAUUGCUGGAAAAUAUUUAUUGCUGUUUUUCUCCUCUAUUCUUUAUAUUAGGUGGACAAAGAAAAGCGCCGAAUUUCACUGGGAAUGAAGAGUUCGUAUUUUAAGAAUGAUGCUGAUAACCUUCAAAUGUCUUCAGAAGAAGAGUCUGAUGAAGCCAUUGAAGAAGUUGGUUCUUAUAACAGGUCAUCAUUAUUGGAGAACAGUUCAGUUGCUGUUCAAGAUAUGGAUACGGAGUCUGAAGAUGGAGGAUCUCUGGUUCUUGCUCAAAUAGAGUCUAGGGCUUCCGUUCCUCCUCUUGAGGUCAAUCUUGAUGAUGAGCAGCCUGACAUGGAUAAUGGAAUUAGUCAAAAUCAGGGACAUACUGAUGAGGCAAAAACCAUAGAUGAGAAGAACAAUCGACAUGCAAAGAAGAAGGAGAAGGAAGAGAGGUUUCUCAAUUCAGACAUGUUUGACUUUUGUUCCUUAUUUAACUGCAAGUUAUUUGGGCUUUUUAAUAAUCUUGAAACUAUAUUUGAUAGGGAGCAAGAAAUAAGAGCUGCUGAGGAAAGGUUGCUGGAAAAGGAUGCACCAAGAACUCCUGAUGAAUUUGAGAGGCUGGUCAGGAGUUCCCCAAAUAGCAGUUUUGUUUGGAUAAAGUACAUGGCUUUCAUGCUCUCCAUGGCUGAUGUUGAGAAAGCCCGCUCUAUUGCUGAAAGGUAUUCUUUUUGCUAUGUUGAGUUUCAAGCUGGAUUUGGGACGGUGUGUUGAAUUUUGAUGAUGAGAAAUUAUAUGAUCAUUUAUUGAUUCAACUAUUGAUGAAUGAAUAUGCUAAAUAAAGUCAAAAUUAAUGUGUGUUGUCCUGUUCAAUUACAUCUGGUUUAUUGAUUUUCAUAAAUAGGAAAAUGAAGACAUCAAAAAUUGGGAAAAAAGGGAAAAAGAAAUGGUAUUAACCUAGUGAAUUUGUGAUUCCUCAUUACUCUAGUAUCUAAUUCUAUUUCUCCAAAAAUGAUUAAAAUAUCCUUUUGGUUAUAUCCAUUAUCUAGUCAUGUUCAUUUAGGAAAAUCAGUCCAAACAUCUUUGACUUUGUAGUUCUUAACACUAAACAAGCUGUCUUGUGGUAGGUUGUGUUCAGGGCAUAUAAGAAUGUCUCCUGCUCUUUUUUCUCCUGUUUUAGAUGCUUUUUUUUGUUGCAGGCCUUCCCCUUUAUUUAUCUCCAUGUUUUGCUUUUUGCUUUUAAUUCCCUCGCCGAUUGCCUCACCACACCCCACCCCCCCCUCUCCCCCCAGCGCUGGGAAAAAGAAGGAUUAUGCCACCCAUGAUUUUCAUUUCCUACUAUUGGAAUCUAACUAUUUGCUCAGAAUCAGGUGGAUGAAACAGUUCCUAUCAUGUAUAAGAUAUUAUGGUGUAGCUAAAUGGCUUAAGUUCCGAUGAUCCACAAAGGCUAAUGUGGUUUAUUUUCUUUAGACAUUGUUGUAAUUUGAGGUUUAUAUUUCCUCGAAGUUUUUGUUUGAUAGUUAUUUCUUUUUUUUUUGUUUAAUUUGUUAUUUUAUUUAUCAGUAAAUUAAUUUGUGGAGUUAUCUUAAUAUUUGCACUGUUGCAUCCAACUUAAUUUUAUUUUUCAUCUUUGUAUUUUCAAGGGCUCUACAAACUAUUAACAUUCGAGAAGAGAAUGAGAAGCUAAAUAUUUGGGUGGCUUAUUUUAAUUUGGAAAAUGAAUAUGGAAAUCCACCAGAGGUAAUUAAACAGAGAGCAGCUUUAUUUAUUCAUUUAUUUUUUUAAAUCUUGUAAUCAUGACUUGAAUUGGGAGUGUCAUUAAUUUAUUUUCUUUCAGGAAGCUGUUGUAAAAGUAUUUCAAAGAGCAUUACAAUAUUGUGAUCCCAAAAAGGUCCAUUUGGCACUGUUGGGUUUGUAUGAAAGGACUGAGCAAAAUAAGUUGGCUGAUGAGCUUCUUUACAAAAUGAUCAAGAAAUUCAAGCAUUCGUGCAAGGUAAUCAUUGAGCUUCUAUCUUUUCAUUUUACCUCAAUUUUGAGCAUCUUUGGACAUGCAAAUUUCGUAUCACCUGGAACUUUCAGGUCUGGUUAAGGAGGGUGCAGAGACUUUUGAAGCAACAGCAGGAGGGGGUUCAGGCUGUGGUGCAACGUGCUUUGUUAAGUCUUCCUCGGCAUAAGCAUAUUAAAUUCAUCUCACAGACAGCUAUUCUCGAGUUCAAAAAUGGGGUUGCUGAUAGAGGGCGAUCCAUGUUUGAGGGAAUCUUAAGUGAAUAUCCAAAGAGAACAGACUUGUGGAGUAUUUAUCUUGAUCAAGUAAGUUGCUUUUAACAUUAGGUACUUUCUAUGUUUCCCUCUUUCUUUGAGGUAUAUCUUACAUUCUUUUAUCAAACUUGUCAGGAGAUUCGACUUGGAGACGUAGAUUUAAUUCGUGGAUUGUUUGAGAGGGCUAUCAGCUUGAGUCUCCCACCUAAAAAGAUGAAAGUACGUAAAUCUGCAGAAUUAUAUUAUGGCUGUCCCUGGGCUUCUGCAGAAUUAUAUUAUGGCCGUCCCUUCCUGUUUUGCCUUACCUGUCUUCUUUCUGGUUUUGCAGUUCUUAUUUAAGAAGUAUCUUGAGUAUGAAAAAUCUCUUGGUGAGGAAGAAAGGAUUGAAUAUGUGAAACAGAAAGCAAUGGAGUAUGUCGAGAGUACACUAGCGUAGUUGUUGUUGAUCUACUCUUCUUUAGCCGGAGUUUCAAUCUGCAGCUUUCAAACAAUUUGAGUUGGCUGUUUGUACUGUACAGCGACGAGGAAUUUGUAAUUUACAAUCAUAGCAGGGAGGUGGUUGAAAUUUUACUUAUUAGUUGAUGCAGAGGAUUACUGAGAUUUCGUAAGAUAUUACUCAGGACCACAUUUGUCUCCCUGUACAAUUUUGCUUAGUAAAAGCUUUACACAGGAUGUGCAAAUUUACUGAUUCUUGUUCAAAACUCAAACCGCUCCUCAGAUGAUUCUGUUAAGAGGGGUCCCGCAACAUAUUUGAUUAAUGUAUUCAUGUACUGUUGAGAAUUUAAUUGUAGAUAUUGUAGAAACGAAUGAAGAUUCUUUGUCCAUAUUGUUUUGAAUCUUUUGAUUUAGUUUUUUGUUGUUGAAUUCCUGCUAGGGAAGUUUUUAUUAUCAAGUGAAUGAUCGGAAGAUAUAAUUAUUACUAUAAUUAUUAAGAGUUCUCAAAAGAUUUAACCUAAAAGAUUAGUGCCAAAUGAGUUAACAAAUACUCUAUUGAAUAAUAAUACAUGAGAAUUUCAAGAAUGAAUUGAUCUUUUAUUUUGUAAGAAAGAAUAUCACAAGCACAUUUGCAAAGUAAUGAUUGAAAAGUUAUUUCAGUUACGGUAACUAAAAUCUUUCCCGGGCAAAUUCUUGCCAUAUGCUGUACUUCUUUCUACCUAUAAUGCUAGUACACAAUACAAGGCCUGUCCUAAUAAUGUACACGGGGAAAACAGUAAAUUUACUUGGUAAUUCACGACUUUCUUAUGCAGCUGUCGUGACUGUGUGUGUAGCAGGAAGAACAAGGUUUCAUUAGUAUGAUUGUCAGCUGCAAGGUAAUGGCAAUUAUAAUCUUGCAACCAAAUCUGUAUGUCAACCACGAGCAGCUGGUACAGUGCUUGUGAUUCACUGCUCAGGCAAAUGUGGCUAGACAGAAUACCAUCCUUUCUUUUCAGCAUGUCUAGCCCAAUGCCUCCGCAGAGAAAAACUCAGUUUCCCAAGCUCAUGAAAAAGUAAUUGGGAGAAAAACCAGGAUCCAACUAAUUUAGGGCAUAGUGAACACGCUCAAGGAGUUGCACCACCUGAUUAACAGGGAUAGGCGAAGAAGGCGGCAGUUUUGAACUUGCUUUAAUUGUAUCAAAUGAGCCAAGCGUGAAUGACAACACAGCCUCUUGUUGUGUACUUGUAAGCUCCAAGAACUGCGACAGCAUGUCUCCAUCAAGUAUCUUGGGAACCCCAACCUGCAGCCACAAACACGUUCAAAUGAAUCAUAACAGAAGCAGCGAGCAGGCGCAAGUACAGAACAACCUGCUCCAUGGAAUUAAAGCUGUUGUUUCCUAAUAUUUUAAGCCGAUAUAUUACCUAAAAUUUUUAUUUUGAAUUCCACGUGAACGGAAAAUUUUACAAAGAAAGAGCAGAUAGAAUGAACCAAAAUGCAGUGACUACAAUGGUUCAUAAUGACAAGAAUCUCUUUGCAAGAAACAUGCCAACUCCUAUUGAAACAGGACUGGAUGGUACAUGAAUGGCACAACAAUGUUUCUGGCCUGAGGUUCAAACUUAAUGCACGCUAGCAAUUCCAAAAACAAUAUUAGCAAGGUUUUACUUUCUUACCGGGUUUUCACGACUACGAAACUCGUUGUGGUCGUUUCCAAGCAAAGGUGCAGUUAAAGGAUGGAUAGCAAGCCUAGCUUGAACCGCUUCUAAGAGUUCAUAUUCUUCACUGCAAAUAUGUGAUGGUUAUAAGUACUCUAAACAGGCAUCCUAGUUCAACUCAAAAAUAAUAACAAGGCAUAGCACCUUCACAGUCUAUGUUUAAUCUACAAUUCAACUCAGCUCAAAUAAAAGCAUCAACCGGAUUAAUUACGGUUGGCGAGCUUGUUAAAAAUCACCCAAAAUGAAAUGAGCCCCUCUAAGAGUACACAUUCUUUCAUCUUAUUAAGUUUGUAACCACACCAUGACCAUACAAACCUGUCUUUAUAAUACUAUCAGAUCAUAAAGAACAGAAAUAAGUUGUUAAAAUAUAUGGCAGUGGAUGAAGCAGGCAAACUCAAUAAAAGAAAAUUGUUGGAAGGGAAGUACUCCUAUAUAUAAAAGUUUAUGACCACAUAAUUAAUAUUCAAUUAGAAACAUUCUAUCAAGUCUCUAGAUCGACAUAGAUCCUCACCAUUAGCCUGUCUAGUGCAAAGAACUAUUUCUUAUCCACGUCUUACAGAUUUACUGUGCUAUCAUUUCUGGAUAUAUGAAGAAAUACUACAUGUACUGCUGCCAGUGUCAUCAUCCGAUACAUAGGAGAUCCAUCUAGCAUAUUCCUAUAAUGCCACAUUUGCUAAAAUAAAACAUACCUUGAUAUAGGAAUGAAUAUCACUAUGCUCCCUAACAACGUGCUGGCUAUAAUAGUUGUUUGUGAAGACUCAAAACUUGCAAGACAGUCCCCCAAGGUAUCAUCAGCUGGGAGUUUGUAUAUAAAUGACCCCUAAAAAGGAAAAAAAAAAUAGAAGACGAGACAAAAAUAUCAAUAUUAUUUGAGGCUAGGUAAAAGAAGAAGCUACAAUGCACACUAGUUGUCAGAAAAGCCUCUCAAACUAGAAUCUCAACAAAGCAAAAGAUAAAUACUAAUAGUUCAAGUAACCUAUCAAAAGAUACAUCAGAGGACAUAGUUGUCCAAUUUUGACCAACCUGCCGAGAGAGAGGGGGAAGGGGUGGGAGAACAAUAUACCAUUACCAACAGGACUGAAAGAAAUUUACUAUUACUACUAUAUGAUUAUGUAUGAACUAAAGAAAUUUAACACUGCUACUUAGUGAUUGUGUAAGAAGUUCUUCCAUUCACAAUUGGAUUCUGUAGGAUUUACCUUCCUGAUGCUCACGGCUAUCUCACCCAUAUGAUAAGCACAAUUCGGCGUUAAGUUGCAUUCUGGACUUGCAUUAUCUGGCACAUUGAGAAAUAACAUAAUUUAAGAACACUAACAGAACCAUCUGCCAUCUAAAGCAAAUAAGCAACAGUAGGAUAACAAUAACUACAAGAUGAAAUAUAAAUUCCAUCCAGAGCAAAUAAUCAUACCAGUGGCAUGAAAUAAAUGAAAAGAUGAAUUUGGGAGAGACAGCUUUGUUUCACUUUUAAUUCUGGAUCAGUUAUUCAUUAGCUUUGUCCAUUAAUAAGGCUCACUAGAAACUCUAUUCAAAUAAUCUUUGCAUUGGUCACCAAUAUUUCCAAAUUGCCUCAAAAUUGGCAUUCACGCAACCAAAUGAAAUUAACACCAUUGGUAAAGUUGAAAGCUGGCAUAGACAUGAAUGGUCUCAUUAAUUUGCAAUUCUGGAAUUGGAAAAAGAUUUUAAACUAUCCUGAUAUAUAAAAUCUUCUAGACUCAGAAAGGUCAAGUAGCAUGUACUAUGGCGUCAUCACUAAAAGAAACGACAACAUCACAGACCAUUAUGGUUACUGAGACAAGCAAGCGGGCAUGUGCAUGUUAAAUCUGUAAGCUCAGAAACCCAUUGACUUCGGUCAUGUUGGUGUUUCUCUGGAUUCAUGUCAUGAUUUUAACUCCAAUAUCUUAGUACACAGUUGAUGAAGGGUAGGAAAGUUUCAAAAUCCUUUUAAUUCCGACAAUACCCAAGAUAAGAAAAAUAGGCUUAAUUCGUGUCGAUUCACACAGAACACCAAAGAAAAGCAACACAGAAGUUGAACAAAGCCAAGAACCUGAUUAGGUAAGACAGCCCUCGGCCUUUUCAAUGCCAGCCUUGAAAAGGCCCGUAUUUACACAAGUUGAUGAGAUAAAGGCCGCAUAAAAGAUAAGAAAUGACUAAGUCCUAAGAACUGGUAAUAGAUGUAAAAUAAACAAAUCAAAGGUAUCCUGAGAGAAAUUCAAUGCCUAAUUGGUAGAAAUAGGAAAUUUAUUACUGUGCUGCCUCAAUCACAUUGAUGCUCAUCUUCUUCAUUCCCAGUAAUUAAAAGUUAUAUGCUUAGUCUAGGGUAAUAACAGCAAAUCAGAGGAUUUAAACAGCGAUCAAGUGAAUUUUGCAAUGAAAUUAGCAUUUCAAAAUAAUACAUAGCAUUUCAAAAUAAUAUUAGAGGUGCUGUAAAUUACAGAUGAGGCUUAAUUUAGGAUUUACCUUCCAGCCGAUCUGAACAAGAGAGGACAGCAAUGCUCCCCUUACGGUCUGAAACAACAGCUGUGUCAACAUCCAUUAGAACACAAUCAGCCACUAACCUCUGUGAAGGAUCACAAUAUAUCUGCUCCAGUUUCCUGGCAUCCUAGCACAAAAGAAAGCAUGCAGAAAAUUUCAGAAUCAAUAUCACUAGCUGCCAGUCGCAAACCACUUUCUUUUAAGGAAAAUGGGAAAACCAAUGUAGACGUCACCUAAACAAAUUUAAAAGGAAAGAGCUGACAUGCGCAAAACAUUCUACUAUUUUAACGUACCUCAUGAUAAGAAUAGAAAAGAAUGCCAUCACGGCAAUCUCCAACAGCAAUUCUAGUAAAAUGAGCAGUCAGCAACAUGAUCAUAAAACGUGUCCUUCCUACAGCAAACCUCCUAACCCUCUGGGGAUUAUCAUUUGGAAAUCCACAUACAUAAAACUGAAACAUGAAGAAUUUUUUUUUCUUUUGUAAGCAACAGCCCUGGGUAACUGAGUUCAUUCUGGCAGCUUGAAAGCAUAUAUAGGAAAGAACCACUUACAGCAUUACCAGCAGAUGCCAAGAAGUAACGAUCAAGAUAUGGACAUAUUGCGAGCACCAUCCCUGGCCAUGUUGUUGAGUAGGCCAACCGCAGCUGCCAUGUUUCAGUCUCUUCAAGCUUAAUUCCAUCACAACUAGCAUCAUCAGGGCUACUGCAAAGACUACUGCUUGACAGUUGUUCUGUUGCAUAUCCAACAAUUUCACGGAAUGGUGAAGUUCGUUGAGAAGAUGACCCUGCCUUAGAACAAAAUGUCAUUGAACCACAGUCUGAAUUUUGCAUGUGUUCAAUACAGAGGACAAUCAGACGGCCCUUGGUACUGUUGAAAAGAAAUGCACCAUUUAGACAACACGUUCAUGGAAUUUCACGGGAAAUAUAUAGUGUUUAAAACAUCUUAAGCUUAGAUUUCAUCUACAGGUUGUCACGUGGAUCCAAGCACAGAUCCAUGAGGCUUUUGUCAGAGUUCUUUAAUUGAUAGAAUAAUAUAUAUAUAUAUAUUUGCCCCUCGGAAUGUAAAAUCAAGACUUCUACAAGAAACAAUUACCUUUCAGCUUCACCACUGGGCAUAAUGGCAGGACCAGAAGACAGGCUAGUUCCAACCACCAAAACCUGUUCAUGUCCAACCCUCACCAGCUCCAUGGACUUCCCUGUUUCUCCAAGUUCAAGCUUAAAAGAUGACAGCACUGACCCACUAAGGGGAUCAACACAACAUAUAUCAGAUGAACAUGUAUCAUUAUUCAGUUCUGUUCUCAUCACAAUCAAUAACCUGCUUUCACUAUGAUAAAGGACCUUCUUUGGAGUGCCUCCAAGAUGAAAUUUCGGCACAUUAAGCCUCUUAUUGUGCACCAUCUCCACCUAAAGAUAGAGUAAUUGAAGAUCAUGUAUGUCAACCUUGAAAACAGACUAGUAUUGAAACAUCCAGUUGAGAAACAUUGCAAAAUGACAACCUCGUAAGCAGAAUAAUAUUAAGAGAUCCAAUACAGAAACAUUACACAAUUGCACUUGAAACAAAUAUAUCAUAAAAUAGAAAUCAAUCCCUAAUAUAAAACAAACUCGUUACCAAUUUAAAAGUUCUUUACUUUUUCAUAGUUAAUCAAUUUCAAAACACAACGGAUACCAGAAAAUGAUAAGCAUCAGAGAGAUAACAACAAAAAAUUUGGUUGAGGAUGCAUGACGCCCUAACAUACAUGGAAACAAGAAAUGUAUUACCAACUUGAUAACAGAAUUAUUAUAGUACUUGGGAAUUUUGCAGCAUCAAAUCUCAUGUGACUAAAGCAUUUCCUCGUCAAUGUCCUAUGAACCUAACACGCAAACAGGAAAAUGACAAUCGGUUUAAUUAUUUAGAAUAUUUGUUUGCUCAUUAACCUUCUGCAAUCUUUCCUUAAUUUCCUACCAAGCAACUCAACCCACUAUUUGAACCAUGAACUUUUUUUAUUUCAGUAUACAAUAUACCUGAUAGAACAUCCAUUAAUGAUGACGAUUUCAUCCCUAAUCACUUAAGCAAGAGAGUGCCAUGGAUCUUUCUUUUUUCUUUUCCUCCUCAAAAUGUAUAGUACCUAAAGAAGAGGAAAGGAAAUUACAGAAUUGAAUUUAUUCUCUGCACCUUUUCUUAGUAUACAUGAUACCUAUAUACAUAGGACAAAAGGAAACCAAAUAAUUACAUAUUCUGCUGUACGGCCAAGGCGGAUGUACGGUACAGCAGAAUACAUUUACUUUGCCAUCAUAUUGAAUUUUCGUUUUUCUUAUUUCUACAAGAAACAAUUACCUUUCAGCUUCACCACUGGGCAUAAUGGCAGGACCAGAAGACAGGCUAGUUCCAACCACCAAAACCUGUUCAUGUCCAACCCUCACCAGCUCCAUGGACUUCCCUGUUUCUCCAAGUUCAAGCUUAAAAGAUGACAGCACUGACCCACUAAGGGGAUCAACACAACAUAUAUCAGAUGAACAUGUAUCAUUAUUCAGUUCUGUUCUCAUCACAAUCAAUAACCUGCUUUCACUAUGAUAAAGGACCUUCUUUGGAGUGCCUCCAAGAUGAAAUUUCGGCACAUUAAGCCUCUUAUUGUGCACCAUCUCCACCUAAAGAUAGAGUAAUUGAAGAUCAUGUAUGUCAACCUUGAAAACAGACUAGUAUUGAAACAUCCAGUUGAGAAACAUUGCAAAAUGACAACCUCGUAAGCAGAAUAAUAUUAAGAGAUCCAAUACAGAAACAUUACACAAUUGCACUUGAAACAAAUAUAUCAUAAAAUAGAAAUCAAUCCCUAAUAUAAAACAAACUCGUUACCAAUUUAAAAGUUCUUUACUUUUUCAUAGUUAAUCAAUUUCAAAACACAACGGAUACCAGAAAAUGAUAAGCAUCAGAGAGAUAACAACAAAAAAUUUGGUUGAGGAUGCAUGACGCCCUAACAUACAUGGAAACAAGAAAUGUAUUACCAACUUGAUAACAGAAUUAUUAUAGUACUUGGGAAUUUUGCAGCAUCAAAUCUCAUGUGACUAAAGCAUUUCCUCGUCAAUGUCCUAUGAACCUAACACGCAAACAGGAAAAUGACAAUCGGUUUAAUUAUUUAGAAUAUUUGUUUGCUCAUUAACCUUCUGCAAUCUUUCCUUAAUUUCCUACCAAGCAACUCAACCCACUAUUUGAACCAUGAACUUUUUUUAUUUCAGUAUACAAUAUACCUGAUAGAACAUCCAUUAAUGAUGACGAUUUCAUCCCUAAUCACUUAAGCAAGAGAGUGCCAUGGAUCUUUCUUUUUUCUUUUCCUCCUCAAAAUGUAUAGUACCUAAAGAAGAGGAAAGGAAAUUACAGAAUUGAAUUUAUUCUCUGCACCUUUUCUUAGUAUACAUGAUACCUAUAUACAUAGGACAAAAGGAAACCAAAUAAUUACAUAUUAUACUUUCCUAUUCUCUAGUGUUCACUACAUCUAUCAUAUCACAUCUACAGCUGCCAUAUCCCUAAUAAUAUGCUCAUGAUCCUGACUGAAUAAUCUCUCAGAUUUCCAACACUCCCCCUCAAGCUGGCUGGAAUAUAUCUUCCAUGGUCAGCUUGCUAAUUAAGUAAUUGAACUGCCCUUUGUACAGACCCUUUGUGAGAACAUCUGCAAUUUGCUCUGGAGUGGGUAUAUAAGACAUGCAGAUCACACCUUCUUCAAUUUUCUCUUUAAUAAAGUGCUUGUCAACUUCCACGUGUUUAGUCCUAUCGUGAAGAACCGGAUUAUGAGCGAUUGCAAUUGCUGCCUUGUUAUCACAGUGCACUUUCAUUGGUAAACUACUUUGAAAUUUUAAGUCUUCUAGUAACCUCUUAAUCCACAACCCUUCACAAAUGCCAUGAGCAACUGACCUGAAUUCAGCCUCAGCACUACUUCUUGCCACUACAUUCUGUUUUUUACUUCUCCAAGUAACCAAAUUCCCACCAACAAACGUAUAGUAACCAGAGGUGGAUUUUCGAUCAGUAAUGCUCCUAGCCCAGUCUGCAUCCGUGUAGACUUCCACCUGAAGAUGUCCCUGUUUUUUAAACAAUAGACCUUUACCAGGAGUUCCUUUUAGAUAUAUUAGGAUUCUGAACGCAGCUUCAAAGUGUUCUUGUCCUGGUGAAUGCAUGAAUUGGCUCACUCUACUCACUGCAAAUGCUAUAUCAGGACGCGUAUGGGAUAAAUAGAUCAGCCUUCCAACAAGUCUUUGAAACUGUUCUAUGUUCCCUACUUUCUCAGCUUUAGCAUGUUGGAGCUUCAAAAUGGGAUCUGUUGGGGUCCCAGCUGCUCUACAUCCGAGCAAACUUGUCUCACUAAGUAAGUCAAUAGUAUAUUUGCGUUGAGUAACAAAUAUACCCUCCUUGGACCUUGCAAUCUCCAUGCCAAGAAAAUAUUUCAAAGCUCCAAGGUCCUUUAUCUCGAAAUCCUUAGCAAGUUCCUUCUUUAAUUUCUCCAGCUCGCAUCUAUCGUCACCUGUUAAGAUUAUGUCAUCCACAUAAACAAUCAAGAUAGCUAUUUUUCCUUCCCUCGAAUGUUUAUAAAACAUAGUAUGGUCUGCUUGACUUUGACAGUAGCCAUGACCUUUUACGACUUUCCCAUAGACUUUUUUAGUUUGCAGACUUUUCCUUCAAAUUUCUUCUCAAACCCUAGAGGGAGGCUCAUAUACACUUCUUCUUCAAGAUCUCCAUUUAAAAAAGUAUUUUUUACAUCUAAUUGAUGUCAGGGCCAAUCGUAAUUUACAGCUAAUGAUAAAAGUAACCGGAUAGAAUUCAUCUCGGCAACAAGAGCAAAUGUUUCUUGAUAGUCAAUCCCAAGGGUUUGCAUAAACCCUUUUGCUACAAGUCUUGCCUUGUUCCUCUCAACACUGCCAUCAGCUUUACAUUUUAUAUUAAACACCCAUUUGCACCCUACAGUUUUUUUGUUCUUCGGUAGGUUCACCAACUCCCAAGCACCAUUCUUUUCCAAAGCAUUCAUCUCUUCCAUAACUGCUAACUUCCAACUCGGUUCAUCAAGGGCUUCCUUGAUAGUUCUUGGAACAAACAGGUCAGACACAUCAGAAAUAAAUGCUCUAUAACUAUUGGAUAAUCUAUCAUAGGAUAUAUAUUUUGCAAUGGGAUGUUGGGUACACUUUCGAACUCCUUUCCUAAUGGCUAUAGGAAUAUCAUGAUCUUUUGGUUCAAUAAUUGAAGGGUAUAAAGAUGAAGGAAGAACAGAAACAAGAUUAGGAUUAGAAGGAACAGGCCUAAGAUUGAAACUACCUGAAUCACUUGGACCUUUUUCCCCAAGUACUCAGGUUCAGGAAUCGGAAUAUUUUUGUUCUUCUGUAGUGUUUCUCCCCCUAUUUGUGAAUCAACUAUGUUUGGUAAAGUUUGGCUAGGAUUUUGAUCAGCCUGUUGUUGUGUCUGUUUUUCAAUAUCUAGAGAAGGAGAUAAGAGAAUAAGUUUUGGUAGCGGAUCCAAAGUUGUCUCCCAAAAUUUUUAUUCCUUUCCCUCUAUCUCCCCCUGAAGACAAUUUUUGGAAAAUAAGACUGACUUUCUAGAAAAGAGACAUCCAUGCUUACAAACAUUUUUUUUGUUUUGAGGAUAAUAACACUUGUAUCCUCUUUUGUUUGGUGCAUAACCAAUAAAAACACACUUUUCAGCUCUUGGAUCAAGCUUGGAUCGAAAGUUGCUAGGUAUAUGAACAUAGACAGUGCAACCAAAAAUUUUUAAUGGCAAAUCUGAAUUAAUUCUGCAUGUAGGAAAUGUUUUUUUGAAAUAAUCUAAUGGAGUAACAUAUUGUAAAACACGAGUAGGCAUUUUGUUUAUUAAAUAAGAUGCUAUCAAAAUUGCAUCUCCCCACAAAUAUUUUGGAAUAUGCAUCGAAAACAUUAUGGCUCGAGCCACUUCAAGUAAAUGCUUGUUUUUUCUUUCGGCAAUGCCAUUUUGUUGCGGAGUAUCACAACAGGUAGAUUGAUGUAAAAUGCCUUUUUCUUAAAAAAAAAUUCCCUAGAUGUUCAUUGAAAUACUCUUUCCCAUUAUCAAAACAAAACAAACACAUUUUUUAUUGAAAUUGGUUUUUGACCAUUUUGUAAAAAACUUGAAACAUAGUUUUUACUUCAGAUUUGUCAUCCAUUAAAUACACCCAGCAAAGUCGUGUGUGAUAAUCUAUGAAAGUAAUAAACCAUUUUUUUCCAGUCCUAGUAGUGAUCCUAGAGGGACCCCACUCAUCACUAUGAAUCAAAUAGAAUGGUUUGGAGGCACGGUAUAGUUUUGUCUAAUAAGUAGCUCUAUGGCUUUUAGAUAAAUAGCAACUGUCACAAUGAAGAGAAUAACAAUCCAAAUAUUGAAACAACUAGGAUGUCCUAGCCUAAGAUGCCAAAACAUUAUUUUUUCAUGAGCAUAAAUUGACCACACACUACCACCAUAGCCUUGAGCAGUUUUAUUCUCGAAAGGAUUGCUAACAAAAUAAUAAAGACCAUGGACCAUUUUAGCACUGCCAAUCAUCUUCCCCGAGUUCCAAUCUUGGAAUUCACAAUGAGAGUCAAGAAAGACAACACAACAGUUAGAGUCUUUAGAAAUUUUACUGACAGAUAACAAAUUGCAAGCUAAUUUUGGAACAUGAAGGACAGAUUGAAGAGUUAUUUGAUUAGAAAUUUCUAUUUGACCUUUUCCUACAAUAGGUGAAAAACUACCAUCAGCAAUCCUUACUCUUUCAUUUUUAUAACAACGUGAAUAAUUACUGAACAAACUAGAAGAGGAAGUCAUGUGAUCAGAUGCUCCUGAAUCAAUGAUCCAGGGAGCAGAAUUUAGACUACCAGAUAGAGAAUUAAGGUUGCUACCUGUCUAUGCAAGAGCACUACAAGGAGUACUAGAUAAAGAGUUGGGCUUUAGCAGUUCAAGAAGAUGGUCCAUCUGCUCCUUAAUGAAUGGACUCUUUUCAACUUCAUUUGCAUAGGAGGUUGCUUGAUUUGAUUUGUCACUCGGCUUGUUGUUCUUCCAAUUAGCAGGUUUCCCAUGGAUCUUCCAGCAGUUAUCUCGAGUAUGGCAUGGUUUAUGACAAAAAUCACACAAUAUUCGAGGUUUUUCAUUCUGCCUUUGCUGAUUGAAAACCUUAUUUGCAGUUGCAUCUGAUGCAAUCAUGACUGAAUUUUCAACAGGGGCAACAACCACUUCUUUCCAAGCAUCACGUUCCUGCGACUUUCCUCCCUUCUUACUUCCGCAAAGACCUCACCAAUAGCGGGUAGAGGUUGGCGACCAAGAAUCCUCCCCCUAACCUCAUCAAAAUCUACAUUUAAUCUAGCCAAGAAUUUGUAAAUACGAUAAUCUUCUACCAUCUUUUUGUUGUGAUUGUAGUCCGCUUUUGAUUCCCAUUCAUAGUCAUUAAACAGAUCCAAAUCUUGCCACAACCUCUUCAGAGAAUUGAAAUACUUAGUGACGUUGUCCACUCCACGGUGAAGUUCACCAAGCUUUAUUGUCAAUUCCUAUAUUUGGGACUGAUUUCCCAAAUCUGAAUACAUCUGGUUUACAUUAUCCCAGAGUUCUUUGGCUAUUGGGUAACACAUGUAAUUGGAGCUGAUAUCUUCCUCCAUGGAUUUUACUAGCCCUGUCAUCAGCAUAGAGUUUUCAGCAUCCCAAGUUGCGUAAGAUGGGUCUUCUUUUGCCCGUUCCUUCUUAUCUCCAAUCAAAUAUCUCAUCUUUCCUCGUCCCUGAAGAUACAUCCAGACAGAUUGGGACUAACGCAGGAAAUUAUCACCAUUCAGUUUGAUAUUAGUGAUUUGGACAGAGUGAGAAUCGGAAGUAAGGACAUGGGUUUCUGUGGUUGUCAAUGGGGCAGUUCUGAAAAGAGUAGAUUGAAAUGUAUUUUCUGACAUGGUAGAGCAACACUAGUUCCCCUUUCUUUAUAUAUAUAUAUAUAUAUAUAUAUAUAUGUCAGAGAAUAAAUCCCUACUCUGAUACCAUAAAGAAGAGGAAAGAGAAUUACAGAAUUGAAUUUAUUCUCUGCACCUUUUCUUAGUAUACAUGAUACCUAUAUAAAUAGGUAAAAUACUAUACACACAAAAAGAAACCAAAUAAUUACAUAUUAUACUUUCCUAUUCUAUAGUGUACACUACAUCUAUCACAUCACAUCUACAGCUGCCAUAUCCCUAAUAAUAUGCUCAUGAUCCUGACUGAAUAAUCUCUCAGAUUUCCAACAGUACCUAUGUUUUGCAGGGGUUAGUUGCAGGGUCACACAAAGCUAAAGGAGCAAAAUACACAAGCUAGGUUAGGGUCUCACCAAGUUUCCUAUCCAUUUAAAUGGCAGGACUAUGAGUGCACCUUAACGCAAGCCAUAGAGUUAAACGCUAUUUUCCUUUUUGACAAGAAACUAUAUGUUAUAUUAAUGAUGAAGAAUCGUUACAAGGAGUGGACCACCUGUUCGCUGAGAAAGCAGAAUAAUGAAAACUUUUCUGUGCUAUACAAAAUAUGCCAAUCCUCUACAACAUUAGACCAACCCAGAACGCCUAUCUCAAAACACUCUCCCAACUUAGAUGAAUGAAGAAAAAAGAUGAAUCUUGGAACUCCUUAGAAAUUGAAGCCCAAAGUGAAGCUAGAAGACGGAUUCUAUCCUAUAAUUCUUCAAUAUUAUCUGCAUUUUUCCCUUCAAAAAUAAGAUUUCUUUCCUGCCGUAUUACCCAAAACAGAGCUGCCACAGCACAUAUCCAAAGAGUUUUGGCCUUUUUUCCCUUACCAAAAGCAUAGAAAUUCUCCAUAAGAAUAGAGUGUCAAAAACCCAGAAUGAUCCACAAAACGUUAGCCUCUUUGCACAACCUAUUACACAAAUUUGAGGCCACAAAACAAUGAAGAAAAAGAUGAUUACAAGUUUCUGUGCUUAUUCUGCACAUCACACACCAAGCAGGAGUUUUUUUUUUUUUUUUUUUUUUUUUUCUAAGAAAAAAUUGCUAAGAAACAAAAGAUUAAAUAAAACUAUAAGAAAUAUGUACAAGGAUUAGGAGGACUACAAAUCCACAAAAUAAGGACGAGAAGUCCCAAUAUAAACAAAACACUUGGAAACUGCAAAGAUAAAAUAUCCCAAAACCUAAAAACACUAGCUCACUAAGAGUGCAUCCCUGUUAAGAUAUAAAAGCUUCCCAAUUAAGCAAAAUAAAAAAAAAGGAGAUAGACACAUAUUAGGGAACUUUCUUCGAAUCAGUUCCCCAAAGUUUGAUUUUCCUUGAGCCAAGGCCCACAAAAAGACUUCAAUUUUGGGAGGAAUCCUAGCCUUCCAAAUCAUUGAGUCAAACACUAUGUUCAGUGCAUAAAUAGAUCAGCUCCAUGUUGAACUCAUAGAGUGACAAGGGCUUGAACAAGUGAACAGUAUUUGAACAUAUGAAGCAAAUGACAUUGCUAGUUACAACCUCAGGCUACAUUCCUAAGAGAAUAAAAAAAACAAGGAAAGAAAAAGAAAAUUGAAGAUUCGGCUGAGAUAUUUUGGGGAUUUGUUAGCUGUUUAUUUGUAUGUAAAUAUAAAUCAGGAAAGUAAGAUAUUAGGCUAGCUAGUGUAAUUAUUAGUUCCUAUGUUUAUUCUGCGUAUUCUCCUAUAAGUGGGAAAUUGUGUAAGUUAUUUAAUUGAGAGAGUAAAAUAUAGAAUACUCUAUUUCUGAUCAGCUCUUCUAAGUUUAUAUUGUUUCAGAGAGUAAAUAUGAUCUCUGGCAUUUUCUGUAAAGAAAAUACUUUGAUUACUAUGUUUGAUACUUCAUCUGAGUCCAUCUCUUCUUCUUCUACUACCCAGAAAAAAACUCUGAAACCCUAGCCUCCAACCAUGAAUUGCAUCCUAUCAAAUCAUCACUACUCGCUUGAAUGGUAGUAACUUUCUGCACUGGUCUUAAUCCGAUCAGAUGUAUAUCCGUGACGAGGGAAGUUUGGCUACUUGACUAGAGAUUUCACGGUACAAGACCCAACGAAUUCGACGUAUGUGAUCUGGGGGCCAGGAUCUAGAUCUAUUAAGCAAUUAUGACAGAAGUCUCCAGAGGAUUUUAAUCACCACAAGAAAAUUGUGAAAAACAAUUGCAUCUACAAAUUUCUUGCUAGUCUCAAUAUUAAGUUUGAAGAAGUGAGGGGGAGAAUAAUAGGCAAAAAACCUCUUCCCUUAAUAAGCGAAGCUUUCUCUGAGGUUAAAAGAGAGGAGAGUCGCAAGAAUGUAAUGAUUGGAAACAAAAAUUCUAGUAGGUCAAUAGAGAACUUAGCACUAGUCGCUUCUGAUGCAAAUGCCAGCACGGCCAUCACAAAUCAAAGGAAGACUGAUGACAAACCUCGUGUAUGGUGUGACUAUUGUAACAAACCUUGUCAUACUCAGGAAGCAUGCUGGAAGAUUCAUAGUAAACCAACAAAUUGGAAAAGCAACAAAAUGGGUGACAAAUCCAACCGUGGAUUUCCAUCAGCAGAUGAAGUUGAGACAAGUCCCUUCAGCAAAGAGCAGAUGGAUCACUUUUUUAAACUGCUAAACUCCAAUUCCUUAUAUGGUAUUCCUAGUGAUUCUCUUGCUCAAGCAGGUAGUGACUCUAAUGCCUUAUCCUAUUGUUUAAAAACUGCUCCUUAGAUCAUAGAUUUUGGAGCCUAUGAUCACAUGACCAGUUUUUCUACCCUAUUUUGUACUCAUUCCCCUUGUUCUGGAAAAGAAAAAUUAGAAUUGUCGAUGGAAGUUUUUCACCUAUUGCAAGAAAAGAUUUGGUAAAAUUAUCCAAGAAUAUAAAUCUUAAAUCAGUUCUACAUGUUUCUAAAGUUCCCUGUAACCUCUUAUAUGUGAGUAAAUUGUCUAGAGACUCUAAUUGUUGUAUAACUUUCUUUAACUCUCAUUGUGAAUUUCGAGACCAGACUUCAGGGAGGAUGAUAGGGAGCCUUUAUUAUUUUGAUAACAACUUCUCCAGUAAUAAAAAAGCUCAAGACUUUAGUAGUAUUAAUUCUCAUUCUGCUUGUGAACAAAUAAUACUUUGGCACCUUAGAUUAAGACAUCUUAGUUUUCCUUAUCUAAGGCAUUUAUUUCCUUCUUCAUUUAAAGGUUAGAUUGCUCAUCUUUUCAACGUGAAAGUUUGCAUUUAUCAAAGGGUCGUUGCACUACUUACUCAUCAAGACCUUGUCAUGCAUCAAAACCAUUUUACCUAGUUCACAAUGAUGCGUGGGGCCAUUUUAAGAUUUGGUGAAAAAUGGUUUGUAACUUUUAUAGAUGAUCAUACUCGUUUGUGUUGGGUAUAUUCAUUGAAUAAAAAAACUGAAGUAGAAAACGUGUUCAAAGAAUUUAAUAAGAUGGUGGAACACCAAUUUUUAACUAAAAUUAGUAUUCUUCAUAAUGAUAAUGGUACAGAGUAUUUUAGUGAGCACUUAGGGAAUUUUUUGAGAGAAAAAGGCAUUCAUCACCAAUCUACAUGCAUUAAUAAUCCACAACAAAAUGGAAUCGCCAAAAGAAAAACAAACAUUUACUUGAAGUAGCUCUUUAUAAUCUUUUCAAUUCAUGUUCUGAAAUAUCUUAGGGGUGAGGCUAUUUUAACAGCAUCCUAUUUGGCUGAGAUAUUUUGGGGAUUUCUUAGCUGUUUAUUUGUAUGUAACUAGACAACAGGAAAGUAAGAUAUUAAGCUAGCUGGUGUCAUUAUCAAUUCCUAUGUUUAUUCUAUGUAUUCUUCUCGAAGUAGCAAACUCUAUAAGUUAUUUAAGCAAGAAAGAGUAAAAUACAAAAAAACUCUAUUUCUGAUCUUCUCUUCUAAGUUUAUAAAACAAUGACAAAGUGGUCCAGUACACUUUUUGCAUUAACAGAAUUGUGCAGAUAACAGAUCAAAAACCUACCUAAUUUCUUGAGAAUAGAUAAGAUACCUAAGAAAUUUCAAUUCACUGUUCUAGUAAGCUAAAUGCAUGUUAAGUUGCUAUCCCAACUGCACAUAUUAUAGUUCUCAAUUCCAACUAUCCAGUGAAAGGCAACACGCAACAUUUGCUAAGCUUAUGCUGACCACCUUGAAACUAAUGCUCAAUGGGCACAAAUCACCAGAAUAUCUAAAGAGAAAGAAAAGAAUGAUACCACAAGAAUCUAACAACCCAAAAACUAAGACACAAUGAUAUCAAAUAAAGCAAUGCACAAGAAGUAAGUGCAUUGUUACAAUCAUUAAAGCAUCAUAUUUAAGGGUUAAUUUCUCUACAACAUGUUCAAGAUAUUCCAAGGACCUUUUAUUCUUCUAUUUUUUAUUUUUUUUUUACUUUUCCCCCAGAUUGUAUAACAUCCAGAAAUAAAACUGUGAUUAUUAACAAUGGAGAAAAAAAAAUACCAUAAAGAGAAUAGAGAAACCAUAAGAACUGAUAACAACAUAAAUUGGGACUCUUACCAAAUUUAGACUGUUCUCUGCAACAAAUAAAAUCCCUUUAGGGCAUUCAACAGAACACACAGGAGUCGCAUGUGUUGAAGGUUGAAAUGAAAUAGAAGUAUAAGCCAGGCUGUGCCUUGCAGUUUGCAACAACCACGGCCUGUCACUGAGAGCAAUCAUGUCUGCGUCAAGCAAGUCACUCAGAGGAACAAGGAAAACAGGAGUGAUGCCAAUGCGACGGGUGGCAAUCAAUUGAAGAUUAAUCGGAAGCUCAUCUUUGGACUCUUCAGAUAAAUUAAAAGCAGACAUUUCUGAACCAAAAGAACUAGUAGCCGCUAUACCUGAUCGAAUAUUCUCUGUAUUUCUGAAAGUGGCACUAAUAGGACUGUGAAUGGGUGCAACAGAUGAAGGUAUAUUAGAGUCAGGAGGCCACUCAAACCGAAGGAGCAUUCCAUUCCUCAACCCCGCAAGAACAUAAAACUGAUCAGCCAACACAAGUCUCACAUCUUGAGGAAUGCAGCCACUAAUAGCAGUUCCCAUAGUAUUUGUCAACACAAUUGACCCAGAAGCAAGAACUCUCAACCCUUCCUUGGGUACAAAUGACAGAACUUCCACUGAAGGCCUAUGUGUGCCAAUAACAAAGGUAUAACCAAUGAUAACUCCAGCUGGAAGUGCAGGCACACUGCUAUUACUCACAAGACUGAUGGGAGAACUUGAUUUUCUUCGCUCAGGAUGUUUUUGAGGUAUGGAAAUGCAUGAUAACUCACUCUGCAAUCUCAUAUGUUGCAUCUCAUAUAUUUCAUAAUGACUCACUGAGAGUGAUCUGACCCCAAGAAUAAAUAGGAAGCAUGGAUUAGAAGUAGAAACAAUUAUCAUAUUAUGAGCAACUGCCCCCAAACUGAUGCUUACGUGUUCUGGGAACCAAGAUGUACAAACUGGAUAUGACAACGGGAUACCCCCAGAAUGGGCAACCAUGGUUGGCAUACAAAGCCUAACAGCAUUUUGGUGAAUCUGAACCAGCAAACCAUCAGCGACAAGCCCACAUGCCAAAGUACAGACAUCAGGCCGGAAACCAACAGAAUCAGUCACAUCAGUAAAGUUUAGGCCUACUCUUAGCACCCUGGUCUCUUCAACAAAUGAUAGUACAAGAAAAGAAUGAUAUGGAUCAGAUACUUUCAUCCGAACUGUCCAAGUACCAGUAAUGCCCUGAUAUAUAGGGGCAGUUCUCAAUAGUUUUUCUAAACUUAUACCACUCCGAAUAAUCCUUAAUGAUCCCUCUGGUGCCACUCCACAGCAUGCAAACAUUUGAUCACGUUUUUCAUCAUGGUAAUCCACAACUGACAUGUCUAAUAUCGGUGCAAUGUUUUGAAUGGGACUUGUGUAUACUAAUCUUCCAUUUUCUUCUUUCAAGACCAUUCCAUCCCCCAUUUCUACAAAUGCAGACAGGAACCUCCCUUCAACCCACAAAAGUGCCUUGCAUGGUGGGCCUUUGUAAAGACAUUCUGACAGAUGAACUUUAUGGCCAUCAGAACCAAAAGCAAUUUCAAUCAUAAAAAACUCACCUGUAUCCACACAAAACACCAUCUUUGGAAUCUUAUCAGUUUCUGGUUCCCAACUCCACGAGCACACAUGUUUGGAGGGCUCUUUUGCAUUGCCACUGUCACUAUCUAUACACAUGGGAUCAUAAUCGCGUAGCUCCAAUAAAGCACAUGCUGCAACAUUGAACAAACCUUCAUCAUCAACAUCAUGUACUCUACAAGACUCGUCAACAAAAUUUUGUUCCUCUAGAGCAGGGGGUAAAAAGUUCAGGCUUGUUCUAUAAACGCAAGAGGGAUUGUGAGGAUCUCUAAGAUCCAUUAAUAAUGCAUCACCAAUCCUAAACACAAAGGCAAAUCCAUAAGAACGUGGAACUUCAACAACACAAUGUGCCAGUGGUCCAGCUUCAAAAAAACAUGAAAGCACACUUAUAGCAUGUUCCCUAAUAUUCCAUCCCACUAGCAGCAAUUCGUUCAAGAGCGCCCCUCUCCUGCAGGACCAAAUUUUAAUAUCUUAGCAGGAAACAUCAACCAAAAAAGAAAAGAAAGAACGAGAGAACAACUUUCAACUCGUAGGAUCAAAAAAAUGGAGAACAUAAAUAAAAAUACCCUGAGUAGAAAAUUAACAUAUAGAAUAAUCAUACCUAUUCAGAAUAAUGGCUAGUAUCGGAUUAUGCUCCUUACUUGGUUGACGAGGAUCGGUUGAAAUAAAGCACAUGCUCCAUAUUGUACCACUUAUACUGUUUUUUUGGGCAAUUCUGGAAGCAGAUGUGUCCACUUCACUUUCAGAAGGAUAACAUAUUUUCUGAAAUAGUGACAUACAAGGGUAUCAGUAACUGUACAAAAUAAGCCCCUUUGGCACUGCACACAGAAUGCAUUGACAGAAGAAAAUGUUCCACAAAAGGAAUAUAAUACGUACUCUAAAACAUAUGAGCAAAUAUUAUCAACAAUAUCACCUUAUCAAUAAUAUCACUUCCAGAAGACAUUGAGAGGGAAAACAAACCCAAUCGAUCUUCAUAUGCACUAACAGCAAUGAGGCAGCCACUGAGAAAGCAAAACAGCACAGAUUAGGAGAAUUGGGAGGAAUGUCUGAUGCAAAUUAAAACAAAUGAAAGAGGUAAAAAAUGUCAAGUUGCCGCAUUUUAUUUAAACAGAUAUGUAGAAACUAUUGAUGCCCUUUCUUAUUGGCAAAGGAAUGAGCAAGCAUCCCUUUUGCAAUUACAAGAAAUAGUUUGCAUAGUGCUGUCCAUCUAAAAGCUGUACUAUAAAAGGGGAAGGGAGGAAUAAAAUAAAGCCUAGAGUCCAAUUUUGGAAAGAUAAGAGAAAAUAAAAAGGGCAAGAUAACCAAAAUAAAGAUUAGUUCACAGCCAUGCACAUAUGACGCAUAGCCUAAAGAACAGCCAGCCAAAAAAAAAAUUGAAAAGAUUUUUUUCCUAUCCUAGUGUCAAAGGUGACUUGCCUGGAAUCAACCGCCAGCAUUCUUCCAAGUUGAUGCCUUGAGUUUCCUGGAUUUGAAAGAUGAACCUGUGCCACCGGGAAAAACCUACCUCAAAAGACAAAAAUGAAUAAUUUAUCACCAAAGUAAGCAUCCUCAAGAUUCAGUAAAACCAUUCCUUAUCCACAGACAAGCUAUAUUAAGCAAGAAAAUUCAGAAACCUGUGCAUUUCAUUGCAAAAAGCGAGAAAUGAGAGCUUCCCCGAAUCAGAAAUAACAACCAGAAGGUCUUUCCCCAUCAACUACAGAAGGAAAAAGUGAAUCAGGGAAUAAAAUGGUUACAGAAGGACCAGGUAAAUGUCACUAUCAAAGGAUAAUUGCCUUUCAUAAAAGGUAAUUUCUUUAAUCAGUACAAAGAUUUAGUUAAAACUAAGUUCUCUAUAACUACCUGCGAAUUCUGAGCAUUGAACUUUUUGUUCCAAGGUACAACAGCAAGGUCCUUAAUUGUGCCAAAUACAGCCUGCUCACAAACUGAUUGUACAAUCCCAUCUUCACCAAUUAUUACUAACUCUAUUGACGUCUCCUAAAAAAUGCCAUCACCAAAAUACUGUCAGACUAGUACAUAAUAGCAAGCGCUCAAGAAUAAAUAAAUAAAAACCACAAUGUCAAGUUGCAUUUAAGUAAAAACAUGCACGCAAUGACAGGUUUCCAUUUUCAGUUCUCCAACAAUGAAGCUCCAGCAGCUGCUUGAUUCUACUUUUAGUAACAUUUCAAAGUGACAAUUUUCAAUCAACUUUCACCAGAACGCGAUUAAGUUUCAAUACACGCAAUACGUGAGAAAACUGAAAUCGAGGACCUUGCCGAAUACGACGUCGUUGGAGGUCGGAGAGCGGAGAUGCCCGUGGGCGACCUGAAGAACGACGCUUCCUUUAAGAACGCAUUUGGCAAGGUAAUGAAUGUUCCGAGGAGGCGACGCGGGGGCCGACGAUGAAGACGGUGACGAUCGCGACUUCGCCGUCGAGCACACUUCCUCCGAAACCGCCAUCACGAUUGAUGUUUUCUUGUUAUCGUGAUGAAGAAGCUAGGGCUUAUCGGUUUGUUCGUUCCUUUGUACUAUAUCAAAGGAAAUGGAAGCUUUUAGGGCACUGGAUUAUUCAUGGCGAAUUGAACUGAAUGAACAUCGUAGGUGAAUCCAGUUGAGAGGGGGCGCUGCGUAUGAAACUGCAACUCCUGUAUUAUUGCAAAUGUCCUUUUCAUUUCUUUGUUGUUAUUAGUGAUCAGUGAAUAGAAUGACGAAUUUUUAACCAUUUUGGUAAUUUAUGAUAAGUUUGGGGCUUGAAAAGACUCUGGCUUCUGACUUUCUGCUAUCCUUUCAUGGGAAAGUCCUUUAUGCCUUAUCCUAGGGGGUGACAAUGACAUGUUUCUAAAAUUAUUAGUAGAAAUUUGUAGUUAAUUUACUUGGUAAGGUUAGUUAAGGCUUAAAAAUGGUACUACAAAUUUGUUGUAACGUUUAGGAAUGCAAAAUCUUGUGUAAACUGCUGAUUUGCCAUCAAAAUAUUGAUUGAUUGAAUUUCACCUGUACCUAGAUUCAUUUAUUAUAUUAAAUUUUACAUUUUAUCUAACUAAUAAUGUAUAAACAGCCAGUUUCCAUUCUCACUAAGCAUUCAAUUCAUAACUAGAAAUUAAUAAUGUCGGGACUCCGUAAUAUUUCACUACAUUCAUAUGAUAGAAUUGAUUGGAGUGAAUAUGCGAACAAUCAUAAGCAAAAAUGUUAUGAAACGCUCAGGUUACAACUAUAUAUAGUAUUAAAGAACGAUGAUCUGGUCAAAUUUAUGUUUGAUAAUUAAACAUGCUAAUACUAUUAGAUAAUAUAUCAGUACCAUUCUUCCAAGACAAACUGCUAAUGCACAGAAUGUAAUUUUUCACAAUUGAAGCUGCCUACAAUAUAUGAAGACUCCCCGAUUGCAAAACUGUACUUGUUAUCAAUAUUCACUACCUCCAGACAUUAGAUAACAGAAACUUCUAGCAAUCUUGCCAGUAGAAUCUCCCGUCAGUAUAGAUACAGUUCUCAAAUGCUCUACUGUCCCUCUAAGGUUCCAAGGGACUCCUUGAGACGUCGUUGUGCUUCUUCUCUCCGCCUGGAAAAGCAAUGGAAACAACUUUCAGAGAAAAAUUAUGGAACAUUUAAGUUCAAAUAAUUUUCAAAUUCUAUCAGCUGUUACAGUCCCUACACAAAGAUCACUUCUGCCUUGUAAUAGCUUCAAAAUACCACUGCUCGUAAUAAUAUCAACUCCAUUUGCAUGACACAUAAAAAAGGAAGGAACUUAUAAUCAUGGCACUGUGUUGUCAUAACUGAGUUAUUUGUGAUAAAUGAUUAAUGUGGUACAUAUUCAGCAUAGACCACGAUGCUCAAUUGAUCAGCCAGUUUGUGAUGCUGACAAUACAUACUCACCAUACAGCUCCUCAAAUUUCAUAAUGAUGCUACCCCCUUAACCCAAACUAAGCCAACAUCAAAAUUUUACCCAAAUAUGAAUCAAUUUUACACUAUUUAUGAGAAUAGGUAAAGUUUUCAAGCACAUCAAACAUGGCCCAAAAGUUGUAACAAAUAUACCCUUUGAGACUAUUAUUUCAGAACGAGAAAUUACUGCAAAACCAAUGCUCCUAGACACCAAAUCUCAACCCAAGGGUUAUGAUGAAGUGAAGUGGUAGACCAAUCAAGUGUUCGAAUCCGACCCACACCAGGGUUGGGCAAGGAUAGAGAAACAAGCCAGUAGACAAAUAUCAUACACUAGUCAGAAAGCACAUUGUUAUUUGUUUGGCAUUAACCUAUAACCUAUCACACAGCAUGUGAAAUGAGAUCAUCAACAAUUCACCGUUAUCACAAUAAUAAUAGGGCUAUUCAAACCCUCAAAUAAUCCUACUGUAACUUGUAUAAAAGGACUGAAUCACACCUCUGAAUUCUCAAAAAAGUUUCAUUUUCAAGCAGCUUGUAAGUAUUUCACUAAGGUUUGAAUAAAUCAUACCUCUUUAUAUCCUCCACAGCUUGUUUACGGCGCUGUAUCUGAAGCUCUAGGAUAUGUAUUAAUGUUGCUCUAGCCUGGAGUGCAAAAGAUGCAACACACGGAAUGUGAGCGGGUGGUUUCUCAAACAUGAACCAAGAAAAAGAUCUUGUUCACAUAACAAUAUUCUACCUGAUGAGGACGUAAUGAAUUGAGAAGAUGAUGCAAGUUCUUGAAUAUAAGAGAUAUGUCUUCCACUCUCCUGGCAUAUUGAGAUGGUCUCUCAACAAGGACAUCAGAAAGUUCCAAUAUGUGCAGCUGCAAUUCUCUGUUCAGUGACCUCAAUUCUUUCUUGAAAUCUACACAAAGUAGCAGUAAGAAUUUCAUUGCCAAAAUCAUUUUAGCAGCAAAAAUAUGAUGCAUGUAUAAAAACUUGUGAAUGCUUAAUGUCCCUCUACAAUCACUUUAUAACACUUUGGUAAAUAUAAGUGAAUAAGAAGAAGAAUCUCCUGCCACCUUCCUAAACAAUCACUUUCUAAAACUUAUGAAUGCUCAACGUCCCUAAACAAUCAAUUUAUAAUGCUUGGUAAAGAUAAGUGAAUAAGAUUUGAAGACAACUAAGCAAUGUGAUCAAGGUGACAAUCAUAAUAACUGCCUUGAGAUAUCCCAUAAAACUUAGUACUACGGCAAUCCCAAUAAAACAAAAAGGGACUACUGGUUUCCUAACUCUUUGGAUAUGUAUACCUGAACAGUUGUAUAUACAUUCUCCAAAGAGUUGUUACCAAUUCUUACAGACUACAGGAUUGCAGCCAUUUUCUAAAACCUUUUUAGGGACUUAUCACCCCGCACAGGAUAUGUAAGUGAGCAGAUACUUUCUCAGUGAUGAUGUCCUCAUUUCUCAAUCAAACUCUCAAUUCAUCGUUUGGACAAAACUCUAUAAAUGAAGCAGCACAAUUACAACAGCAUCAGUCGAACAAAGUCUGAACUCUUGCAAUCUUUCCUCCAGAGAAUAUAUUAAAAAGAAUCCAUUUAUAGCCUUCCACUGACACUGAUAUUUAAAUAUUAAAGUCACAAACUAAAAGAUCAUACCCAGCACCCUGCCUUGGAAAAGAAAAAAAAAAAUUUCCCGUGUAAAUAGGUUACAAGUUAGCAUACGCCAUGUGACAA